UUUCAUCAGAGCUUGUAAAUGAAACCCAUAAACAAAGGCAUCUCAAACUUUGUAAUUACAAAAAAAAAAAAAAAAAAAAAAGCGUAAAGAACAGAGUUGGCGGGUGCACGCCAUACGCGAAUUAAUUUUCACCAUCAUCUUCCACCAUAUGUCGUGAGCAAUGGAGGCUUUCCCUCCCCAUUACCAUUACAAAAAAAGUGUCGAAAAAGGUGUCGACCUGUGUCACACCCCCAUCCAAGAAGUGAGCUAAAAAUUAUGAAACUCCAAAGCACUGUCUAAGCAUAGCACACAGACUACUUCCAGCAUCUCCAUUAACAAAAUACUUGAAAAAAGCAAGGCAUGAGCUAUUAGCCCAUACACUUUUAAGCAUAAUGAUUCUAAUCACAUCUCAUUUAACCACGAGGCCAUGAAAACAUACUCAAAGAUUCCAAAAGAAAAUUGACAUUUAAGCACAUAAGAAUCAAUCUUAAGAAUCCAUCAAUUUUCAAAUCAAGCGAAAAAAAGUCAAUCGCUGAUCUAUAAGACCAAACUUCAAAGUCUAUAAUUUCAAUGAUCAAAUAACAAAUGAUGUCCAAAUAAAAUUCAUGGAAAUCUAUAGAAACCUUUGGCAUUAUUUGAGACCUUGUAAUAAGGACAGGCCUUGUUCAAUAAUCCCUUUAAAUUAUUGGGUUGGUUCAAUUACUAUACAAUUUUGCAGAUAUAAUCUAGACAUGUAAAGCACCUAGAAUAUAACAUCUUAGCUCAAAUUAGUUACAUUUAUUACUAUUUCUAUGACCCAAUAUUGAGUUACAGAAAACUGGUUUAUUGACAGGAAACACCAACAACCUAAGCUUGUGAUUUUCUUUAAAAAUUCAAUACUAUUCAGAAUAUUAUGAAAACUUCCAGAAUAUUAUUAGACACAACAUAUAAAAUUUUCAAGCCAUUUGGACAACUCUUUAAUAGGUUCUCACAGGAUUGAACUAAACAAAUCAAAACUGCCUUUUUAAUUCACACAAAUAAAGCUGAGCUUUGGUGAUUUAUUAAAAUUGAAAUACUCAGUAUGUUGGGAUGGAAAUUCCCAGAACAUAAUUACACAUAUAACUUGAUAACAUAUUAAAAGUUCAAGACAUUCUGAUAUCAUUAAGCUAAUGUUUCAUAAGAUCAAACACAAGUGAAUAGUUCUGCCAAGGGGUUUACGGCUAAAGCAGUGGAGUUUAAAAAAUCAUAAAAAACAAAAAAGUACCAGAAGUUCAAUUACCAUGGAACUUUCAACAUUUAAAAUAGACAUAUUGAAGUUUAAUAUCUCAAAAUUUCAGCUCAUGUUGACCCCAUUAGAUUAUUCGUUUAUAACACCAAACAUGGUACAUAUACAGUUUCUGAUAAAUUCCAACAGCAACUGACCAAUUUGACAAAUCCAUUAAAAAUCAACUAUUAGUUCAAUUCAUUACAAAAUGUCCAGAAUCGAAAUAUACAAUUCAGCUUUUAUUACUCAAAAUUUGAAUCUAAUCAAGCAUCAUUUAGUCAUAUUUUCAAACAAUCAAAGUUAUGAUAAACUAUUUAUCAUCUUUUCAGUUCAAUAAUCAAUUUUCUGGCAAAAUUAGACAUCCAAAACCAACAACAACCUUCCUUUUCAAUAUUGAAGUAACAAAACAUCAAUUGCACAAAGUUACCUACCUAAAUCACAAGCUUUAACUUCCUAGCCUCUUAAUAAAGCUUUCUGACACUCAAGUAUUGACCUCGGCCUUGACAUUACCAAAAAGCCUACCCAAAAUUUAAAAAAAAAUGAUAAUCAAUCACACUUCCAUUAAACAAAGUCAUGAGAGAUUAUUUGAAAAUUGAGGUGUUUUUUACCUCUUAACGAAUAGCUCAACGCCCAACUUCCAAUCUGUAGCACUACAUAAUUGAAACAUACGACCACCGAUCAACAAAUAACACAAAAAAUUGCUAACAGUUUCAAUUAAAAAUAAAAGCUGGUGAUUAUAUAGCGUUAAAUCAUCAAGCAACAGUAUAUGACAGUGAGUCUCUAGAAACAUCAAUAAAAGUUUCUGAAAAACAGCAAAAAAAAAAACAACUUAAAAGUAAUAUAAUGAAUAUCAACACAGAUAAAUAAGAUUGGUCAAAAAAUUAAAAAUAAAAGAAAAAGAAGCUGAAUGGAUAAAUCUCUACCAAAUUUGUGAGUACCCAUCUUUAGUAUUCCGAACAAUGAGUGCGGAGCUCAAAACAAACAAACAAGAAAAAAUUAGUAUAUCAAGAGAAAAAUAACACCUAAUAAAAAACCAAUCCUCAAAAAAUUAACUAAAAAAAAUUAACUUGCUUUGACGGUUUACGCUGGUGGCUUCACGAAGCUCACGCGGCAACGAUUUCGGCCAAAGCGAAAUCGUAUAGAUAACGGUGCGACAGAAAUAAUGGUAGAUGAUUCCGAUUGGUUGAUUGGUGUGAGAGAGACAAUGGAUUUGAUUUUAGGCGAUGAGUCCAGAAAUCGGAUGAGAGAAAUAAUGGAUUUCAAAGAGGGAAGAAAUUUUAGGGAUUUUCCUUUUGGGAAAGCGAAGAAAUCAGAUUGGUGAGAGAGAGGAGAAAAAAAGAAUGAGAGAAAUUUAGGGAUUUCUCAAGUUGAGAACCGGCAUCUCAAGCUGCCUUUCUUUCUCUAUUUUAAUUGAAUAUAAAAUAUCAACAGUUAGAUUCAUUUGAUUUCUAUUUUCGGUAUGCUGCUGGGCCUUGGUACCCGUCAUCGCAGCUUUAGCCUUCAUACAAGUGAUAAUAUAUAAGAACUUGUACUAGCGAAUUUACAGACAUAUUACAAAGGGAUAAUAAAUUAAGUGCAAGAUCUAUAAUGUAUUUCUAGUAAACGACAGCUUUAUGGAUUAAUAAUCCUAAUUUUUUUUCUAAUUUUAUGACCAAGUAACAAUAUAAUUACAAAUUUUUGUACAAAUUAAGAAUUUUUGUACAUACUUAAUUUGUACAAUAGUUUGUGACUGCAUCAUCAUUCUUUACGAGUAAGUAAGAAUCGUUUUAUUUUGCUCUAUUAAAAAGAAUAAUAAAUGGCUUGCCUGGCCUUGAGCAAAGUAUUUAGGUCAUUUGACAUGCAAUAAGUGCCAUUUCUCAAUCUACCAACUUUGGUAUUGACAAAAUGCAGUAUACACAUAAGUUGAUUAUAGUAAACAAGUGGGCGAGAGUUCUCUAUAGAAAAUUAAUGGGACUCAAAUUGCACAGUAACAAAUGACCUUAGAAAUUGAAUAAGAUGCAGCAAAUUGACCAUGUGACAAAUCUGUUCCUGUCCGAAAGUUCGGAACCAUAGCUAAUUUAGAAUGAAUAUUUGAAAAUGAGAGAAGGCAAGAUCACAUGAGGGCACAGCGAAGGAAAACAGACCUAGCAAUGAGGCACGAAUUAAAAGUUAGAUAAUGCUCUUACACACUAUUAUUGAAGGCAUUCAUUGCAAAGAUUAUAAUUCAUUACCAGUGAAAGAAAAGAAAAUCAAUUUGAUUGUCUCAUACGUCUAGCUCUUUAAUAUUUUAAGAAUCCCAUUACAAUUUCUUUUGCAUUGAUUCUCUAUUCUGGUGAUCCUACAGUACGCUCCAUAGCCAAAUUGAAGACAAAUGACACACAUUGCUCUUUGGUCAUGAAAUGUUUGUCCUCCUGAGUUAGUAGAUUUGCAUCAACGACUUCCAUAACUGAAAUGGAUAGCAAAUCAUUAACCCAACGCUUCAAUCUCAUUUCCUUAGAAAAAAUUUCAUCUGUUUCAGUGUAAUAUGUGUUCUUUUCUAAUUUUAUGUGCAAGUAAGAAUAUCAUUUUAAAAGGAACCGUAAAUAUCUUCCCUAGUUUUGAGCAAAGUAUUUAGGUCAUUUGACAUAUAAUAAGGUCCAUUUAUCAAUCUACCAGCUUUAGUUUUCAUAAAAUGUGAUAUGCAUAUAAACUUAGGGUAUAAAACUAAAUACACUAAAACUUUCAAUCCUUCUAAAUCCUACAAAAUAUUCAUAAUUUUCCACACAUAAAGCAAAAGAACAAUAACUAAAUCACACUGACCUGAUUAUAGUAAAUGAAAGUCCAGAUUUUCCCUAUAGAAGAAAUAUAAAUAUAAUUAAACCUAAACAAAUGGCAGAAAUCUCUAUGGAAAGUUAAAGGGACUCAAAUUACAGAGUAACAAAUCACCUUAGAAAUUGAAUAAGAUGCCAACAGACUGACCAACUACCAAAUCCGUUCCCUUCCGAGUCAUAGCUAAUUUAGAAUGAAUAUUUGAAAGUGAGAGAAGGCAGGAUCACAUGCAAGCACAACAACCAAGGAAAGCAGACCUAGCAUUGGCAUGAAUUAAAGUUAGAUAACACCCAUGCACAGAAUUAUUGAAGGUAUUCAUUGCAAAGAUUACAAUUCGUUACCAGUGAAAGAAAAGAAAAUCAGUUUGAGUGUCACAUGCGUCUACCCCUUAACAUUUUUCAGCAUGAGUCUCUAAUUUUUAAGAGGCUUGUUACAAUUUCUUUUGCAUUUGAUUCUCUCCUCUGGUGAUUUUAUAGUACACUUCAUAGCUAAAUUGAAGAUAAAUGACACACAUUGCUCUUUGGUCGUAAAAUGUUCGUCCUCCUGACUUAAUAGAUUUGCGUCAACAACUUCCAUAACUGAAAUGGGUAGCAAGUCAUUAACCCAACGCUUUAAUGUCAUUUCUCCAGAAAAAAUUUCAUCUGUUGGUUUUGUCCGAGUAAAUAUUUCCAUUAACAUAAUUCCAAAGCUGUAAACAUCCCCAUUUGUGGAUACUCGUCCUUCUCUUCCAUACUCUAUUGAUUGCAACAGUUACAUAGUAAGAUAAUAUAAUUUAUAAUAAUAUGUGUAAAUGAAGAUCAAAAGAAAUAAAUAACAUAUCAAAAAGUAUUAAAGAAAAAAAAACUAUUAUAUAACGAACCUGGUGCCAUAUAGCCUAUAGUGGCAAGUGUUUGUGUUUGAGUCAAAGAUUGAUCUUCUUCGAGUAAAGGCUUUGCCAUGCCAAAAUCACUCAAAUGAGCAACCAUAUUAUCAUCUAACAAUACAUUGCUGGGCUUUAAGUCACAAUGAAUUAUUGGGGUUGAAUAACCAAAGUGCAGAUAUUCCAAAGCUGAUGCAACAUCUAUCAUUAUGUCCAAUCUUUGAAAAAUAUCCAAAAUGUAGUUGCUCAAAUACAAACACUUCUCCAGACUUCCUUGAGGCAUGUAUUCUAACACCAACGCUUUAAAAUCAUCAUUUGAAUAACUGCUAAUGAUUUUUUAUAAGGUUUCGAUGACAAAUACGUUUCAUCACGUCACAUUCAAUAUCGAAACUCUUAAAUGCUCCUUCAUAUUGUGGGUCAAAAACCUUUACUGCAACCUCCAUCCCAUCCUGAAUUAUUGCCUUGUAAACAGAACCAAAACCUCCUUUGCCAAUUAGCUGUUUUCACUAAAUCCGUUUGUAGCUUGAAAAAGUUCUAGGUAUGUAACCCUUCUCUGAUUUGCUACUGGUGGCAUAUUAGCAUCAUUUGGCAGUGGUUUCCCUCUCUUUUGAUAUCUUAAGAUCAACAAAAUCAUUACUAUCAUAAAUAUAGUACUCAAUGGCAAGACAAUCUCUAUGAGAAGAUCAUUUUUCUUGAGGUGUGGUGGAUUCUAUUUGUGCAUGGUGGGACUUGCAGAUUGGGCAUACCACACAAUAAUUCAUUUCCCUCAAAUGAUUUAACUGAUAAAUUUCUAAAAGGUCCCUCUCUAGGAAUCUCUCCUUCCAGCUUAUUGAAAGAAACAUUUAUGUCUUUAAGAUCUAACAAUUUCUCCAAAGAUAUAGGAAUAGUUCCAGAGAGAUUAUUAUUGGAUAAAUUUAAGGAUUUCAAGUUUAUCAAAUCACCAAUGGAAUCAGGAAUUGAGCCUUGUCAUCUAUUAAAUUCUACAAAGAGAUAUAGUAGAUCUUUUAGGCCUCCAAUUGUUGUUGGGAUAACACCUGAUGGUUGUCGAAGCCAAGAAAAAAUAAAUACCUACUCUAAAUAAAUUGUGUAUAGUGAUUGAGAAGGGUCGUGUCCACAGAGAUCGGUAAUUAUUUAAAUCCUUUUAAAAUAUAAAAUGCAAAAUUGGGGGAUUGUUGACAAUAAUAAAAAUCAAAUUAAAAUAACAAGAAUGCAAUUUCAAAAUUGUAAUUCAAAUUGGGGAAAGCUCUGGUUGAAGGAAUUAACUCAGCUUGAUUCGACUACUGAUCAUUGAUUCAAUUAUAAAUCAUUACUACUUAUGAAUAGACCAGUUAUAGCUACUGAGACCCUCUAAUAGCCAAUAUCUCCUUAACUAGUCGAUAACCAAGGUACGACCAUUGGUUAUUUCCCUAAUCAAUAGACAACCCUAGAUACGAUCAUAGGAUUUAAUCAAUUGACAGCCUGAAAAACUAGAGAGACCCAAAUCCUAAUCAACAACCGCAUACGAUGGUUCAUUUAAAUUAGAUUGUUUAUUCUCAUAACACAAUGCACUGCUAUGCUAUUUGUCAUAAACAUUAAAAUCUUCAUACGAUGAAUCUUUUAAUUGACAAUAGAUUAAGUUGAUAAUUAAAUAGUGGCCAAUUAUCUAAUUAACAAACAUAAUUAUGACAAUAAUUCAGAGAAUAAACAAAUACCCAAAAAACAAUAAAACAAUUAAAGCAUAAGAAAGAUCUCACAGUAGUGAUGAAUCAAAGCUUCAUUAACCUUCAACCAGAAUAAUAAGUUUAGUUCUUCAUAGAGAGGAGAAAAAUUUAGAUCUAGGGUUUCUUUCUCUUCAAAAAAUCCCCCCUUUUCACAAUAGAUUCCUCUCUUAAAUUCUCUUCUCCUCUAGAGUUCUUUUUAAAAUAAAAUACUAAUAUCUAAAAUAUUAUCCAAAUAUUAAAUUCGUAAUUACAAAAAUAACCAAAAAGACAAAACAUGUUAAACUAAAAACUGCAGGUCCGUAGUUGACAGCACGCGCCCAUGCCUUAUCAACAAAGUUCUUCUGAAGCUCAUAAUUUCUCUAGGAAAACAAUCAUCCUCAAAUAUCAUCUUGUAGCUCAAUUUUAGCACCAAUCAAUAGAAUUGCACCUACAAAAAUAAAACACAAGUAAAUCACUAUUAUUAAGUGCAAAACAUCGAUAUUAAAGGAAAUAAACAAUGCAAAACUAGUGCAUAAAUUGUACUCUAACAAAUUCCUCCACACCAAGAUGAUGCUUGUCCUCAAGCAUAUAACUCAAGACUAAUCCCAAAUCUCCACUCAAUUCUCAUCUCAACUCAUCCGAAAACAAUCUUAAGCAAGCAUACCUCAAGAAUUUAAGUCGAUCAACAUUCGAGAGAUAAGGAUUUUAAAGCAUAGGAUCUCAUUAAGUCACUCCUUCAGGUCCGCUCCGAAUCACUAGAUAUUUUCCUCUCUCUUAUUAUGUGGAUCCAAUCAAAACUUUCAACUUUUGGGAUUCAGCCAUCGGAUUUAAUGAAAAAGCUGUUCAAUGGCAAGAGCUUUAUUUAUUAGGUUUUUAACAUUACCCUGUUAUUUGAUAAUAAAAAAAUUGAAAAAUAUAGUUUAGUUCUUAUAUUUUAAUUUAGGAGUUUAUUUAAUUUUUAUAUAUUGAAAAAUAUUUCAAAAUACUUCUCUUAUUAAAUAUAUUAGGUUCCAACCUUUAAUAUUUUCGUUUUAAUGGUAAUACCUUACAAUAACAAUCUUGGAGAUAUUAAUGAAAAAAAUUAAUUCAUCAAAUUAGUCUUAAAAAAUAAAAAUUAAAGAAAUUUUUAUGUUAUUAUUUUACUUUUAGGAUUAAUUUAAUAAAUUAAAUUUUUGUAUACAAUUAUUAGUAAGAUUAUUGCAAUGAUAUUAAAUAUUACUUUCAGUUAGUUGAUAUUAAUUUAUUUAAAAAUAGUUAUUUUUCAGAUUCUAGUUAAAGUACAAAAAAUACUAAAUAGGUCAAAUGAUUGAGAUCAACAAACCCCUCUAAUAUGUCCCUCAUGUGGGUAAUUAAUGCGUCACUAACUUGGAUAUUUUAUAACCCUCUUAGUCAUGUUUUGUUUCGUUAAAAGGUAAAGUUAGAAAUAUAAAAGUGGAGUUUUGAAAGUGUGUUGGGGGCUCCACCUUUAGCUUAAUUAAUUGGAGUUCUAAAAUUGGAGUUUUGAUAAUUGGAGUCCAUUAUCACCCAAUAAUUUGGUCCAUUAAAUCAGAUAAUAGCCCAAAAAAAAACCCACCCACAUUCUCUUCUGCCUUCUGAGAAUCACCCAUGUCCACUGAAUUCAAAAAAUGCGGACGCGUAAAUGCCAUUUAAUUCAUCAAAUUAGCCUUAAAAAAUAAAAAUUGAUGUAAAUUUUUAUGUUAUUAUUUAAAUUUUAGAACUAAUUUGGUAUUUAAUUUUUUAUAUACAAUUAUUAGUAAGAUUAUUGCAAUGAUAUUAAAUAUUACUCUAAGUUGGAUGAUAUUAAUUUAUUUAUAAAUAGUUAUUAGUGAGACUUUAGUUAAAGUACAAAAAAUACUAAUUCUUUCAUACUGAUAUUUAUUGGUUAAUUUGGUAAUAAAUAAUUAGUUAAUUUACUAUUAAUUUUUUUUAGAUAAAUUAAUUAAUAUUGAGUAUAUUAUUGAUAGGGUAUUAUUAUAAAGGUAAAGAAAAAGUAAGAAUAAUAAUGUAAUAUAUUUAAUAACAAAAGUAUAUUGAAAUACUUUUUAAGAUAUAAGAAUUAAAUGAGUAUUUAAAUUAAAAUACAAAAAUUAAAUAAACAUUUACCUAACAAAAAAUCUAAAAGUUGAAAGUUUCAAAAUUUUGACACCCAACACUCAUCUAUUAAAAGAGGUCAUGAGAAUUAAAACUUAAGUGAAACAGUCCCAUAACAUUAUCACAAAACAUGGUGAGAUUUUCCUAUUUUCAUAUUUAAAUUUGACAGACAUAAGAGAUAAUGAUGGUGGGAGUGGGACUGCCUACUUGAAAUUUAAAUUUAAUUGCACGGUCCAUCCUCCCUUACAUUUUUUGUAUUCUCCUUCAAGAAGAAGAAAUUAGUGGCCCACUGAAUAGUGUUUAUGCGUGCUUUAUGGGUUAUAAGUUAAGUGAUAAUAUUUUUGUCAAUCCUUAGCCCGACUCAAGUCAUGAAUCGCAAAGCCAGUGUGACACUCGUUGGUGCUUUUAAGUAAUUAUUAUAAAUAAUUGCAAAGCCAAUUAUUUAUUACUUAUAAUGAAACCGAAAUUUCUCUCCGCGUCAAAAUAAGGGAGUGAAAGGGAGAAAAGAUUCCUCUCCACGUCAAAACAGAUGUUGAAAUGUUUUUGCUAUUUGGGCAAAACUACGUUGCAACACGGUACCCUUUCUUUUGUCUUUUUUUAAUUACAAUGAAAUUCUGUUAUUUGCUAUAAAAAUAAAAAAUCCAAAAACUUAUUAAACUUUCAUACAUUAGUUCUGCACCUAAAAAUUUUCGAUUGCAUUAAUGCUUAUGGAAGCCACGAUUUAUUUCAGAAGCACCUAUAAAUUCAAGCAUUUACUCUCUUUAUACAAAAAAAAACUAGUAAAUUAAAAGAAAAGUUUUUUGAGUUGUGUGAUUGAAUUUGAGCGCAAUAGCUUUAAUAAAAAAUAAAGGCAAUUGCUCGCUUUCUUUCAUACUUUGUAAAACUCCUAAUAUGAUAACUCAUUUAUGGCACGAUUAAUUAUUCAUUUAAUUAUACGAAUUGACUUAUAUUUUAAUUGAUAGAUAUGUGAUGAAUUGUCAUCUCUAUUGUUGUGCAUGCGCGAUGUUAGUAAGAGAGAAGAAAAAAUAGAAAAUACUUAUUUUUAGUUUAUUUUUACUAAGGAAAUAUUUAAAUUAUUUUCAAAUAGAGUAAUUGUUUAGAAUUUAUUUUUACCCUUCUUUCAGUUAAGUUAAUGAAAGAUCUCAACUGUAGUAUGGAUGUGUGCUAAUGACUAUUUAAAUUGUGGGGAUGGAGUAACAAAUAUCAAUUUAUUUAAGUGUGCAAUUAAAUUUAUUAUUUUUAUCUAGGGAUAAAAACUCAACAAAAAAAUACAAAACUCAUUGUUCAAACAAAAAAAAAAUUAUUUUACAAAUUCAUAAACUAACACUUUAUUAUUAUUAGUAAAUUAGCAUAUUUUUACUACAUAAUUAAAUAACUGAUAGUAUGUUAAAUAAAUUUUAUGUUACAAAAAAACAUAGUAAAACAUUUACUACAUAGAAUAUCAAAUUAAAUUUAUUUUCGUAUUUUGUACAUUCCAUUUACUUGAGAUAGUAAAAUCCCUUGUGUUGGGAAAAAAAAAAAAAGUUACGGGGUUUGAACCUUGGUCACAUAGGUGAGAGGAAAUUGGUUGCCGUUAUGUUAAAUUAAAAAAAUCAUAUUUAUAUUUACCAUUAAUUAUGGUUAGUAAAUAAUAUACAUAGUUUAAUUAUAUAAUAAAUUAGUUAAUUUUUUUAUUAAUAAGUAAAUUUAUUAAUUUAAAUAGAUAUUAAUAAAUGCAAGAAUAAGUCAUUUAAGUGGAAACCUAGUUCAAUAGUGUAAAAAAAUUAGAAUAUUAUGGACUUAUAUGUCAUAAUUUUAAAACUUUUGAUUUUUCUUAUUUUACAUGAACAAGAGGGGCUUUUAAUUUUAAAAACCUAAAAUCACAAUUAAGCCAUUAUACAACUCUUGGUCACAUUCGACAGUGAAUUUGAGAAAGACACAAAUGGGGCACCAAACCCCAGGGGUAACGUAGCUGGACCCAUUCGUUUGAUGAUUCGAGGAUUCACAAUUGCCGAUAAGUCCAACAAAAAUUCCAAAAAUUAUUUGAUUAAAAAAAGCUAAUGAAAAAGCUGUUUAAUAGGUUUUUAACAUUACCUGUUAUUUGAUUAAAAGAAAAUUGUAAAUAUUAGUUUAGCUUUUCUAUUUGGGAUAUUAUCAUUUUCCCACCAAAGGUAUUCUGACACAUCAUGUCAGUACCAUGGUUUGGUAAAACUAUCAAUUUACCACCAAACGUUUAAACUGUUAGCAUUUUCCCACCAUUCCGUUAAAACUCCGUUAAUAUGUAACAGAAAAUUCAUAAAAGGUCAAUUUUACCCCUGGAGCGUAAAAGACUAUGUAAUUAAUCUUUUAUGAAUUUUGUAAUUAAAUCAUCAUUUGUUGUUCUUCCUUCUUAAAGGACAAAAAUUACCCUUUAUAAAUUUUGUAAAAUUGACCGUGUGGUGCUAGGUACUUCAUAAAUUGAUUUAAUUUAUUUAAUUUUUAAAGGGCAAAUUUAUUUAUUAAAUUGACGAGCUAAAGACAAUUUAUUCUGCUACUAAAACUCAAUUUAUGAAAGGGCAAAAAAAAAAAAAAAGAAUAUGCAAAAGAAGCAAUUUAAUCUUUGAUAUGAUGAUAAUAAUUUUACACAAAAAAUUAAAUAAAUAAAUUUGCCCUUUAAAAAUUAAAUAAAUUAAAUCAAUUUAUGAAUUACCUAACACCACACGGUCAAUUUUACAAAAUUCAUAAAAGGUAAUUUUUGUCCUUUAAGAAGGAAGAACAAUAAAUGAUGAUUUAAUUACAAAAUUCAUAAAAGAUUAAUUACAUGGUCUUUUAUGCUCCAGGGGUAAAAUUGACUUUUUAAAAAAUUUCCGUUACAUAUUAACUGAGUUUUAACGGAAUGGUGGGAAAAUGCUAACAAUUUAAAUGUUUGGUGGUAAAUUGAUAGUUUUACCAAACCAUGGUACUGACAUGAUGUGUCAGAAUACCUUUGGUGGGAAAAUGAUAAUAUCCCUUUUUAUUUUAAUUUAAGAGUUUAUUUAAUUUAUAUAUUUUAAAAAAUACCUCAAAACACUCUUCUUGUUAAUUAUAUUAGGUUCCAACCUUUAAUUGUUUUUUAUAAUAAUACCUUACAAUAAGAAUCUUAGAGAUAUUAAUGAAAAGAAAAAAUUUAAUUCAUCAAAUUAGCCUUAAAAUAUAAAAAUUAAUGUAAAUUUUUAUGUUAUUAUUUAAGUUUUAGGAUUAAUUUGGUAAAUUAAUAUUUUAUAUACAAUUAUUAGUAAGAUUAUUGCAAUGAUAUUAAAUAUUACUUAAGUUGGCUAAUAUUAAUAUAUUUAUAAAUAGUUAUUAGUAAGAUUUAUGUUAAAGACCAAAAAAUAUUAGUUCUUGUAGACUGAUAUUUAUUGGUUAAUUUGGUAAUAAAUAAUUAGUUAAUUUGCUAUUAAUUUUUUUAGAUAAAUUAAUUAAUAUUAAGAAUAUUAUUGUUACAAUAUUAUUAUAAAAGUAAAAAAUAAGUAAGGAUAAUAAUGUGACAUAUUUAAUAACAAAGGUAAAUUAAAAUACUUUUUAAAAUAUAAAAAAUAAAUGAAAACUUAAAUUAAAAUACAAAAGAUAAACAAGCAUUUACUUGAUUAAAAAUCAUAGAAGUUAAGGGUGCGUUUGGUAAUGUUUUUUAACUAGUGUUUUCAACUCUUAUUUUUGAGAAAGAAAAUGAUGUUUUUGAUGUGAUGUUUUUUAAAAUGAAAAUUCGUUUGGUAUUAUGUUUUCAAAACGGCAUAUGAAAAUAAAAACAAUAAAAAUUUGUUUGGUUGUUUGUCUGAAAAUGUGAAAAUCAGUAAAAAUGUGUUUGGUUGUUUGUCUGAAAAUAUAAAAUUUUUAUAGAAUAUCUUAUAAAAUAAAUUUUCUUUAAUUUAUUUAUACAUUUUAUCUUUUAUUAUUAUAAUUUUAAUCAAAAUGAAAUCAAAUUUCACAAAACGAUAAUAAUUUUUAGAAACCCUCUUAUAUUUUAUUAAUUUUAAGAAAAUAAAAUGAAAAAUAAAAUAAUAAAUGUUUUAUAAUUAACAUAACAAAAUAAAAAACCAUACUACAAUUAUACAAUGGGGAGGAAGAAGAAAGCUCUGUUCACGGUCAAAGAAGAAGAAGAAGAUAAGGUAAAUCGUAAAAAGAGAGAAAGAAGAAAGCUCUGAUCAAUGAAGAAGAAGAAGAAGAUAAGGAAAAUCGUAAAAGUGACACUCUUCUCUAAAAAGAAAGAUAAAGUAAAAGUAAAUUUAAAUAAUUAAUUAAUAAAAAAAUUAUAAUAAAUCAUAGUUAUAGGCCUAAAUUACUUUUUCAUCUAACCUUUUUUAUUUUGUUCUCCACCGAGCUCAAGAACACCAAUUUGGCGUUCUUGAGUUUUAUUUACAAAACUUGAGAAACAAAAAUAUUUUGUUUUCUAUUUUUUUUACUAUUUAUUAUAAAAUGGUUUAACCAAACAUGUUUUGUAAUUUUCAUUUUUAGAAAACAAAAAACACCCAUCUAGAAAACUUUACCAAACACAUCCUAAAAGUUCCAAAAUUUUGACACCCAAGACUUAUCUAUUAAAAGAGUGUUUAUGCGUGCUUUAUGUGUUAUAAGUUAAGUUAUAACAUUUUUGUCAAUCCAUAGCAUAAUGACUAAUUAUGACUAAUUAUGAUGACUAAUUAUGACUUGUAAAGUCAAUGUAAGAGAAGACAAUCGGAUAAUCACUAAUUAUGAUAAAACCGAAAUUUCCCUCCGCGUGAAAAUAAAGGAGUGAAAGCGAGAAAAGAUUCCUCUCCACGCGACAGCAGAUGUUGGAAUGUUUUUGCUAUUCGUUUGAUGAUUCGAGGAUUCACAAGUGGCGAUAAGUCCAAGUGUCCAACAAAAAUUCCAAAAAUUAUCUUCCAAGAUGAAGAAAUCAGUGGCCCAUCAGUUAAUUAAUUGUGCGUGCUUUCUGGGCUAUAACAUUUUUGUCAAUCCUUAGCCCGACUCAAAAGUCAUGAAUCGCAAAGCCAGUGUGACACUCGUUGGUGCUUUUAAGGAUUUAUUAUAAAUAAUUGCAAAGCCAAUUAUUUAUUAUUUAUAAUGAAACCGAAAUCUCUCUCCGCGUGAAGAUAAAGGAGUGAAAGCGAGAAAAGAUUCCUCUCCACGUGAAAACAGAUGUUGAAAUGUUUUUGCUAUUCGUUUGAUGAUUCGAGGAUUCACAAUUGCCAAAGACAAUAAGACAUUAUAAAUAAUAAAUAAUUCCAAGAUGAAGAAAUCAGCGACCCAUCAGUUAAUUGUGCGUGCUCCAUGGGUUAAAACAUUUUUGUCGAUACUCAACCCAACUCAGAAAUCACGAGUUGCACUGUCAAUGAAAAAGAAGACAAAAGUCACCGAAAGCAAAGACAAUAAGACAUUGACUGAUGAUAACAUGCUGGGACAUUAAGUAUCCCUUUGGGAUUAAAGUAGAAUUUUAAUAAAUUUCUUAUUUCAUAAUUUUUUAUAAAAAUAAUAUUCGAUAAAUUUCACAAAAACUACUUCUUUUAUAAUUUUUUUUUUAUUUUACUGCUGUUUUUAAAAACAGGUUGAGAUUUACUUUUCAUAAACAGCUUAAAAUAAGCUACAACAAUUUUUCAAAAUUUAUAUUAUAACAUUAAUAAUUUAACAAAAAAACUAAUUAUGUCUUAUUUUUUCAUAUACUCUAAUUUAUAAACUACUAAAUAUCAUAUUUCCACCACAAUUUACCGCUGCAACUAAUGUGGGUUCUAUCCAAUAUCAAAGAUUUGAUUUAGCAGGUUCAUAUUUUUAAUAUUUUAAUAUUAUUUUUUAUUAUAAAAUAAAAAAAAUUAUUUAUAUAUGAUUACAUAAUUAUUUUUUAACUAUGAAAAAGUCCAUGUGAAAGUUAAACAUAACUUUUAAAAUCAAUUUCAUAACCAUGGUUUUUAACAUUCAAUCUAUUUAUAUUUUUUUUAUAGUCAUGAUGUUCAUUGCAACACGUUGAUUCUCUGCUUUUAGGAGUCUCGUUACCAUUUCCUUUGCAUUGAUCAUCUGCUUUGGUGAUUCCACAGUACACUCCAUAGCCAAAUUGAAGACAAAUGACAUAUAUUGCUCUUUGGUCAUAAAAUGUUUGUCCUCCCGACUUAGCAAAUUCGCAUCAACAACUCCCAUAACUAAAAUAAUAUCUUACUAAUAUCUAUCAAAAUUAAAAAGGUAUAGUGCAAGUAAGCAAUAGGCUGUAGAUAGAUUGUGUGUGCGGUUAAAACUAAAAGACGAAAUGUGUGGUAUAUAUGUUGGAUUGCAGGAAGAAUGCGAGAGAUUCACAUUUGUUAUGCUGAAUUAAACUGAAUAUAUGAUUAGGUAAGAUUGUAUUAGACUAAAUUAGAUAGGAUUGGACUAAAUUAUUUAUGGUGGAUUGGACUGAAUUCAUUGAUAAUUUAUAAAUUAAAUUAAAUAAUUAGAAAAUACUAAUAUAAAUUAAAUUAUUUAUCUCAAAACAUUUUAUUAAUAAUGGCGAAGUAUUAUAAAUAUACAUUUUUAUAUCAUGGAAUUAGUAUACAUAAUAUUAAUUAAAAUUAUGGAAAAUAUACAAGUUUAAGUUUAAUUAUAAUUGAAAUAAAAUUUGUCAAAAUAAUCUAAGGAUUUUGAUCGAGAGAGUGAUGUUGCUCACCACCACCUUAUGGAGAGUGAUGCUGCACGUGUCCAACUCUAAUAAUUAGGAGACAUGUGAAGCGAGACUCAUAGCUCUCCGAAUAAUAGCUGAAUACAUGCAGACGUCGCUCAUGUGAUCACUACUCAACAAUCUAAUCUCUUAAAAUUAUCUCGUAACAACUAAAUGUGCCCCAAUUUAAUAAUGUACUACUCUAGUUUUUAUCUAGGAUUUGAAUUUUCUCUUAAUCUAAUCUCUCCUAAGCUUUUGUAUAAGAUCAUGACACGUGUCAUUCAAGUCUUUAGCUAUGAUUUAAUUUAUUUUAAACUUGGUUUUUCUAAAAAUCAGGAUAAAAGUUUGUUUAGUCCCUAUAUUUUAAGAUUAUUGCUCGUUUAGUCCCUAUAUUUUUUAAAACACCUCAAAAUAUCUUUGUCAAUAGUUUAACGGUAGAAGUGUCAAUAGUUUAACGUCAGGAAUGUAUUGAAGUAUUUUAAAAAAUAUAAGGACCAAAUAGACAUUAACUUCAAUAUAUAGGGAUUAAACAAAUUUUUACCCUAAAAAUCAAAACAUAAGUUUUCAUGCCUAUAAAUGUCUGAAACUUAACGGCUAUUAUCACAAACUGCUGCUUCUUUUUCGCUUCUUCUUCUCUACUACUUUGAAUAUCACAAACUUUGGACUUUUGUGUAAAACUUGAGCAAAGAAGUAACAUUGCCCAUUACUUCUUAAUUCUUUUAGGAAUUUAUAUCAUGGAAUUAGAUUAAAUUUGAAUGCAUUAAUGUUAUCGGUAUUCUGCAAUAACAAUUGAAGCUACUUGAAGUAGACAACAUCAAUUGAAGACAAUUUCUAUUUGCAAUCAUCAGCAAUUAAUUUAACUUUAUUUUACACAAAAAUAUUGUUCCAUCUUUCUAAUUCUCCAUUUAAUUAUGGUCCCUAGAAAGACAAUUAAAAAAAAAGAACCAAAAAAAAAAUCUAACCUGCUUGAUUGGUUAUCAAAGUUUGUUGGGUGAACACGGAAUAGAAGAAAAUUCAAUAGGAAAGAGAAAGAGAAAAAAGAAUAGUGAAGGAAAUUGAAGGUUAAAGCUUAUUAGACAUCCGUUAAUCUUACAGCUAUUAAAAUAAUUAGGCAAUAAAACGAUGUGUUCUAAUUUUAAUAAGGAAAGUCUAAUAUAAAUUAAAUCCAAGCCUUAGAAAGACUUAAUUGGCAUGUGUCAUGAUCUUAUACAAAAUUUAUAAAAAAGAUUCGAUUAGGAGAAGAUCCCUAUAUUUCUCUUCUCAAAUAUUAAAAAAAAAGAUUCAAAGUUAUUAUCAACAUUUAUUUCAAAGUUCGCAAUUGAAAUGCUUAAACACGAUUAAUUUUCGAGCAAAUAAAUAUUUUCUAAUCUUUAUAUCAACCUUCCUGUUAUUCUGGGAAUGAGCAUUAGUGGUCAAGGUGAAAUACUACGAGUAAUGAAUAAAAAAUUGACAUAAAUAUAAAGUCUAUGAUCAUGCUUACCCUGGAGUCUGUCUUGGUCAAGAUAUAACUCCUUAAGCUUGGUCAAGAAAUCAUUGAUUGACGAAGAUAAUUUUUGUAGAGGAAGAUUGUAGCAAAUAUUUGUUGGGAGGUCAGCAAAUAACCUAUCAUAUUCAAAAUAAAUAUUAGCUAGUAAAGAAGACUUGCUUAAGAUGAAGGAAGGAAUAAUGCCUAUUAAGAAAUUAUUUGUUAGCGCCGGCAUCUUCAAUUAUAUAAAGAUAAGUAGUAAUUCAUUGCCAAAUAUUUUAUAUAGAUGUCAGACAUGCAUAUUAUUGGUGAAGACACAUGCUAAGUUAUUACAUCACAAAUCCAAGUUCAAUCGGGUAGAAAGAUUGAAGAUUGAUGAAGGAAUGAUUCCAGUUAAGAAAUAUUUUGUAGCCAUAACAUCUCCAAUUCUGCAACAUUCCCCCGCUCCUCUGGAAUUUCUCCUCAAACGUAAUGAGUAACAUAUGCGUAAACAUUAUUAACUUAUUACCCAGCUCUCAAGAAGAAAAGAAAUGAAACAAAAGUAAUUAUUGCCUGAAGAGAAUAAAAAACAGUGCUUUAGUUAUAUAGUGAAAUAUUUGACUAAUAGCUGUUAAAAUUAAGGGCAAAACUAUGGUAUCACCGUGGUAUCAUACCACAGCUGAAUCCAGCCUACAGUGGUCACCAGAGCUGUAUCCAAUGGCUAGAUUCAGCUGUAGUAUGGUACAACUGUGGUACCAUAGCUGGACCCUAAAAUUCAAUAGGUAUACGGCAAUUAAGCAAUAAGUAGUUGAUAGAUUGUGUGUGGUUAAAACUAAAAAGAUCAAAUGUGUGUCAUGCUGGAUUAUAGGGGGAAUGCAAGAUUCAUAGUUGGUAAGCUGGAUUAAACAGAAUAUAUGAUCACUAAAUAAGAUUGUAUUAAACUGAAUUUGAUAGGAAUGAACAAAAUUAUUUAUUGAGGAUUAGAUUGGACUAAUUGAUAAUUUAUAAAUAAAAUUAGAUAAUUGAAACUACUAAUAUAAAUUUAAUUAUUUAUCUCAAAACAUUCUAUUAGUUUUUUUUUUUAUACAUACAUUCUAUUAGUAAUUUAAAAUAGUAUAAAUAUACAAAUUUAUAUCAUGAAAUGAAUAUUCGUAAUUAAACUUUUUUAAAAUAUGUGAGUUUAAGUUUAAUUAUAAUUGGACUAAAAUUUGUCAAAUAAUCUAAGGAUUUUGAUCGAGUAAGAAGUGAGAGCCACAACUCUUCCAAUAAGAGCUGAACUCAUGCGAUAAAAAGCGACAUCACUCAUGUGAUCACUAUUCAAUAAUCUAAUCCAUCAAAAUUAUCUUAGAACCAUUAAACAUGACAUGACUCCUCCAAUCAAUAUUUAGAAUGUUGAUCCUAUUCUAAUCAAUUUUUUGCUAAGCUUUUGCAUAAAAUCAUGACACAUCAUUUGAGUUUUUUAGAUUUCAUUUGGUAUAGCUUUUCAAACAAAGUUUAUUUAAAUAGAGUUUCUACUAUUAGAAUUUUAAUAAAUAGAGUUUUUAUAUAAAAAAAGUGUUAUUUGGUCGUCAAUUAAAGAUAUUGCUAACAAUUAUAAAAUUAUUCUAAUAGACAAAAUUUUAAAAUUUUUUUAUGAAAGGAAUGAUAUAAAAUUGUAAAAUAACUUAUAAGAUUAGUUUGGGAUACUUCAAAAAAUUUAACUCUUUAAAAAGAUUUUACAAUCUCUACUCCCAAAUAGCCUCAAGUUGAAACGUUUUGGAAGUGGAGACAAAAUAAAUUACUUAAUAAUUAAAAACUCUACUCAAGAUGCUGCCAAAUAAUAUGAAUGUUCCGCUAUUUAUACUUUUGUUAACAGAUCUUUUAAAUUAAUAAAUAAAUGAUAUUUUUAAAUUAAUAUGAAAGAAUGAACCGCAAAAUUGUAAGCCCCGUUCAGUUGUUUUAUGAAAGCACGUGAAUAACUGUGUAAUCGGCCAAAUACCAUGAGGAAAUUCAGAGCUCCACGCGCGUCUCGGCCGCUCGCCCGAGUGCGAGAAGAAUUUCUGGGGCACACGUGUCUCAGCCGCUCGCACGAGGCAUGGAUCUCUAGUUACCAUGCAUGCUUCUCAGCAUAACGUGGCCCAGGGACUUUCCUGGCUAAUUUGCGGGGUUUGCCUAAAUGCAUAAAAUACUUUUUUUUUAAUUAUUAUUAAGCUUAAGAAUUUUCAGUUUUGGCGAUGUGGGAAAAAAAAAAUUAAAAUCAUGUGAUUCAUGUCAAACAUGAUUAGACAACUUCACCUUUGCUCGUUUUUAUCAAUCAUUUAUCAUUAGGAGCAAGAGGGGGAAAAAAUUCGAUACCUUGUGUUGUCCUUGUAAAUGGUGCGCAUUUUUUUUAAUUAUAAUACACAUAAAAUUUUAUUUCUUUUAUAGGAACAAGAAUGAGCGAAGAUAAAGUCAUCUAAUCAUGUUUGAUUGCUAACUAAAAAAAAAAUUAUUUUUUAUUAAUUUUGUUUCUUUAAUUUUUUAUCUCAAUGUAAAUAGUAAUAAUAAUAAUUUUUUUAAAAUUUAAUAAUUUUAUUUCUUAAUUAAUUAAAGAUAAUUUUAGACACAAAAAUUUUUCACUCAGUCCCUUUGGUACUAAUACUUCUUAUUAAUCCCUGAAGUUGCUUUUAUUUACUUGUUUAAACCAUAUAUGAAGAAUGUCAAUCUCAUGAUAUUACAGAUUCUCCGUUGAUAUUCUUUGACAUCUAAUUUGAUUCGAUGGACAAAUUAGUAGCUUCUCCUCAACAAAUGAAUAAUGAUGAGCACUUCUCUUUCAGAGUCACUUGUGGAGAUUUAUCUUGAUGUGAAUUUCCUGUUAGGGAACCAUAAUCUCUAGAAGUGGUUCGGAAUAUAGAAUUCUCUUCUCUGGUACCAAGAGAUUCUCCAAUUCCAGGUCAUUUGAGGACACUGUUGUCGCCUUGCAAGCGGAAGAUUUUUCACUUAGUCCCAAGAAUAGAAGCUGAAUCAACUUAGUCGGUUGACUCAGGACAGAAUAACAUUACUGGAAGAAAAUUGACCUAUGUUUUUCCUUUUUAGUUCUGAAUCUCUUUCUUAACACAGCAAUUAGGUCAAGAGGAACAUGAUUUGAACGAUUUGAAGCUUCUUAUCUGAGGUUACCUAGGAUUCCAUACUCAUGGGAAUUUGGCUCUUUUCAUUUCUCAGCACUUAAGGAGUUUAAGCAUAAUCAAUAAUGAAACCCAAUUGAGAAAUACUAUCGUCUGUUGCAACAUCUAUGAUUUCAACUGGACCACAACGUUUGUUUUUCUUUUUAUCUUUUUUGGGAAAAAAAAAUGAUUUAGCGAUCAUGUCACUGAUUUUGUCAACAAGAUGAAUAAUUUUAUCUUCUCAUUAAUGAACAAUUCUUUCCAGCACUCUUUAGGAGACUCACGCCCAUUCACUAAUUACCCACCAUGCUCAGAAUGCAAAAUGCGAAAUAGGAGUAAUAUAAUACUUUACUUGUCUAAUUUCAACACAUUUUCAAACUAAUUAAUACCACUACAAGAAAAAGUUAUUUAUGUGACUGUUAUUUUGCAUUUACAUAUGGCCUUUACGACAGCUUUGUAACGACAAAGAAGGGUUACUUACGCGGGCAUUGCAAAAGCUUUGUAACCGUUGCAAAUGCUUUUUAAUCGUAUUUUUGGCGUGCGGCCGGUCACAAAAGUUAUUAACAGUCACCAAAAUGAAUAACCACCUAAAUGCGGUCACAUUAAGUAAUGGGUUGGAUGCAAGUUUUAUGACUGGUGGAAGCUGUCACAAAUUUGUAAUGCUUAAUUUUUUCAUAAUUUUGUGAUAUUUGACUAUUUGUCAAUAUUUUAUCUCAUUUUCCUGAUAUUUGUCAAUGACAACAAAAAUUCAACAUUGUUCAUUACAACGUUAAAAUACUAAAAUUAAUUAUCAUGAUACCAUCCAUAAAGUUCAAAUUAUAUACUGAAAACGAGAGAUUAACAUCAAGCCACAAGUCUCCAAGUCAAAAAUUAAAAGUAUACACAAAUGCAAAUACAAGCCUACGAUACAAAGUCUUACAAAAAUAAGUAAUGAAUCCAGGAGUCACCAAUGCAUCUUAUCAAACGAUAGCCUACAAUAGAAGCAACAAUAUAUUAAAAAUGUUCAAGACAAACACACUUAAAUAUCAUAAUUAUAUAACUAAGCACUUCUUGCUAGCAAUAAUUAGAAGCGCUCUUGGUACAACUGUUAAUGUCUCUAUCCUUUGUUGAAACUCUUAGUUAAUUUGCAAAUCUAAUAUUCAUUUUCCAAAAAUAAUAUCAACAUUGAACAUAUGAAGAGUAAUGAAUCAUAAUUUUACAAGUAAAAGCGUUUGUCUAUAAAUUGACCUCAUAAUUUCCAGCAUAACUGCACGACGGUGUUGAUGCGCAUUGGAAGCAUCGACUAUCUACUAAAAAAACAAACAUUUUGUUUUUCCCCUAAGAAACACAAAAGGAAAUGUAGUCUAUAUAUAGAUGAUAAAUAUGCAACCUAUAUAUUUUACUAUAUUGUAAAAUGUAGGAAAUGUAGGGAAGGGCAUUAAGUUGCAAGGUUCAGUUCCAAGUUGACAAUAAAAAUUGCUAUUAUGCUGCAACUUUUCUCAAUAUACUCCACACUUUUCACCCUAAAUUAUACAUUUAUUCUAAAAUAAUUUUUAAAAAUAAUUUUGAAUUUUAAGUAAAUAUUCACUAUAAUCUGAUGAUUUUUAAGUUCAACUUUAAUUAAUGUUUUACUAGAUAUUUGGAUCGAAAAUAAAAGACUUCAUGUUGGCAUUUCCUUGUCCAACCUUCACUCCUUUGACUAAUCUUGAUUUAAACAUUUUCAAUUCUCAUUUGUUUUUUAUUAGGUCAAGAUUAUAGAUCGUCUAGCAAAUGAGUAGUACAUUAAACAACUAAAAUCUCUAAAUAAAUAUCUAGGAUGGUUAAUCCAAAUACUAAGCUAUUAACUGCUAAUGUUUACAUUUUAGAGUUUUAAUUUUUUACUUUAUAAUUUAUUUGAUUUAGCUGUUACUUUUAAUUUUUAAAAUAUUUAAAAUAAAUAAGUCGACAAUGGUCAAAGGGUUUAGUAAUUGCGUACAAGUAUUAGUGUUUUAUAUCCAUACCUAAUGCACCCAAUGAAUAGGUAUAAAAAUUUAUAUCCCUAUACAAUUUUUUUUAUAAAAUAUGGAUAAAAUUAGACCUGACGCCUAAUUUUAACGUAACAGACCCUUGUGCUUGUAGGGAUUUUUUGCCAUCCCUAUAUGGGACUAGAACAAAGCUAACAUGCCUAUCUAAUGAGACUGGACCAUAAUUUUAUUUAAUAGAUCUUAGGCCUGGAUCAGUCUAGUUGCUUCCUUUUUGAUACCUUUGAUUGCUAUUUAGGUAGCAUUUACUUCUCAUAUUAGAGCAUGAAUUAUGAGAUUGAGAGUAAAAAUAGGUUGUUUACUUACAUUAAAAUGAGAGUAUGGAAUAGGAAUCAAAAUUCCAUUUAUGUGUUUAUUUGUUUUAGAUUGGGAGUCAGUUGUUUUAAAUUAUAAUUUUACCCUUAUUUAAAAAAUUGUAGAUUUUAGUUACAUAUAUUUGUAAAAUAAAAUAUUUAUUUUAUUAUUAAUUUUAAUUAUAUAAAUUAAUAAUAAUUAUCAAUAUUCUUAAUUAUAUAAACCGUAAUUUUUUAUUUAAUUUUAAUUUAAUUAAUUAAACUAAAAUUAUUGAUAAGGGCAAUACAAAUGAAACAUCAUCAUUAAUAAUAUACUGCAAAGUUAAUAUUUUCUUAGAAUAAACUAUUUAUUAUUAUUAUCAUUAUUAUUAAUUAAAAUUAAAUAAAUAUAAUAUUAUUAUAUUUAAUAAGCCUAAUAUUAUUAUUUUUAAUAAAUGUAUUAUUAUUAAAUAAUAUAAUAGUAUUAUUUAAAUAGAUAUGAUAUUUUUACUUUUUUUUUUUUUUUGAAGAAAGCAUGGAUUGCAUUAAAGAGAUAAAGCAUCAAUUAACCAGGGAGGGGGAACAAGACUCCACUCACCCAAACCUGACAUAGAACGCCCCACCCGAGCAACAGUAUGGGCAGCGGAGUUCGCAGAUCGACGAACAAAAGAGAAAGUCACUUCUCCUAAAGAUUGAAUAUAAUUAAAUGCAACAUUAUUUUAGUUUAAUGAAUAUAAUUAUAUUAUAUUUAAUAAAAAAAGGGUGAAACAAGAAGAAGACCUCCUCAGGGUAGUGAGCGACGCUGUUUUGUUCUCCAUGCUCCCUACCCAAAAAUCCACAAGCGGUGACUUCAUUCAACUUUUCCCAGCCCACUGACAGUGACGAGCGUCACACCCACACCGUAUUAUAAAUAAUAAUAAUUAUAAAAUUUUGAUGAUGAUGAUUGAAAUUAACUACCAAUGUUGAAUUCACCGUUAAGACCCUGAGGGAAACAAAUUUAUUGGCGCCAAAAUCUUGGUCUCAAAAUACUGUAUAUAUAAUUUUACUGUUAUGCGUCUCGUUGGUAUAUCAUUUAUUGGAAUUAGAAAAAUGUGUAUUUGCUGCUCGGCCAAAUGAUUCCAUAUUGAAAUGUGGAGAUUGAAUUCCUCCAUCAAUUAAAAAAAAAAAAGAGUGGAGAUUUUUUUUCCAUUAUAAAAUAUAAGUGGAGUAGAUUUUUCUCAAAAAUUAGUAAGCAUAGAAAAUAUAAACAGAUCAGUAGUUGUCUGAUUGUAAUAUCAUUCUAAAAAAUGUGCAUGUAUGUUCUAAGUAAUAACUUUAUUAAGGCAAUUUGGGGUACAUAGGUUGAGAUUUUAUACUUGUGCCGUGUGAGCUUCAUAUAAUUUUACAUGGCCAAGGACGUGUCAAAGUUGAUAAACAUGCCAUUAUUAAUAAAGAAUUAUUGAUUUAACAUUCAAGAUUAUCGUGUGAUAUAGGACGUUAUUUUAGAAUUUUAUUAUUAUAGGUAUUUUGUUAUUUUCUAUUUUAAUUAGCACCAUAUUUUAGUUUUUUAUUUCUAUUAUAAUUAUUAUUUAGUUUCCCUUUUAGCUUAACUUUUACCUCAUUAUAAAUAGAGAUGUCUCUUUAUUGUUUUCAUAGCUUUAGCUUUAUUUGUUCAAUAAAAGUUAUAAAACCCUUCAUUUAAAAUUCUUUUUGGGAUUAUCCACUGAAACCUCUCUUGUAGAAUCAUUUGGAUUAGAGUGUAAUCUUAUCUCAUUUAACACAUUAUUAAAUUCUUAUUUAGUCGUUUGCAUUAGAAUGAGAUUUAAUCAGUUUCAAUUAGAAUGUAACCUACAAUUUCACUAUUAAUUCCACUUUCGCUACCUUGCUCUGUCAUCAUGAAGUAUCAAUUGUGCUCUCGCUGUCCCACUCCAUCAUCAUGAUUAAUCCAAAAUUUAAAAAUAAAUACAUGCAACCAAAUAUCAGAAAUUAUUUGAACUUUAUUGCACUAUUUUUCAUUAGAUUACGAUUUGACUUUCAAAGAGAUUUAAUUUCAAACAACUUUGAUUCGACAGUUACUCUCAUUCACUUCUAAUACUGCUAAUAACUUAAAGCUAAAAAUUUUCGUCUUCAGUAAUUAGAUCUGAGCAGUGCAGGGUGCUACAAUUUUUAAAUUGAUUAAAACAAAUCGCUUCACUGAUCAGAAUAUCAUCAAUACCCCAAAAGAAAAAUAUUAAGCAAUUUUUAGAAUUCACAUGACAAAAUAUGUGUAUAAUUGAUUUACGUGGGCUUUGUGAAUCAACCAUAGAAAAGCCCACAACCUGAUCCAACGACACCGAUUCUUCUCGGCCACUGAGCAUAAAUUUCCCAAGUUUCAUAGUGAACGACACCGUUUUGUUCUCCUUGCUCGCCACGCAAAAAACUGCCAAGGAGUCACUUCACUGAAGUGCAAAUGUCAGUUAUCUUCACAGUUCACACGUUUAUGAAUAAAUUGGAAAAAAAAAAUAGAGAAAUUAUCCUAAAAAAAAUGGAGAAAUCAUGUGCGCAAAACCUUGCAUCGACUAUUAUUGUAAUGUGCUACAUAGAUAUCAAUUUAAUCUUGGAGUAAUGAUCUUGUGGGUGAACAUGGUUCUCGCCUUAUGGUGAGUAGCAAUGCCACAUGGCGAUGUCCGGUCUGCGUGUCCAGUGCUAAAUAAUCUAGAGAAUUUUUAUUCUUAUUUUUAUUUUUGUUAUUUUUAUUUGUCAUUAUUGGGUGCUUGUACAGAUGCUCUGUGGGUGUUGCUUUACCAGUGUACUCAACAUUCAAGGGAAUUGAGAGGAAAGAUGAAGAUGAGCAACAAAAGUGGCUCAUGUAUUGGGCAGGUUGGAAUUUAUUUUUAUUUUUAUAAUUUAUUAUUAUUAUUUUUUGUUAGGCUUGUCACCUUACUUGUUUUGUUACAUGAGAUUUUCAUAGACUCCUAAAUUUCCUCUGUAUCCAUUAUUUUUAGCCCAAGUGUUUUCUUGUUAGAUGCUUUGAUCAGUUGGGCAAAAAAAUUGAAUAUUACCUUUAUGGUUAUAGUGAUGCUGAGAUCUUGCAUGGGUGAAAAUAUAUAGCUCUACUAUUCAUGAUGACCAUCAAUGAUGAAAGUAACAAAUGUGCAGAAAUUCUUAUCACAUGUUGAUAAAUUUUGUAAUCAAUAAAAGAUAAGGCUGGUAUGAUCUGGGGAUAUAUAUCUGGCAUUGGUGCUUGCCCUUGAUGAACUUUUGAUGGUACUUGUCCUACUGACUAUUUGCAGCUUAUGGAACUUUUAGCAUUGCUGAGGCUUUUGCAGACAAGUUUCUUACUUGGUAAAGUUUUUGAGUACCAGUGAUUUCUUCCUUUUGCUUGUGUAGUAAGUAUUUAUCAUACAUUUUUCGAAAAAUAAGCAAGUGUACAUCUUUUCCCACGCAUAUACGCACGACGCUUAAUUAUCUAUGCCUAAUUGAUGUUACUGCCUUAUCUUGUUUCAUCAUUUCAGGUUUCCCAUGUAUUAUCACCUGAAAUUUGCAUUUCUUGUAUGGCUUCAGCUUCCAUCUACUGAUGUAAGUUUAAAAAUAACGCUUGUAACUUUGGAUCAUAUUGAAAAAAUGGGGAAGUGUAGUUGUAUUUAUAUUUAUUUGUGAUGAAAAUUAAUGUAGCUUAAUAUGUUUAACUUUUGACUUCAAAUUAACUCAUCGUGAUAAACUUCCUUAUUUCUUGUUAGGGGGCAAGGCAGUUGUACGAGAACUACUUGAGUCCAUUCUUGUUGAGGUGUCAAGCUAAAGCUGAUCAACUCAGGGCCACUACACACGCUAAAUUUGAUCAACUCAGGGCCAUUACACAAGCUAAGGUCGAUCAACUCAGGGCCCUCACACUGCGUCCAUUCUUGUUGACGUGUCAAGCUAAAAUUGAUCAACUGAGGGCCAUUGAAGACAUGGUAUGUUAUGUAGUGUUGUUAUCAUAUUAUGGGCGAUACUAGUUUGACUUAUCCGUUUGAUUGAAUGAUAGCGUGGUGCUCCCCAUAUUCUCAAGAAUAUACAGAAAGUUGAAACCUCUGAGCAAAGUUCGACUUUCGCUUCCAUUGCGAAAUUGUAACUUGUGGUAAAUAAGGCACUUUAAAAUUGUUUAUAUUGGGUCAACCUCAACCCAUAGAUACCCUGUGCAAGUCUUGCUGUAUUGCACUCAACACUUCCCCUGUUGUUUCCGAUGAAGUAUAUGCUCUGCUAAAAUUUACAGGUUGGACGUAUCAGCUCAAUCAAGGCAGAAAUUAAAUGUGGGGGGAUACAUUCUUUGCAUUUUUCUGGUCAGGUAAUGGUAGAUACCUUUCUUUUGGUGUAUACUUGUCUUGUUAGUUCAGUGAUUUCCAUGUAGAUUCGAAGUAUUUUACUUGUUUCUGGACCAGCUCCAAAAUAUAGAUCCAAAUAAACCUGAAGGACGAAAUGCGGUUGAAGACCUGGAUGGAAUAACCUCAGACACAAACACUGAGUCUGAUCUUGAGGUUGAGGAGAGUUUGAUCAUGCAUGUCAGUUUCGGCAAAUUGAGUUACUCUUGCUAUGAACCGAGACCCUAUCGUAGGAUUUCCAAAUCGUAUCUGCUCGAAUAAUCAAGGCUUCUUUGCCACCUAAAUGGGACAACAUGAACAUACGUUAUCCCUCAGUAUCAUCUCUUUACAAUCUCAAAAAUCUUUUGGUCAUUUGCAUUUGUAAGGCGUACUUGUGGUAGUUCAUUCCCAGAAUUUAUCUUUUGAUGUAGUGGUUAAUUUGUAGUAAAAAGUUUGAGAUUCAGUGGACAUGGUAUUGUAAAUUUUCAAUUACGAACUGCACCUGGUAGAAAUCAACUAUGUUUUUGUAUGGAUUCUCGAAGUUUCAGAUUUUAACAUCAGAUAAUUAGGUUCUGUACAAUUUAAAUUUCGUUUUUCUAGUAGCAUCCCCAAAUACUCUAAAUAGGCAUACUUAUUAGGAAACCUAUUAUAUUAAUAAUCUUAAGUUAAUUAAGAGGGAGUGCCUAAGUUACACUUAUUGUAACUUACAGCUUUUGUCUUUUUCUUUUUGGCUAAUUUUAUAUGGAUCCCUUUAAUUCUUUAUAUUUCCAAUUUUUAUAGUUAUGGAUGCAUUUGUCUUCUCCCAUCUCUCAUACAUCUAUUUUUUAUUCUUUCUAGAGUUUUAUUUAUUUCCUUGAACAAUAGUAAGUGGUUAUCAAAUUCAUAUAAAUCUACAAAUUCAGAAUAGAUUUCUGGUCCUAAAUCUGUCAAUCCUAUCCUUUCUUGUUCUAACAAAAAUAUUUUUUGGUUUAUUAGAUUUAUAUAUGUAUUUACUAUGUUUUCCCAUCCUAAAAAUAUAUGAUCUAUAUUACUUGCCAAUUCUUGUAUUGUAUCAACAGCUUGUUGAUUCAUAGUGUUUCUGUUUUGUACCAAUAUAUUAAAAAUUUUAUAAAUUCAUCUAUAAAUUUCAUUUUCUUUUCUAUUAAAAUUUCACCACCUGUUGUAUCCAUAAAUCUUUCUCUAAGCUCCUGGGUUAAUUCAAGUUCUAUACUCCUUAUAUUAUUUUUAUCGGUUUUAAUUGCUUUUAUUAAAUUUUUUAUUUCUUCUUUAUUAUAUACUUUUAACGUAUAUAAACUAUCUACUAUAGCUUGUAUAGGGUCCAUGGCUCUGAUACCAUUUUGCGCUACGCGCAUAUAUGGUAACAAAAUGACAAAAUAACAGACAACACAAAUAAAUUAAAGUCAAAAACAAAAUCACAUUCAAAACUUAAGACCAAAAUAAGGUAUAGUUGAACAAUUAUAUUGUUACAAAAACAAGAUUAAUUAUACACAAAUUCUAUUAUUAACUUAAUUAAUAAAUAAACAUAUAUGAUUAACAGAUUAAUAUACAUCCAAACACAUAGAGAACACAUUUUUAUGUAACUUAAAUUUUUAUUAAGGAUAGAAAAGUACGUGGCGUUGUUACACCUCUAGGUACAGCUAUUAAAAUAGCACUUUGGACCAGUAGCCCGCAACCCGAAGAGGUUUCCAACCUAUAUACUUUUUAUAUUUUUUAAUUUAUAUUUCAAAUUCUUCAUUAUCUGAGUUAUAUGUAUAUGAAGGUCCAGCUUCAUAAUCUUUUUGUUCUAAAUAUGCUUUUGCUAUAUCAAUUCCUUCCACUAUUGUUAACAUAAUUAUAUUAUGUUUUAGGUUGUCUAUUUCAAUGUUUUCUAUAAUUUUUCGUUUUAUUUCUUGAGGUAAAUUAAGUGAGUGUACUGCUAAUAGGUCUUCUGUUCUAACAAGUUCCUGUUUACUAAAUAGAUACGAACUAUAUUUAUAUGAUCCUAGAUCAAAAUCUCUUAUCAUCAUAUACUCAUUGUAUGUUAUUCUAGUGGUUGGAUUUAUCAUGUAUUCUUUAGAUUCUCCUAAGUAAAACCUGUGAUUCAUCUUAUAAAUAAAAAGUUUGUUUCACUUUGAAAAUUUUGCUCUUCCUCCAUAAAUCAUCUCACCAACAACCAUCAACAACUUCCACCAAGAGAUAAAAGUUGAGUAUUAUUACCUAAAUUAUCGUUUCUUCUUUGCCUUCUGAUCUCCUUCCAGUGACCUGCGGCCGAUUUGUCCUGUUCCCUUACGGCCUCCUGCCUCAGCGGGAUCUGUGGACAUAGAUGGCUUUACUGUAUGGAUUUCGAUCAUCUUGAUAAAGAAGUGUUGGAUAAGUUUAGGUUCCUCUUCUUUUUCUUUGAUGGUUUCUGUUUUUGGUUGAUGAUGUUUUGAUUUAGGAUUUCGAGCAAAGAAGUGCUUAGUGAUUCAUUGUAUGUAUUUUCAGAGAAUUAUCAAAAAAUGUCAGAGAGAGUGUCCCCUCUUCUGUCUCUCCUUUCUUUUAUUUAUAUCAAAAAGUUUCUAUUACAUUAUUGGUCUAUGACCUCACUGCUUACAUCAUUCUCAAUUACAUUAUUGCAAGAUUUUUUGCUUUAUCUGUCGGGCAUCUUCUUUUUAUCUUGUCUGCCACGAGUGUUGUGCAAAUUUUAUUGAAUUCGCAAGUACACGAAUCUAUUGUAGAAUAGAUUAAUGGUGACGAGUGUCGAUCCCAUGAGGAGGUUGAUUUUAAUUGUGCGUAGAAUUAAUUUUCUAAAUGGGUGGUUGGAUUUGUGGUGAAAAUGAUUUGGAUUAUCCUAAAAUUCGAAUUAAGAUGGCAAGAAUAAAUUGAAGUGAAAAUCUAUUAAAUUUGACGUACUUGGGUAUCUGGAUCCUUAUCAACAUGCAUCAUGGGCUAAAUAUUCCUUAUUAAUACCAAUUAAAUCAUGAGGGGGGAAUCCACACCUCAUGAACCACACUCUAAUCAAUAUGGUGCUAAGGGCUUAUCGUGCCAAAUAAUAAUAACCUUGUAUUAGAGAGCCGGUGAAACCAAGGCGGUAUCUAGACAAGAUUAUUAUUAUUUGUCGACGAGAAGUCAAAACAUCCACAAAAACUAGAGGGGAAGAGAAAAUAAAUUUACCAAAUAAAGCCCAUGACACAUGUUGAGACUUCACCUUCAACCCAAGCUUGAAAGAAAAUUAGCUACUCAUAAUUGAACUAGGGGUAAAAAGGAAAUUUAUUAAAAUACGUAGAAAAUACAAGAUGGAGAGGGAAUUACAGAAAAUGGAGUCCAAAAAUGGAUUCAGGGAUAUCAAAUUAGGGGGGGAGGCUCCCUUUUUAUAGAUACAUUGAGUAAAUCGUGGCCAUCGGAUUAAAAACAGUUUGGACGCUUAGGAUUGCGCCACGUCAUCAGUCAACAGUACGCAGUUUGACCACGCGGGUAAACAGUAACACGGUUUGACCCGGGUUGAACAGUGACGCGGUUUGGUUGAAAAUAAUCCUGUGUAAUGCAUGUACCGUACGCGAGAUUUUUGGUCCACUGAUAUGCUGCCACGUCAUCGAUCAACAGUGCAUAAGAAUUUUAGUCCAACGGGAUCAUGACACCUCAUCAGUCAAUACCACAUCAUCGGUCAAUGCCACGUCAUCGAUCCGUCUAUGUGAACAGUGUCGUGAACAGUAACGUAAACAGUACCGUACAUGUGAAUAGUACCGUACAUGUGAACAGUGUCAUUUUUCCUUUUAUACUCCUCCUAAAGUUUUCGACCGUCCUGAGUUCAAAAGUGAUGUCCGUUUUGCCGUCUGAUCUCUCGUUCAUUGUGAAAUGACUAUAAUGCCCCUAAAAUACAUAAAAUACUUAAUUAAAAUAAAACACACGUAAUUAAAUUACAAGAAGCUUAAAUACAUAAAAGUAAGGGUUGUUAGUAAGGCUUGAAAUGUAAAAUGACGAUUUUCUUCUUUAUAAAUAUGCAUUUUCUAACACUCAACACACCCCCCAACCAGCUUAUUGCUAGUCACUAGCAAAUAAAGCGAAAACAAAAUUCAAAUCCAAAAUGAUUUUUUUUUUAACAAUCAUGUUUAUUCAAUCAUAUUAAUGAUAGUAAUCAAACAAAAGUAUAAGCAUUAUCUUCAGUCUAAAGAAACAUUGCACCCACAUCAACCAUCCACAUGAAUCAGCCCAGUAGACUUUGUCAUAGCUACUUUCAAGAAUGACAUGUCAAACCCCAAAAUCUCACUGGAAGUAGUGACACUCUCACAAAGAAAUUAAACCCAAUAAAAAUAGUCACUCCAAAGAAUGGUAAUUGAGAGAAAAUAAUAAAGAAGUGAUACACAUGCUCUCACCAAGAUGAAAGAAAUAUGCCCUCAGCUUAGAAAUAAUACGAUCUCAAGUCAAAUAAAAAUGCUAGUCAACCCAAUUUAUUUAUUAUUUUUUUUAUGCACCACUACAUCUUUUUGGCCCAUAUAACUAGCUUCUACUUCAGACUAUAGUUCCCUAAAAUUAAGAAGGACUUUUAUUAAGACGUAACAUAGGUUAGGGACAUGGCUAACAAAGAAGGGAAAUAAGGAAAACAAAGUGUAUGUUUGAGAAAAAUGCAGAGGGUUUUUUUUUUUUUUUUUGGAAGUUGCAAGGUGGAUUUCACCUAUUAUUGUUAAUUUUUUUUUUUUUUUUGCUUUUGUUGGGGAUAACUUCACUAUACAAAAUAUUUAUUUACAUUUUUCUCAAACAUAAAUAGGUGAUGGAACUUGUAAGAUAUUGGGUAAUACUCCAAAUCGAAGUGGGUCAAGAUGAUAAGUUUGACAAAGAAAAGUUUUUUUUUAAUUUUUUUUUAAGGCUCAAAAGGGUUAACUAUGGAUAUUUGAUAAAAGAGAUGGCUAGAAAGACUCAAACGGAUCAAAGAUGGCCUUUCCAUCGUCUUUUAGGGUUCUAAAUAAUCUUCCAUAUCUACUAGUUAGAUGGGCCUCCAUAUGUAGCAACACACAUUUUUUUUCUUUUUUUUUUUUAAUUUUACAAUUUUUUUUUAACGGUUAACUCAAAAGAAAUCUAGAGAUCGUGUAUACAAUAAUAAACUGCUAAGCUGUAUAAAGAAUGGGCAAAAGGGUUACUCUCCAAGAAAAAUGAUAGGCUCAAGAACUCACUUGGUACUUAUUAUGACAUGUUCAUUCCUUCAAGCAACACUUAUUUGUCUCCGACAUCAACAUGUAAAGUAGCAAACAUAGCGUAACAUCACUUAAGACCAAAGAUAAUACAAAUAUUAAAAUUUAAAAUUAAUCAUAUUAUCCAAUGUUAAAACAAAUCACAAAAAAAAUAUUUUUUUUUUAAACAACAUUCUACCCCCCAACUUAUUCUAAACAUGAAAGGAAAAUAUGCAUGCAGAAAUGUGAAAAUGAUGCAGAAAAAUUAAUUAGAAAAGUUACACUUAAAAUGAUAGAAAAAGAAAUGUUUUUUUUUUUUUAACUAAGAAGAUGCAUUUCUAGAAGUACUACACUCCAUAUUCAGCCAUCUUCGACUCAAAUAUUUGAAAAUGUAUAUUUAUAAAGGGGAAAUUAAAAAGAAGAAGAAAAAUGAACAUCAAAACUUAAUAAAGAAAAAGAAAAUGUCUAAUUUUUUUUUAUUUUUUUUAAACGAUGAAGAUGCGUUUCUAGAGUCACUACACUCCAUAUUCAGCCAUCUUCAACACAAAAAGUUAGCAACAGUUAGUUUCUACAACAAAAAAUUAGUAAAAAUUAACCAAGAUUCCACAAUUGUCGACUAUUCCCUCCCCCCAACCAGAACGAAACAUUGUCCUCAAUGUUUUAAAGGAAAUAAGUAGAGUUUAGAAGACAUCACCUGGGUGGUGUAACACAGAAGAAAAUAUUUACAGGCGAAGAGUUAAAUCUAAUUUGUACUUCUUACUGCGGCUACUGUUAUCAUCAUUAUUUGGACGCUCCAACACAAAGGUCCAGGGGUCUGGCUCUAGUCUAUAAGCUUGUAACAUAUCAAGUAGCUCAUUAGCAAUGUGAACACAAAUAAAAAGCUUUUUUACAUUGGAAUGAACGAAAUAGUUUUUUAUUGCAUGGUUAAGAAAUGCGAUGAAGCCAUCAUAAAAGUUAUUGAUAUUUAACAAACCGAUGGGUUUCCGGUGAAUGUGCAGAUGAGCCCAAGAUGCUAGUGUUAUAAGUGCCUCUAGUAUUGCAAGAUCUCCUGGAAGGAAAAUAAAAGCAUCAGCAUGAUUAAGCAUUUCAGUUAUUCUUUCUUGCAUACCUGAGACGACUAACUCUUCUCCAGUCGAUGAGUCAGACAAACUGCCUAAAAGUUUUAGAGCUCUUGGGAUGAUGCCUAACACUUGGCUUCCUCUGACAAAAGUAGCUUCUGAGAUCAAUUUUGAUAACCCUCGGUUACCUCCUCCAUACACCAAGUGUAAUUUUCUCUCUGCUAUGCUUCGACCAAGAUCUAUGGCUGCAUCAACGAACUCUUUAUGUUUGCCAUAGGUAAAUCCAGAAAGCACACAAAUGUUCUUGAAUUGUCUAUUGGGAGUAGCUGCCAUUGGAAUAUUUCUCAAAAAUAAUUUGUGAGUGCUUAACAAAAAGUCAUAUUUAAGAAUCUUGGUGACAGUGGGUCACAACUGUGUAUGAGGUAACAUGUCAGUGUCAAAUAACGCGUAAAGCACAUGGCUCGCAAGUCAAAAAGAAAAAAGCAAACAAUAAUAAAAUUAUUAAAGACAAUAAUGCAAAUGAUAAAACAAUAGUGAAAUAAAAUAAUAGUAAAGUAAAAGGAUAUUUACAGGUAGUUGCGACUGUGGCUCACAUCUUCCUCUGGUUUUACGUCCAGAAACGGCUUGAACGCCCUCUAUGGGUCGAGGAUAGGCUUUCCAUCCAGUUUUCUUAUAAACUGGCAAACAUGGUCGUUUAUAGUCAGAUUCCCGAGACUAUAUUGUGCAUGCUCUUUCUGGAAUAAUGGCCAUAACUGGAGAAUCGCUCCUUGCACAUAUCCACUGGGAUGCAUUUCAAGAGACAGAAGGAUAUCAUCUAAUGACUCCUUAUUCAAGCCAUCCUUAAUGAAUUGAAUCUUAUCUUCUCUGUUAUCAGACAUCAUUCCUAAAGAACAUGGUUUUUUAUCGCAACUCAUUCUGGCACACUUAUGAUAAGCAACAGAAAUUCUUCGAGCUCGUCGUUUUCUUGCAUAAUUUCCUUUACCACAACCAAGCAUGUAUGCAAUAAAUUUUGGAGGUAACUCACCUGCCAAUCGUACUUUAGCCUCGAUUAACCAACGGAUGUCAGCAGGUAUGUUAUUCCUCAUGAGCAAUCGCAUGCGUUCGGACCGAGCUUUAUAGAUUGUAAGGAGGGCAUUCUGAGGAAGUGAAGGGAAUCGCUUGUGAAGCUUCACUAGAAUCUCAUUUAUGUCCAUACCUUCGCCUCAGAAUAUCAGUUAUUAUGGGAAAACUGAAGUAACCGACUUGAUUGUCAUGGAGUACCGUUAUCCGCCACUUCACCGGGGUAACAAACUAAAGCACAGAAACAGAAAAAUAAAUUAAAACACACAAAGAAAAUUAAAACUGUCCUCUUAUUGAAUUUACCUCAAGUUCUAACUAGAUGUCGUAAACACUUCUCUCAAUGUCUCUAAGUUGGCUUUCUAAACCCUCAACAUAGGAUACUAACUCUGGUGGUUGCAGAGCCCAAAUACGAUGUGUCUUACAAAAUCGAAUCUGCCUUUUGAGAUGAGAUUUUACACGUUGAAGUGGUUUAAGAAUGUUCAGGAGGAACGGUUUAAGUAUGGUACUCAUAAUUAAUAAUGAUAAAAAAAAUUUAAUGGUUAAACAAACAUACUUAUGCAAAAAUAAUUUCAAUUAGCAAAAAAAAAAAAAAAAAAAAAAGAAAAAAAAAUCAAAUCACCGAAAAGAAAGGAAAAAAAAUCAAUUCAAAUCUGGUGGGUCACUCAAAUUUAUUUCGGUGUCUUCUCCAUAUGGUUGGUACUCUAGAUAUGACAAAAUGUGUUAGAAGGUAAAUAUCCCACCAAGCGACCGAACUGCUGGACACCAGUUUCCUCCAAUAAAGAAGAAUUUAUUCUUCCAAUUUUUACAUGAAGAAGGAAACCCAGUGAUCGGUUUCCUCUUUGCAGAACUGGACAUAAAGUAGUACCAGCCCGCUUCCCUCGGGCUACUCCGCAGCUGGUACAGAUGCUUCACUUCAACAAGGGAAGGCUCCUCCAACCCGCACCUCUCCCACAACACAAACAUUGCCGAGAGAACCCUCCACCCAUUUGGGUGUAGCUGACCUGGGGCCAGGUGCAUACCGCCCAGUAUUUUGGCAAAAUAACGUUGAAGGGGCAACCGAGCUCCUAGUCUGAAACUCUCCAAGUGCAUCGUCACAUACCAUUUCGGAGGCCGACCAGGAACAUCACCUUUUCCAGGAACUACAAUGAGAACCUCAUUGGGAAUGUUGUAGAGGUUCCUAAGCUUAAAUAGAUCAGUGGGGGUGGUGGCACAAGCUAUGAAAUCAAUAGGGUAAGAAUCCGCCUCCACCCUAUGGCCAAGAUUCCUUUUCUUAGCAGGUCCGCUCGGCUCGGAACUGCUCCCCUCACCAUCACCCACUUCUCCAGGGACCCCAACCCCACCAGAACUGUGGUUCUCACCCGAGCCAGACGCUGGUCCCCCUUUAUUGCCUACAAGUUCUAAUUCAGGGGAAGGUGAAAUGGUCAGGGGACGUGGGUACUCAAGGGUAUCCCUACCAUGGGAAGGACCUACACUACCAGAGGGACGUAAAACAUCAGUGGGUAUGGACAAGUUAAGGUCUGAAUCCCCUGUUUCUUCGUCACUCUCAUCGGUAAUUAACUUCCCUUUCCGAUUUGACAUAUUGAAAUCCCAAAAGAAAACAAAGCAAACUCGAGUAUACGGAUACAAAAGGGGCAACACAGAACCCAACCAACAACAACCAGAGAAGAAGUUAAAAGUUAUACCUGGAAUAAACUGGCACUGAGAGCGCUGCCGUGAUAGAGAGAACACUCAGCAAGUGGAUACUCCGGACGCAGGAAGUGUGAGCAAAGUUCGAAGAGGGGGUUGAUUAACGGCAGAGAGACGAAUAGCAAAACGAUGACGAUUUCAAUCUAGGGAUUUGAAGCGAAAAAGGGGAAAUGGAAGCAUUUAAGUAAGGGGGUGCCAGCUCACUCACCGGAUAUCGAGGAAUAGAUAGCCCGUCGUUUCAAAUUUCAAAUACGAAGAGUCUGGAGAUCCCACGUCACCAACCGUUAUAAGAGGCCAGGUUAGAUGUGAGCCCAGAUAUGCAAUGGACAUGCUCAUGAAGGCCCAUGCUCAGGUCGGAGUCCUCCCAAAGGAAAAAUGGAACCUCAAGUCCAUCCCAGUAAAAAGAAGACCAGAUGAGAAAUUCCCUGGGCCGGUAAUAUUCUAUUAUCAGUUUCUACUCUCAACUCGUUUCACUCGCAAGACCAGAAACUGAGGGACUGGUGUUAGGUAAAUCAGAGCACCAGCUCGGUCAUGCCAUAGUCCCCACCCCGGGGUGGAUUACCUCAGCCGAACGGUACGAGCAGAACACUGAAAAUGAGCCUUCUACAAAUAUAAGCCAACCAGAGAUGAGUAUCAGCCACAGAAGUACACCGACCAGAAGCAUAUACCGAGCCGAUACCUAUCCCCCAAAGAACGAAAACACGAUUUCACAGAAUCACGAUAGUUGCGCAUUUCCCAGAACCGUCGAGGGAGACGCGAGAUCCCACGAUUGCCCACAAUGUAGCAGUUAAAGUCACAUGAAGGGCUGCCACUACCCGAAAAAAAAGGGAUGAAGGGUAAACGAAAACGUGGGACAGCGGCUAUAAAAGAGGAAGAAAUCAAUGAAGAAGGGAGACAGAAAAACAGAGAGAGGGGAAAACUCUGCCAAAUUGUAUCCAGACCCUUUUCAGUACCAAUAGUGAGCUAAUUCUAAGCAAUUAUUUGAACCUUAAUUGCACCGUUUUCCCGUAAACACCUUAUGCUAACUUAGGCAUCGGAGGGUUUACGCCAGCAAAACCACCGGUGUCUCUGACCCAUUUUUGUGAACGCAGGCUUAGUGAGAAAAAGAAGGAGAAGUCUAACUUCAGCAACUAGAGCGAUCGUUGAAGUAAGGAGAAAUUGACAUCCUCAUUGUUGAUAAUACAAACGUUGGUGUAAAGAUCUGGUCGGGCAGAGGACGAGCAGAUUUCGGCAUCAACAGAUAGAUCUCAUUGGUUGAUUGGUGUGAGAGAGAAUGGAUUUGGUUUUAGGUGAUGAGCAAAGAAAUCAGAUGAGAGUAAUUAUGGAUUUCAUUAUUUCAAAGAGGGAAGAAAUUUUAGGGAUUUCACUUUUGAGAAAGCGAAGAAAUCAGAUUGGCGAGAGAGAGGGCCGCAGGAGGGGGGGAGGGGAGAAGAAUGAGAGAAAUUUAGGGAUUUCUCAAGUUAAGAACCAACAUCUCAAGUUGCCUUUCUUUUUCUAUUUUCAUUGAAUAAAAAAUAUCAACAAUUAGAUUCAUUUUAGUUGAAUCUAACGGUUUGGUUUGAUUUCAAUUUUCAGUAUAUAAAUUUUAAGAAUCCCGUUACAAUUUCCUUUGCAUUGAUUCUCUGUUUUGGUGAUUCUACAGUACGCUCCAUAACCAAAUUGAAGACAAAUGACACACGUUGCUCUUUGGUCAUAAAAUGUUUAUCCUCCUGAGUUAGUAGAUUUGCAUCAACAACUGUCGUAACUGAAAUGAGUGGCGAAUCAUUAACCCAACACUUUAAUCUCAUUUCUCCAGAAAACAUUUCAUAUGUGGGUUUCAGGGUAAUAUGUGUUCUUUUCUAAUUUUAUGCGCAAGUAAGAAUAUCAUUUUAAAAGGAACUGUAAAUAGCUUCGCUAGUUUUCAUAAAAUGCGAUGUACGCAUAAACUGAUGGGUAUAAAACUAAAUGCACUGAAAUUUUCAAUCGUUAUAAAUCCUAUAAAAUAUUCAUAAUUUUCCACACAUAAAGUAAAAGAAUAAUAAUUAAAUCACACUGACCUGAUUAUACCAAAUGAAAAUCCAGAUUUUUCCUAUAUAAAAAAUAUAAAUAUAAUUAAACCUAAACAAAUGGUAGAAAUCUCUAUGGAAACUUAAAAGGAACUCAAAUUGCACUAUAACAAAUCACCUUAGAAAUUGAAUAAGAUGCAGCAAACUAACCAAGUGUCAAAUCUGUUCCCUUCCGAACAUAGCUAAUUUAGCAUGAAUAUUUGAAAGUGAGAGAAUGUAGGAUCACAUGCGGGACCAACAACCAAGGAAAGCAGACCUAGCAUUGGCACGAAUUAAAAGUUAGACAAUACCCCUACACACAAUUAUUGGAGGCAUUCAUUGCAAAGAUUACAAAUCAUUACCAGUGAAAGAAAGGAAAAUCAAUUUGAGUGUCACAUGCGUCUACCCCUUAACAUUUUUAAGCAAUGAGUCUCUAAUUUUUAAGAGUCUUGUUACAAUUUCUUUUGCAUUGACUCUCUCCUCUGGUGAUUCUACAGUACACUUCAUAGCCAAAUUGAAGACAAAUGAUACGCAUUGCCCUUUGAUCACAAAAUGUUUGUCCUCCUGACUUAAUAGAUGUGCAUCAACAACUUUCAUAACUGAAAUAGGUAGCAAAUCAUUAACCCAAUGCUUUAAUGUCAUUUCUCCAGAAAAAAUUUCAUCUGUGGGUUUCUUCCGGGUAAAUGUUUCUAUUAACAUAAUUCCAAAGCUGUAAACAUCUCCAUUUGUGGAUACUCGUCCUUCUCUUCCAUACUCUAUGGAUUGCAACAGUUACAUAGUAAGAUAAUAUAAUUUAUAAUACUAUGCGUAAAUGAAGAUCAAAAUAAAUAAAAAAAUAUCAUAAAGUAUUAAAGAAAUAAAAAAAUAUUUAUUAUGUAACGAACCUGGUGCCAUAUAGCCUAUGGUGGCAAGUGUUUGUGUUUGAAUCAAAGAUUGAUCUUCUUUGAGUAAGGGCUUUGCCAUGCCAAAAUCACUCAAAUGAGCAACCAUAUUAUCAUCUAACAAUACAUUGCUGGGCUUUAAGUCACAAUGAAUUAUUGGGACUGAAUAACCAAAGUGCAGAUAUUCUAAAGCUGAUGCAACAUCUAUCAUUAUGUUCAAUCUUUGAAAAAUAUCCAAAAUGUAGUUGCUUGAAUACAAACACUUCUCCAAACUUCCAUGAGGCAUGUAUUCUAAUAUCAACGCUUUAAAAUCAUCAUUUGAACAACUGCUAAUGAUUUUUAUAAGGUUUCGAUGGCGAAUAUGUUUCAUCAUGUCACAUUCAAUAUCAAAAUUCUUAAAUGCUUCUCUAUAUUGUAGGUCAAAAACCUUUACCGCAACCUCCAUCCCAUAAUGAAUUCUUCGUUUGUAAACAUAGCCAAUACCUCCUCUGUCGAUUAGAUUGUUUUCACUAAAUCCAUUUGUAGCUUGAAAAAGUUCUAGGUAUGUAAGCCUUCUCUAAUUUGCUAUUGGUGGCAUAUUAGCAUCAUUUGGCAGUGGCUUCCCUCUCUUUCGAUAUCUUAAGAUCAACAAAAUCACUACCAUAAUAAAUAUAGUACUCAAUGGCAAGACAAUCCCUAUGAGAAGACCAUUUUUCCUUGAUGUGUGGUGGAUUCUAGUUCUGCAUGGUGGGACUUGCAGAUUAGGCAUACCACACAAUAAUUCAUUUCCCUUGAAUGAUUCAGCUAAGAAAUUUCUAAAAGAUCCCUCUCUAGGAAUCUCUCCUUCCAACUUAUUGAACGAAACAUUUAUAUCUUUGAGAUCUAAUAGUUUCUCUAAAGAUAUAGGAAUAAUUCCAGAGAGAUUAUUAUUGGAUAAAUCUAAGGAUUUCAAGUUUAUCAAAUCACCAAUGGAAUCAGGAAUUGAGCCUUGUAAUCUAUUAUAUUCUAAAAAGAGAUAUUGUAAAUCUUUUAGGUAGCCAAUUGUUAUUGGGAUAACACCUGAAAAAUUAUUCAUCGACAGAUCUAUUUUUAUCAAAACCUUCAAAUUUCCAAUCUCUAAUGGGAGUGGACCAGUAAAAAAAUUUGAAGACAAGUUAAGGUACAAGAUGUCCUUAAGGUUCAAUAAAGUUGAAGGAAUAGAAGUUAUCUGAUUGGAGCCCAAAUGGAGACUCCUUAGAUUGGUGAGAUUGCCAAAGCUUGCUGGGACGAAUCCAGAAAGCUUAUUGCUACCCAAGUCCAACUGAAAUAGUGCAGCUAAACGACAAAGAUCAUCUGGGAUUGAUCCUUCCAAUUGAUUAUAUUCCAAAUUCAAUAAUUGAAGCUUCUGUAAUUUGCCGAGAGCAAUCGGAAUUGAUCCAUUUAAUUUGUUUCCUCCUAAAUAAAUUGCUAUCAAGUUGGUCAAGUUACUGAUCUCUUCAGGAAUGCCGCCACUAAUGUUGCAACUGUGCAUCCAAAAGAUUUCCAUAGAUUGAGAAAGAUUGCCUAUUGCCCUUGGAAGGAUGCCAUCUAGUGAAUUAUUGGAGAAGCUAAAAUACUUCAAAUACUUGCAAUUUGACAAUGAGGAUAGAAAGUUCAAUUUUGGAGUUGAAGAUGUCAAAUAAUUAUCGUUUAAACCAAGCCGAUUAAGGUUUCUUAAGUUGCCAAAUGUGUUUGGAAUAAAACCGUAGAACGAGUUCAUUUGCAACUCUAAUCUGGAGAGCUUAGAAGCAUUGAAGAUGAAACUAGGAAUUGUGCCGCUAAAAUUAUUACCCCACAAGAGAAGUUCUUCGAGAUUUUGAAGUUGGACGUCUGUGCUUGAUGGAAGUCUUCCCGAGAGCUAGUUACUCUGAAGAUAAAGUGAGUUGAGUGUUGACACAUUGAAGAUUGUAGUUGGGACAACACCAACUAAUUUGUUAAAACUAAACGCCAUCCAGCAGGUAUGUUAUUCCUCAUGAGCAAUCGCAUGCGUUCGGACCGGGCUUUAUAGAUUGUAAGGAGGGCAUUCUGAGGAAGUGAAGGGAAUUGCUUGUGAAGCUUCGCUAGAAUCUCAUUUCUGUCCAUACCUUCGCCUCAGAAUAUCAGUUAUUAUGGGAAAACUGAAGUAACCGACUUGAUUGUCACGGAGUACCGUUAUCCGCCACUUCACCAGGGUAACAAACUAAAGCACACAAAUAGAAAAACAAAUUACAACACACAAAGAAAAUUAAAACUGUCCUCUUAUUGAAUUUACCUCAAGCUCUAACUAGAUGUCGUAAACACUUCUCUCAAUGUCUUUAAGUUGGCUUUCUAAACCCUCAACAUAUGAUACUAACUCUGGUGGUUGCAGAGCCCAAAUACGAUGUGUCUUACAAAAUCGAAUCUGCCUUUUGAGAUGAGAUUUUACACGUUGAAGUGGUUUAAGAAUGUUCAGGAGGAACGGUUUAAGUAUGGUACUCAUAAUUAAUAAUGAUAAAAAAAAUUCAAUGGUUAAACAAACAUACUUAUGCAAAAAUAAUUUCAAUUAGCAAAAAAAAAAAUAAAAAGAAAGAAAGAAAAAAAAAUCAAAUCACCGAAAAGAAAGGAAAAAAAAUCAAUUCAAAUCUGGUGGGUCACUCAAAUUUAUUUCGGUGUCUUCUCCAUGUGGUUGGUACUCUAGAUAUGACUUUAAUAUUUGACCAUUAACUUUAAACGUGACAACGUUCUUUGGGUCCUUAAUUUCAAUUGCCCCAUGUGGAAAAACAAUAUAAACAAUAAAGGGACCAGACCAUCGAGAGCGUAACUUACAUGGGAAUAGGUGCAAGCGAGAAUUGAAAAAAAGCACUUUCUGACCUGGAAUGAAAGAUUUUCUCAUAAUUUGCUUGUCAUGGAAGACUUUCAUUUGUUGCUUGUAAAUCUUGGCAUUUUCGUAUGCAUCAUUGUGAAUUUCUUCAAGUUCUGCCAGCUAUAAUCUUCUUUCUGAGCUAGCUUGCUGCAUGUCAAAGUUGAAUUUCUUGAUUGCCCAGUAUGCACGAUGCUUGAGUUCCACAGGUAGGUGGCAAGCUUUUCCAUACACUAGCCUGUAGGGGGACAUCUCAAUCGGAGACUUGAAAGUCGUUCUAUAUGCCCAUAAUGCAUCAUCAAGUCUUAAUGACCAAUCUUUUCUGUCCGGCUUCACCGUCUUUUCUAAUAUGUGCUUUAUUUCUUGAUUGGAGAUCUCAACUUAGCCACUGGUUUGCGGAUUAUAUGGGGUCGCCACUUUGUGAGUGAUUGAAUACUUUGUCAAAAGAGCUUUGAAUGCUUUGUUACAAAAGUGGGCACCACCAUCACUGAUUAUCGCUCGAGGGAAUCCAAAGCGUGAAACAAUGUUGCUUUUCAAAAAUCCUAUCACCACCUUGUGAUCAUUGGUUCUACAUAGAAUUGCUUCUACCCAUUUCGAUACGUAGUCAACAGCAACCAAUAUGUAUUGAUGGCCAAAAGACGGGGGAAAGGGUCCCAUGAAGUCGAUACCCCAUACAUAAAAAAUCUCAACCACUAAAAUUGGAUUUAGUGGCAUCAUGUUCCUUCGCGUAAUACUCCCCAUUCGUUGACACCUAUCACAUGAAGAACAGAAAGUGUAAGCGUUUCGAAAUAUAGUUGGCCAAUAGAAACCACAUUGUAAAACUUUAGUCGUUGUUUUCUUAGCACUGAAAUGGCCUCCACAAGCUUGUUCAUGGCAGAAUGAAAGAAUAUCUGAAUUUCACUUUCUAGGACACAUCAUCUAACAAUUUGAUCUACACAAUACUUGAACAAAUACGGGUCAUCCCAAAAGAAAUUCUUUAUUUUCGCAAAGAAUUUAGCCUUAUCUUGCUUGGUCCAAUGCUCUGGAAGUUGACCUGUAACAAGAUAAUUAACGAUAUCAGCAUACCAUGGUAAUACUUCCACACUCAUCAAUUGUUUAUCUGGGAAUGACUCAUUCAAUGGUAAUGAUUCCAUAAUUGUGUCAAAAUGGAGACAAGAGAGAUGGUUAGCUACAACAUUCUCUGUGCCUUUCUUAUCUUUAAAUUCCAAGUCGAAUUCCUGCAACAGUAACACCCAACGAAUUAGUCUAGCUUUUGCAUAUUUCUUUGUGAGAAGAUAUUUAGGAGCAGCAUGAUUUGUGAACACAAUUAUUUUACAACCAAUGAGAUAAGAUUGAAAUUUCUCUAAUGCAAACACUACUGCUAGCAUUUCUUUUUCAGUAGUUGAAUAGUUCAAUUGUGCAUCAUUCAAUGUGAUACUAGCAUAGUAAAUAACAUGGGGAAUUCGAUCAACUCUAUGUCCUAAUACUGCUCCUGCUGCAUGAUCAGAUGCAUCACACAUGAGUUCAAAUUGUAAGCUCCAGUUUGGGGCCUAAAUGAUGGGUGAUGAUGUCAACAACUACUUUAAUUUUUCAAACGCCACAAGACAUGAAUCAUUAAAGAUAAAAGGUACAUCCUUAGCAAGUAAAUUGCAUAAGAGUCUAGAAACUUUACUAAAAUCUUUAAUGAAACGUCUAUAGAAACCAGCAUGCCCAAGGAAAGAUCUUACUUCUCUGACUGUUUUGGGUGGAGGAAGAUCAGAAAUGAGAUCCACCUUGGCUUUGUCAACCUCAAUACCUUUACUCGAAAUGAUGUGACCGAGAACAAUACCUUGUUUUACCAUAAAAUUGCACUUUUCCCAAGUUAGAUGAUGUAAACAUUGAUCAAACGAGUCACCAAAGACAGAAAAGUCAUCUAUAAAGACUUCAAGGAAUCGUUCAACCAUAUCAGAAAAAAUACUUAACAUGCAUCGUUGAAAUGUAGCAGGUGCAUUACAUAAUCCAAAUGGCAUUCUCCUAUAUGCAAAAGUGCCAAAAUGGUAAGUGAAAGUGGUAUUCUCUUGAUCUUUUGGUGCUAUGGGAAUCUGAUUAUAUCCUGAGUAGCCAUCUAGAAAGUAAUAAAAUUCAUGGCCUGCUAAUCUAUCAAGCAUUUGAUCAAUAAAUGGUAAAGGAAAAUGGUCUUUACGUGUGACUGAAUUCAACUUUCUAUAAUCAAUGCAUACACGCCAUCCUGUAGUCACUUUAGUGGGUAUCAAUUCAUUAUCAGCAUUCGUAACUACUGUGACUCCUGACUUUUUAGGGACAACUUGUACAUGACUGACUCAUGAACUAUCAGAAAUUGGGUAAAUGAUACAUGCGUCUAAUAGCUUAAGGACUUCUGUUUUAACAACUUCUUUCAUGUUAGGAUUUAACCGACGUUGCAUUUCUCUAAUAGGUUUAUCAUUUUCAUCAAGGUGAAUGUAAUACAUGCAGUCUACUGGGUUUAUACCUCUUAUGUCCGCUAUGGUCCAUCCUAAUGCUCCUUUGUGCUCUUUUAAAACAUCUAAUAACUUAUCUUUUUGUUCGUCAUUGGGGGAUGAUGAGAUAAUUACCGGCAGAGUACUUUCUUCUCCCAAAAAUGCAUCUUCAAGAGUGUUGGGCAAUGGUUUGAGCUCGAGUUUCGGUGGUGAUUCUGAUGAUGGGAUGAGUUUCUUCUCUGAUGGUGCUAGUUGUUCAACUCUUGAUUUUUAUUUAUUAGUGUCCAUGGAUGGUGUUGAGUCAAGCAGGGCGUUGACCUCAUCGACCGAUCUGUCAAUAUCAAAAUCAAAACCAAAGUGAGUUAAACAUGUUUGUAAAGGGUCAUCACUAAGGUUUGAAACAAAAGUAUUAUCAACUAAUGUUUCUAUUAAAUCCACAUCAACAAUUUCAUCAUCUACAUUGUGAGGUUGUUUGGCAAUGCUGAAGAUGUUCAACUCCAUAGUCAUGUUGCCAAAGGACAACUGCAUAUUUUCAGUCCUGCAUUUAAUGUGAGCAUCCGCAGUUGCCAAGAAAGGUCGGCCUAGAAUAAUGGGGAUAUGCUUCCUUGAAUCCUGUAUUGGUUGAGUGUCAAUUACAAUGAAAUCAACAGGAAAAUAAAACUUGUCUACCUGGAUAAGCACGUCCUCCACAAUACCACGAGGUAUUUUCGUGGACCGAUCUGCAAGCUGUAACACCACUGGAGUUGGGUAUAAUUCUCCAAGUCCAAGUUUCACAAAUACUGAAUAAGGCAACAGAUUUACACUAGCUCCUAAAUCCAACAAAGCAUUCUCAAUUGUGUGGUUCCCUAUGUUACAUGAGAUAGUGGGGGAGCCUGGGUCUUUGCAUUUUAGAGGAAUUUUAUGUUGGAGUAUAGAACUAACAUUUUCUGUUAAAAAUGCCUUCUUUUGAACGUGAAUGUUUCUCUUUUUAGUACAAAGGUCUUUAAGAAACUUGGCAUAAAAUGGAAUUUGUUUAAUAGCAUCAAGUAAAGGGAUGUUAACAUUUACCUGUUUAAAGAUUUCAAGAAUCUCACCUGUGGAUUUUCCCUUCUUUCCUUUAGCUAACCUCUGAGGAAAUGGAGCUUUGGGAACGUAUUCUCGUGGAUUGGUUUCUUCUUUCUCCUCUGAUGGUGAGUCCUCAACAUUCACAGGUACAAUUUGAUUUUCUUUUGUCACCGGCAUCUCCACUUUGUUGUCGACUUCUUUUCCUUUUCGCAAGGUCAUGUCUGCUUUAACCUCUCCAUGCUGUUGUAGUGAACUGGUACUUGCUUCAUGUACUCCUUUAGGAUUAGGCACUGGUUGACUUGGAAAUUUACCUUUCUCAACAGUCAUUGCCAAGGUCUGAACUGAAGAAGCAAGUUGUCCCACCAUCUUCUCGAGGCUUGAAACUAAUUGGGCUUGUGAGUUGAAGCCUGCUCUCAACUCAUUUCGUAGUCUAUCAAUGGUGCGGUUCUGUUGCUCAAUCGUGGAGUGAGUAACAUUCUUGAAAUUCUGGAAUGCAUCCUCCCAUGGUCUAGGUUGAGAGUAGUUUUGGUUUUGAUUGUAUGGUUUAAAUGGUGGCUGAGUGCCUUGAGGAUUUUGUAGAAUUGGUGGAGCUGGAGCUGCUGGUCCAUUCUGUUGGAAUCCUUGAGACCAUGAAAAAUUGGGGUGGUCUCUCCAUCCAGGGUUAUAUGUGUUGGAGUAUGGGUUGUAAUUUGAUGGCUUUCCCAUUACACCUAUGGCAUUGGCUUGAUCUGGAUAUGAGUUAGGGUCAUGUGGCUCUGUUGAUUUAGCAGUCGAUAACGAUGCUAUUUGUCGAGAGAGACUUUCAACCAUCUCCUUCACUUAUUUGAUUCCCGAAGUUGACUCGCCAAUGUGAACUUCAUUCACUCCUUUAAUUCUUUUAGUAUUCCUAAGUGAUCGACUCCGUUGUUGGGAAUUAUCCGCUUGUCGCUGGAAGAAUUCCCAAAUCUCUGAUACACUUUUUGACAUUAGCUCUCCUCCACUUGUUGCCAUUAGCCAUUCUUGCACAUUCGGCAAUAAUCCCUCCAAAAAGUAUUGGCAUUGGUGUCAUUUCUCGUACCCAUGAUGUGGACACUUCAAGAGUAGUCCAUUGAAUUGCUCCCAUGUUUCGAAAAACUGCUCGUCCUCUCUCUGGGUAAACUCUGAGAUUUUCCUGCGAAUAGCAUUAGUUUUAUGCACUGGGAAAUAUUUAUUCAAAAAUUUAGUUACCAUUUGUUCUCAUGAUGUGAUGCUAUUAGCAGGCAAUGUAUUGAGCCAUGAACGAGCUCUAUCCUUUAAAGAAAAUGGGAAUAGUCUAAGUUUAACAUCAUCAUCUGAAAAAUUCUCAUAUCUAAAUGUUUGACAAACAACAUGAAAAUCAUUCAAAUGAUUAUAUGGGUCCUCAUUUUCUAAGCCAUAGAAUGUGGGGAGACAAUUUAGCACACUAGGUUUUAGUUCAAAACUCCUAGCAGCUACAUUUGGGUAUCUUAUACAUGAUGUGCUCAAAUUAGCUAAGGGACUAAAAUAGUCCUUAAAUAGCCUCUCCUGUGGUGCUUGUAAAUCCAUUCCAAAUUUAUUUUUAACGUGCUUGUGUGUGCAAAGUGUUUUUUCUAGUUCAAGGUCUAUAGGUUCAAGAUUAGGUAAUAAUGACCUACGACCAUGCAUGCAAGGAACACAAAAAUAAUAGGGAACAAAACGAAUAAAAAUAAAAAAAGAAGAAAUUACGAAACUAACCUUAUUGCGCUAUUAAAACCUUUCUAUAAGAAUACACAAAAACAAAUACGUGAAAUAAAUUAACUAAAAAUAAAUUAAUAAGAUAAACAAAAAAAAUUUACAAAGAAAAAUAAAUUGAAAAUUAAAUUACAGAAUUUUAAAGAAGAGAAAAAGAAAAGAAAUACUAACCUUUAAAUGUAGAUUCACUUUUUUUCUAUUUUUUUAAAGAAAAAAAAUACAAGAAAACAAUUAAAUGGAAUUAUUCACAAAAAUUAAUUCUAUGAAUUAAAAUUACUUACCUCCCCGACAACGGUGCCAAAAACUUGUUGUGCAAAUUUUAUUGAACUCGCAAGUGCACGAAUCUAUUGUAGAAUAGAUUAAUGGUGACGAGUGUCUAUCCCACAAGGAGAUUGAUUUUAAUUGUGUGUAGAAUUAAUUUUCUAAAUGGGUGGUUGGAUUUGUGGUGAAAAUGAUUUGGAUUAUCCUAAAAUUCGAAUUAAGAUGGCAAGAAUAAAUUAAAGUGAAAAUCUAUUAAAUUUGACGUACUUUGGUAUCUGGAUCCAUAUCAACAUGCAUCAUGGGCUAAAUAUUCCUUAUUAAAACCAAUUAAAUCAUGACGGGGGAAUCCACACCUCAUGAACCGCACUCUAAUCAAUAUGGUGCUAAGGGCUUAUCGUACCAAAUAAUAAUAACCUUGUACUAGAGAGCCGGUGAAACCAAGGCGGUAUCUAGACAAGAUUAUUAUUAUUUGUCGACGAGAAGUCAAAACAUCCACAAAAACUAGAGGGGAAGAGAAAAUAAAUUUACCAAAUAAAGCCCAUGACACAUGUUGAGACUUCACCUUCAACCCAAACUUGAAAGAAAAUUAGCUACUCAUAAUUGAACUAGGGGCAAAAAGGGAAUUUAUUAAAAUACGUAGAAAAUACAAGAUGGAGAGGGAAUUACAGAAAAUGGAGUCCAAAAAUGGAUUCAGGGAUAUCAAAUUAGGGGGGGAGGCCCCCUUUUUAUAGAUAUAUUGAGUAAAUCGUGGUCAUCUGAUUAAAAACAGUUUGGACGCUCAGGAUUGCGCCACGUCAUCAGUCAACAGUACGCGGUUUGACCACGCGGGUGAACAAUAACAUGGUUUGACCUGGGUUGAACAGUGACGCGGUUUUGUUGAAAAUAAUCCUGUAUAAUGCAUGUACCGUAUGCGAGAUUUUUGGUCCACUGAUAUGCUGCCACGUCAUCGAUCAACAGUGCAUAAGAAUUUUAGUCCAACAGGAUCGUGACACCUCAUCAGUCAAUGUCACAUCAUCGGUCAAUGUCACGUCAUCGAUCCGUCUAUGUGAACAGUGUCGUGAACAGUAACGUAGACAGUACCGUACAUGUGAACAAUGUCAUUUUUCCUUUUAUGCUCCUCUUAAGGUUUUCGACCGUCCUGAGUGCAAAAGUGAUGUCCGUUUCGACGUCUGAUCUCUCGUUCAUUGUGAAAUGACUAUGAUGCCCCUAAAAUAAAUAAAAUACUUAAUUAAAAUAAAACACACGUAAUUAAAUUACAAGAAGCUUAAAUACAUAAAAGUAAAGGUUGUUAGGAAGGCUUGAAAUGUAAAAUGACAAUUUUCUCCUUUAUAAAUAUGCAUUUUCUAACACUCAACAACGAGCUGCUUUAUUUGUCGGGCAUCUUUAUGUCCAUAAGCUGGCAAGCUUGCUGUAUGGUUUCAUUGCUGCUGGGGAAUCUCAUGGUGCUGAUUUCAUUGAUGAGUUCUAAAAUGAUAUUUGAAGGUGUAUGGCUAUCCUCUGAAGUUACAAGGAUAUAAUUCUAAAAUCGAAUAAUUGUUCUAUAAUUUCUUUUAUAAAGGUCUUUGGCAAUACUCCAUAUUGCCUUUAUUCCCCGGGCUCUGCGGUUUCUGAUCCAUGCUUUGGUUAUUUGAGGAACAUUGGUAUAUUCAGUUCCUACUUCUAUUUGAAAUUUUUUUGUAAGGUGUCCCACAUAGAUCAUGUAAAAUGCUUGAUAUUCAACAUUUUGGUGGUAUUCUAGGCUAAUAGUGUAAAAUUUUAAGUAUAUAGACCUUUUUUGGGCAAAUUUUGAAACUUCUUUAACUAAUAACUCAUCGAAACUGGCUAUUUCUCUUAAAUCUGUAUCUGGAUAUACUAGGUCUAGAUACCCAAACUAUGCUAUUCUUCCAAUAAGGAGAGGAUCUGCUCCUUUUAUAGCUAUCAUCCUGGGGUAUAUAUUUCCUCCAGGGGCCUUGAAAAUAGUAUUGUUGUGGGAACAAGUAGAGUAUACCCACGUGGAAAACUGUUUAUAUUCUUCUUCUUUUAUAUUUAGAAGAGAAGUUUUUUCUUCUUCUUCUUCUGAGGGAGUGCUGUUUAUUCUGAUGAACUUUUUUGGGGAAGUCUUUUUUAGUGAUUCGACUUCUAUGGACAAGGUUCGAUUGAAGGAUGGGUCACAGACUGGUUCUUGUUGUGGGAGAGGUCCACUACUGCUUCCUAUUUUUAUUGGGCUAGUAUUUAUUGAAAGCCCUUUUGUUAGGUCGUUUAUAUAUGGCUCUAACAAAUGUAUUCCCUUCUCAUGAGCCUCUGUGGCUUCUUUCAUGUAAUUUAUGGCAUCUAGCAUGUCUGAUGCCUCUGCUUUGAGCCUUUGUAUUUCUGUGUGUAUCACAUAUAUGGUUUUAUUUACUUCUGUAUUCAUUCUCCGAAUUCUAUGUUCCUGCUCAAGAAAUGUGCAAGAAAAUUAUUAGUUCCUUUUAUAUGUAUGAUUUUAAAAUUAUAAUAAGAUAAAUAAGCUUGCCAUCUAUGUAGUCUCCUGUAUUGGGGUUCAUUUGGCAAGAUUUUACUAAUAAGUGAACUUAUCUGAGAAUUGUCUGUUUCUACAAUAAAUUGUUUCUAGAGUAAAAAUAAUGAGAACUUUUUUAUUCCUUUGUAUAUUGCAAGGAGUUCUUUUUCAUGAACUGGAUAAUUGACUUGUGCUUGGUUAAAUGUUCCACUAAUAUAUCGGCAAAUUUCAUUUACAUCAGUUUUAAGUAUUGCUCCCCAAUGUAAAUCAGAUGCAUCAGUUUGCAUUACUAACUUAUCAUUUUCUUCUGGUAACCUUAAUGCUGGGAGGUUUUUACAUUCUUCUUUGAGAGUCUUUACAGAUUUCGUAUGUUCUUCGCUCCAUCCUCUAGUAUUAUUUUUUCUGAGCAAUUUUUGAAGUAUAUUUCUCUUUUUUGCUAAGUCUUUUAUAAAUCAUUCUGCAUAAUUUAAACAACCUAAAAAUUUUUGUAUUUGUUGUUUAUUUUCUAAUUUAUCUGGGAAUUCUGUAAUCUUUGUUCCUAUGUGGCUCUGAAGUCUAAUUCCUUUUUUGUCAAGAACUAUUCCUAAAAAUUCUAUCUCCGUGUGUUCUAUGACUGCUUUUCUUUCUGACAGAACUAUACCUUCCCUAAUACAUAUAUUAACGAAUUCUCUUAGAUGGUUCCUAUGGUCUUCUAAUGUUUCUGAUGCUAUUAAUAUGUCAUCAACAUAGACUAUGAUAUAUUUAUAAUCUCUAAAUAUUUUAUCCAUUCGACUUUGAAAGAUUUGAGGGGCAUUUUUUAGUCCAAAGGGCAUUACUAGCCAUUCGUAAUGUCCUUGUGGGGUGCUAAAGGUUGUAUAAGGAAUAUUGUGUUCUUCCAUUUUUAUUUGCCAAAAUCUUGAUUUACAGUCAAAUUUUAAGUAGUAUGUUUUAUUUUUUACAAGAUUUAUUAAUACUUCUUUAUUUGGAAGAAAAUAUCCGUCAAAUUUUGUGUAUUUAUUUAACUUCUUAUAGUUUAUUACCAUUCUUGUUUUUUCUCUUACUUGUUCUGAUCUUUUCCUGACCAUAAAGGCUGGGCUAUUAUGUGGGCUAUUGCUAGUUCUAAUUAGUUUUAAAUUUAAUAACUCUUUUAUUUGAAUUUUAAACUCUUCUCUGUCUUCUUCUGUGUACAUCAUAGGUUUAAGUCUUAUUAUCUAUUUUCGAUUAAUUCUAUUUUUGCUCUAGGAUGGUAUGGUUUCCAUAAUGCUAAUGGGUUAUCUUUAUAGACUUUUUCAAGUUGUGACUUUAUUGUUUCUAGUUGUAUAUUAUAACUCUGUCCAUUUGGGAUUAGAUAAUGUUUUUCAUAAAUAAACGUAUUAUCACCACGCUGGGCUGGCUGAACUCUGUAAGGUUUAAAUUCGCGAGGGAUGCGAAGGAUAUGAUUACAAGGGGUUUUUAGGGUGAUCAUAUAGGGGGUUUGUUGAUAAUAUUGAAAUUGUUGUAUAAAGUCAUUUCCUAGGAGGAUAUCGCAAUCCAUUUUGUCAUAUUGAAAUAUUUGAUUAAUACAUACUAUUCUACUGCCUAAAAGUAUUUCAAAGUUUAUUAAUGAUUGAUUUACCUGUUGUUUAUCUCCUAUUAUUCCAAUGAUUUUUAAUUUUCCGUUUGGUUUCCAUUGGUUUGAUAAAAAGGAUUUCAUAAUUGUUAUUUCACUACUAGUGUCUAUUAAGGCACACGUAUCUAUAUCUUUUUCUGUGAUGUUUAUUUGUAUAUAGACAGACAUAGGGUAUUUUAUAUAAGCUUGCUUUAUUCCUAACCCUGUUAACAUGUUUCACAUACUAUUCUUUGACCUUCUAUUUGUAGGGUUAUUUUAUGCUUCUCAAUUUUAUAAUAUUCUAAAUCAUUUAAAAAACUAUUUCCUAAUACUAUAUGUUUUUCUGGGUCUGUGGUCAUUAAUGAGUCUAUAUAGCAAGAUACUAUUAUUCUGAAUCCUUCUGUAAUUAUAGGAACUUUAACUUCUUGUUUACAAAUAUGUUUAUUACCAUUGAAAUCAGUAUAUUCAUAUGGAAUUUCUUUUUCUUUUACUAAGAGUCCUUUAUUUUUAGUGUGAUUCAUAUAUUUAUGACUUGUACUAGUGUCUAUUAAUAUAGGUAUCUUUGUUGUAUAUUCUAUUCCAUUAAAGUAUUGUCCAAGUAUUUUUAUUACGUUAUUAGUUGUUAUAGAUUUAGUUAUUUGUUUAUCAAUACUUAAUCUUCUAGAUGAACUUCCUCUUACUAAAGUCCUUCCUGCAAAACUUAUAGGAAUAAUGAAAUUUUCGUUAUUAUUGUUUAAAAAUUGUUUCCUAUCAUCUAUGUUUAGUUCAUAAUUUAUAGGAAUUUUGUAGUCUUAGAUUGUAGGUUCUAUAAACGUUGCUAUGUCUUCACAUUCUUUAUUUGUUUCUAUAUAAGGUUUAUUUCCAUAUAUUUCUCUGUAAUUCGAAUUACAAAAACUAUAUAAUGCAGAGUAAUGUAUUGUCAUUAAUCUAUUUCCUUCUUUCAUUAAGUUCUUUUUUAGCAGUUUAAAGUGUAAGCUUAGCGUCUCAUCUAUAUUUUUAUCUUUUAUGUGUACACAUUAUCUAGGAUGACAUGUAAAUAAUAGUUUAGUGUAACAUAAGUUUCCUUCUAUUGUUCCUAAAUGUCCUAUACUAGGAUCAUGGAACCUUUGAUCAUGUAGUGAUAAGACUAUGGGACUGUCUAUUCCUUCUUUGAAAAGGGAUUUUAUUAAGAUUUGAAUUUCUGCUAGAUAUACAUAUUGAAUCUUUUCUUUUGUUGGUUCAUUUUUUAUUUUCCUUAAUGCUAAAUCUAUAGAUCUUUUAUUUAUUAAACUAAAUCUAAUAUUUCCUUCAGCUUGUGUAAUUGUUACAGCCUUUUCUUGUUCAUAAUAUUCAUGUAAUACUAUUUGUUUUCUUUUAAACAUAUCUCUAAGUUUGUGUAAUAUCCCGUAUUCCGGUUUUUCCAUAUUUAUUUUCAAGAGUUUAUUAUAUUUUUCUGCAUUAAAAGUGGCAACAAGACUAUAUCCACUUUUAUUUUCCUCUUUUUCUAUUUCUUCAAUUUCUUCUCUAUCUUCUAUAAUUUCUUCUUUAUUCUGACUCAUCUUCUGAUUCUUUUACCAUAUAAACUUCUUUUCCUUCAUAAUCUGAUAUAUCACUUAUUUCUUCUAAGUCAUUUCUUAUAUUUUCAAAAUCUUCUCUUAGGAGUCUAACCUUCUUCUUUGUACAAUCUGUGCUAAUAUGUCCUAUCUCUCCACAAUUCCAAAACUUACAUUUGGAUUUAUCUAAUUUUUUUCUUUGGUUUUUAUACUUUCUUUUAUAAUAUUUUCUUUCUGGUUUUUUGUAUUUUCUUUUAAAGUUAUUGUAUUUUUUAUAUUUUUUCUCUUUUUUAUACAACUUUCUUUUUCGUUUAUAAGGUGUAUAACAACCCCAUUGGGUUGGCAUUUCUGUUUUUUCACAACAUAUUUCCCCUAUUUUUUACUUUUUUUUAUUAAAUUUCUUUGAAUGCAUAUUUCACUUAAUCUUGUAUCUAAAAAUCUUAUUCUAGAUCCUAAAGUAUCUGGAAGUCUAUUAAUAACACUAUAUUUCUCAUAUUCAUUGAUAAAAUAUCCAUUCCAGGGAUAUGGUAAUUUGGAAUAAUAUAAAUUUUUAUAAAUAUUUUGAUCUUCUAUACUUCUGAACUGUGCAUAAUAAUAUUUAUUAAAUUCACAAGUGUAUUCUUUUACAAAACACAUGUUACAAAUCGUUAAAUUUAUUAAUUUCAUUCUCACAUUUAAUUUUUCAUUUUUUGUUUCUAUUUCAGUAUUUUGUAUCCAAUCUUCGCCUAAGAAUUCACUAGCGAUAUAUUCAAUUAAUCUUUCAAUUCCUAACCCUUUAUCUCUGACUAAAGUUGUUUUAGUCGAAUCUUUUAUCAAUUUUUGUGUAUCUCCACUUAGUCCUUUCCACCAAUUGAAUACAUUUCCUGUAAAACUGGCUAUUAGGAUGUCAGCAAAUAAAUUUAUUUUUUCUUCUUCAGAUUCUACAUUCCAAUCAUCCUUAGAACCAUUAUAUAUAAAAAAAUAACUUCAUUUGCAUUCCCCAUUCAACUAAAGCUUUACGGGGUUCUAUUUUGCAAUCUAAAUCUAAAAAUGUUCAUGCAUUGCUUAUUGGUGUUAAUUUAUCAUUAUUAGGUUUAUAUUCUUUUUUCCAAGGGGUAUUUUUAAUGGGUGGUACAUAUUCAAAAAAAGGUUUAUUUUUCUUUUUGUUUAUUGUAUACCUAUGACUCGAUUCUGCUACAUUAGGCUUCAUCUCUGGUCCUCCAGCAGUAUUCAUUUUGAUGUAAUAUUCUUUUUCAAAAUCUUCUAAGUCACUAAGGCUUAUAUCACUAAAUUUUUCAGUUAAUUCUUCUAAUGUAUCUUCCAUUAAUCUGAAUCACUUGGAGUGAUUUCUUUUAUCUCUAAUUUUUCUUUUCCUUUUUCUUUAUUCUUUAAUUCUGCUUUUAAUUCUUCUGUUUCUUUUAAUAUUUUUGGGUAGUGAGUUUCCAUAAACCAAGCAUCAUAGCUGCCUGCUUGUGGUUUUUGUAUUGGUUCCUUAAAGCUUGUUCCAAUUAUUCCUGAUUUUAAUAUUUCAAACUUUUCUAAUCUUUUAUUUUUCUUUUUACUUAUCUGAAUUACAGACAUUUCUAUUUUUAUUUUUCCUAUUUCUUGUUUUAUAUCCUUUAUUUCUUCUUUGAGAUUUAAAAGUAUUUCUUUUAAUUCUCUUAAUGUAGUUUCCAUAAAGUUUAAGGGUGUCUAUAGAUUUUUUAGUUUCUUGAAUGUAUGUUACGUUACACGUAACUUAGCUUUGGCCUAAUUAAAAUAGUCAUUGGUCUUUAAUUCUCAAUCUAAAACCAGUAGAAAUGGUCUGUUUAUAUUUUCGCACGUGGUAUGAAAAAUAUUACUGAAAUUGGUGUGCAUGUUUUGGAUGAACCAUAUGUACUUUUUCUUCUAAGAAAAUCUUGAUAUUCAAUGAUUGUGAUAAAUUAUUUGAUUUUGUAUUAACUGAAACUUUCAUAUUCUUAUCCUGCUGAUAGUGGAUUGUAUAUAAUACAGUAGAUUUUCUUUACUGUAGGUUUGAGGAAAAUGUACAAUCAAGCUCUCAAUUAGUAGCAAUCAUGUAUUGAAGUUUCCGAAAGAUAUCAAAGUUAACUAGAGUUUAUAUCUGUUACACUAUGGAUAAUAUGCAUGAUAUCACGAUAUCGUUCACAUCUUACAAUAUUAUUUCGGAACCGGUGCUUAACAGGUUCCGUUCCACCAGAUUUUUGUGACUCUCCAUCUUCAAGUAUUUUAUUUGGAAAAUAACAAGCUUCAGGUUCCAUCCCUGAGAGCUUAGGUUGUUUCGGUUGUUUGAAAAAGUUGAAUUUGGCUAGGAAUAAGUUAUCUGGCUCAAUUCCAACUAGUUUUGGGAACUUGAAAUAGCUUACAAACCCACAUAGAUUUAAGCUAUAAUGAGCUUGCUGGUGAGCUUAAUCCUUUGUUUUUGAAGCCCCACGCAGUGGCAGGAUAACUUAUCGUGAUUGAAGAUGGUAAUCAGUGAAAGACAAGAGAAGAGGCUACAAAAUUUAUUUGACUGAGAAGAGAAGGUAAUGAAUUUUUUUUUUUAGAGAAAGAAGAGAUGAGACUACAAUUUUUGUUGGAGACCAAGAAGAGGCUGACCAUUAAAAAAAGAAAAGAGAAGAAGCUGAAUUUGGUGCGAUGGAGUAAGAAGACUUGUUUCAUUUUGAAAUAGAUUGAAGAUAAGCUUUGCGCCUUGCUGCUGCUGAUGCUUUUUUUUUUUCGUUCUUCUUCUCUACUACUUUGCCUAAAUUCUUUUAAUUUUUUGGUUUUUGAUUUGGUUAUUGGAUUGAGUUUGGGAUUAGGUUUGGGUUUUAAUUCUUUUAAUUAUUUUUAUUUUUAAUUUUGAUUAUUUUGUUUCAUUUAUUAUAAUUUUAUUUUUUAUUUAAUAUCUAAAUUGCAAAGAAUAACCAAAGUCAUCUAAUAUUUUUGUCAUUUAGAUCGGUGAAAUAGUAAUUUUACAUUAAAAGAGCAAAACAAUCAGCAUAUUAAUAUUAUGUUAAAUUCUCUUAUGGCGUUUAGACAAUAGUAAAAUAAUAAUAUAUUUUGUAAACUUUGGAUGAAAUUUUAUAAAAAGAAAAAUUAUAUAUUUUUGAAAAAAUAUAAAAAAUAGGUGGCAUGUGGAAUUGCCCUUUUAUUUAUCAAACACGUGUGUCAUGUCUUGUCUUUUGAAUUUAAUGUCUUCUUUUAUUUUUUUAUUACCCAAUUCAUUCAAAAUAAUCACAGUUAUGCCACUUUUCAAUUUAUAUAAUUUUAGAAUAUUACCUUUAAAUUUCAUGUUGCAUGUUUGAUCUCACUUGUUGCAUGUUUCAUGUGGAUUUUCGCAUGUUUGAAUAAAGCCAGAAAUGAAAAUUUUCACAACUAUUUCAUGAUUCACGUCAGUGUUACAUGUUUGAUCUUCUGUUGCAUCUUUCACAUUAACUGUUGCAUGUUGAUGUCGUUCUCAUGUUUGACCCCAUCUGUUGCAUGUUUGACCCCAUAUAUUCCAUGUUUUAUGUGACCCUCUUACAUGUAAAUUUCAUGUUGCAUGCUUGACCUCAUUUGUUGCAUGUUUCACAUAGAUUGUUGCAUAUCUUGAAUAAAGCCAAAAAAUGAAAAUUGUUCCAUCCGUUUCAUCUUUCAUGUUCGUGUUGCAUGUUUGACUUCCGUCAUUGCAUCUUUCAAGUGAAUUUUUGCGUGUUGAUGUGGUUCUCAUGUUUAACCUCAUCUGUUGCAUGUUUGACAUCAGAUGUUGCAUAUUUUACAUGACCUUUUUAAAUAUAAAUUUCAUGUUAUAUGUUUGACCUCACUUGUUGCAUGUUUCACUUUAAUUGUUUAAUGUCUUGAAUAGAGAGAAAAAUUGAAAAUGGGUGAGGAAGACAAAGUAACAGUGCAUAUAAUCACGAAGUUGGCUAGCCAACUUAUUUAACAAUUAAUCUAGUGGUUAACCACUUCCACUCCAGAGACAACCAACAAUGAAACAGUUAGCCGAUUGAUAUAACGAAGAAUUAAGCGGUUUAUCGCUUCCACUCCGGAAACACUCAACAAUUAAGUGGUUAGUCGACUAAUUUAACAAGGAAUCAAGUGGUUAACUGCUUGCGUUCAAGAAAAUAGCUAACAAUAAAACAGUUAGCCAAAUUGUUAAGCAAAGAAUUAAGCAGUUAGCUACUUCCACUCCAAAAGCAACUAAGUAUGAAACAAUUACUCAGCUUAUUUCACAACAAAUGAAGCGGUUAACUAGUACAACGAAUGUUUGACGUUGAUAUUUCAUGUAUCACAUUGUCUAACACAUGUAUAAAUAUCAUGUUGCAUUUCAAAAUUUCUUGACAUUUCAAGUGAUAAUUUAUAAUCAAAAUUAUUUGUUUCAUAUUCUUUUUUAUUAUUAAUUAAGUAAAUUUAUAUACAACAGAUAAUAUAUAAGAACUUGUAUUGGUAAAUUUACAGACAUAAUAAAUUAGGUGUAAAAUCUAUAAUGUACUUCUAGUACAUUAAAAAUGUACUAGUUUUCUUUUCUAAUUUUAUGAGCAAGUAAAACUCGUUAUAUUUUGCUUCAUUAAAAAAGAAUAGUAAAUGGCUUGCCUAGCUUUGAGCAAAGUAUUUAGAUCAUUUGAUAUGUAAUAGGUGCCAUUUCUCAAUCUACCAGCUUUGAUAUUGACAAAAUGCAGUACACGCAUAAGCUGAUUAUAGUAAACAAUUUGGCAAGAGUUCUCUAUAGAAAAUUAAUGGGGACAAAUGACCUUAGAAAUUGAAUAAGAUGCUGCAAAUUGACCAAGUGACAAAUCCAUUCCCAUCCGAACCAUAGCUAUUUAGAAUGAAUAUUUGAAAAUAAGAGAAGGCAGGACACAUGUGGGCACAGCAACCAAGGAAAGCAGACCUAGCGUUGGCAUGCAUUAAAAGUUAGAUAAUACUCUUACACACUAUUUUUGAAGGCAUUCAUGGCAAAGAUUAUAAUUCACUACCAGUGAAAGAAAAGAAAAUCAAUUUGAUUGUCUCAUACGUCUAGCUCUUCAACAUUUUAAAGCAACGAGCAUCUAAAUUUUAAGAAACCCAUUACAAUUUCCUUUGCAUUGAUUCUCUGCUUUGGUGAUUCUACAAUACACUCUAUAGCUAAAUUGAAGACAAAUGACACACGUUACUCUUUGGUCAUAAAAUAUUUGUCUUCCCAAGUUAGUAGAUUUGCAUCAACAACUGUCGUAACUGAAAUGAGUAGCGAAUCAUUAACCCAAUACUUUAAUCUCAUUUUCUCCUGAAAAAAUUUCAUCUGUGAGUUCAGUGUAAUAUAUGUUCUUUUCUAAUUUUAUGCGCAAGUAAGAAUAUCAUUUUAAAAGGAAUUGUAAAUAGCUUCCCUAGUUUGAGCAAAGUAUUUAGGUCAUCUGACAUACAAUAAGGUCCAUUUCUCAAUCUGCCAGCUUUGGUUUUCAUGAAAUGCGAUAUAUGCAUAAACUGAUGGGUAUAAAACUAAAUGCACUGAAAUUUUCAAUCCUUCUAAAUCCUACAAAAUAUUCAUAGUUUUUCACACAUGAAGCAAAAGAACAAUAAUUAAAUCACACUGACCUGAUUAUAACAAAUGAAAGUCUAGGUUUUCCCUAUAGAAAAAAUAUAAAUAUAAUUAAACCUAAACAAAUGGCAUAAAUCUCUAAGGAAAAUUAAAGGGACUCAAAUUGCACAAUAACAAAUCACCUUAGAAGUUGAAUAAGAUGCAGCAAACUGACCAAGUGUCAAAUUUGUUCCCUUCCGAAUCAUAGCUAAUUUAGAAUGAAGGAAUAUUUAAAAGUGAGAGAAGGUAGGAUACAAGCGGGCACAGCAACCAAGGAAAGCAGACCUAGCAUUGGCACAAAUUAAAAGUUAGACAAUACCCAUACACACAAUUAUUGGAGCUAUUCAUUGCAAAGAUUAUAAAUCAUUACCGGUGAAAGAAAAGAAAAUCAAUUUGAGUGUCACAUGCGUCUACCCUCAACAUUUUUAAGCAAUGAAUCUCUAAUUUGUAAGAGUCUUCUUACAAUUUCUUUUACAUUGAUUCUCUCCCAUGGUGAUUCUACAGUACACUUCAUAGCUAAAUUGAAGACAAAUGACACGCAUUGUUCUUUAGUCAUAAAAUGUUUGUCCUCCUGACUUAAUAGAUUUGCAUCAACAACUUCCAUAACUGAAAUGGGUAGCAAGUCAUUAACCCAACGCUUUAAUGUCAUUUCUCCAGAAAAAAUUUCAUCUGUGGGUUUCUUCCGGGUAAAUGUUUCUAUUAACAUAAUUCCAAAGCUGUAAACAUCCCCAUUUGUAGAUACUCGUCCUUCUCUUCCGUACUCUAUGAAUUGCAACAGUUACAUAGUAAGAUAAUAUAAUUUAUAAUAGUAUGCACAAAUGAAGAUCAAAAUAAAUAGAAAACAUAUAAGAAAGUAUUAAGGAAAUAAAACAUAUUUAUUAUGUAACGAACCUGGUGCCAUAUAGCCUAUGGUGGCAAGUGUUUGUGUCUGAGUCAAAGAUUGAUCUUCUUUGAGUAAGGGCUUUGCCAUGCCAAAAUCACUCAAAUGAGCAACCAUAUUAUCAUCUAACAAUACAUUGCUGGGCUUUAAGUCACAGUGAAUUAUUGGGACUGAAUAACCAAAGUGCAAAUAUUCCAAAGCUGAUGCAACAUCUAUCAUUAUGUUCAAUCUUUGAAAAAUAUCCAAAAUGUUAGUGCUUGAAUACAAACACUUCUCCAGACUUCCAUGAGGCAUGUAUUCUAAUAUCAACGCUUUAAAAUCAUCAUUUGAACAACUGCUAAUGAUUUUUAUAAGAUUUCGAUGGCGAAUACGUUUCAUCAUGUCACAUUCAAUAUCAAAACUCUUAAAUGCUUCUCUAUAUUGUAGGUUAAAAACCUUCACUGCAACCUCCAUCCCAUCCUGAAUUCUUGCCUUGUAAACAGAGCCAAUACCUCCUCUACCGAUUAGAUUGUUUGCACUAAAUUCGUUUGUAGCUUGAAAAAGUUCUAGGUAUGUAAACCUUCUUUGAUUUGCUAUUGGUGGAAGAUUAGCAUCAUUUGGCAGUGACUUCCCUCUCUUUUGAUAUCUUAAGAUCAACAAAAUCACUACCAUCAUAAAUAUAGUACUCAAUGGCAAGACGAUCCCUAUGAGAAGAUUAUUCUUCCUUGAUUUGUGGUGGAUUCUAGUUCUGCAUGGUGGGACUUGCAAAUUGGGCAUACCACACAAUAAUUCAUUUCCCUUGAAUGAUUUCGCUGAGAAAUUUCUGAAAGGUCCCUCUCUAGGAAUCUCUCCUUCUAGCUUAUUGAAAGAAACAUUUAUAUAUUGGAGAUCUAAAAGUUUCUCUAAAGAUGUAGGAAUAGCUCCAGAGAGAUUAUUAUUGGAUAAAUCUAAGGAUUUCAAGUUUAUCAAACCACCAAUGGAAUCAGGAAUUAAGCCUUGUAAUCUAUUACAUUCUAAAAAGAGAUUUUGUAGAUCUUUUAGGCCUCCAAUUGUUGUUGGGAUAGCACCUGAAAAAUUAUUCAUCGACAAAUCUAUUUGUACCAAAACCUUCAAAUUUCCAAUCCCUAGUGGGAGUGGGCCAGUAAAAGAAUUUGAAGACAAGUUAAGGUACAAUAUGUACUUAAGGCUCCAUAAAGUUGAAGAAGUAGAAGUUAACUGAUUGGAGCCCAAAUUGAGUUUCUUUAGAUUGGUGAGAUUGCCAAAGCAUGCAGGGAUGAACCCAGAAAGCAUAUUACCGCCCAAGUCCAACUGAAAUAGUGCAGUUAAACGACAAAGAUCAUCUGCGAUUGAUCCUUCCAAUUGAUUAUCUUCAAAACUCAAUAAUUGAAGCUUUUGUAAUUUACCGAGAGUAAUCGGAAUUGUUCCAUUUAAUUUGUUUCCACCUAAAUAAAUUGCUAUCAAGUUGGUCAAGUUGCUGAUCUCUUUAGGAAUGCCGCCACUAAUGUUGCAACUAACUAUCCAAAACUCUUCAAUAGAUUGAGAAAGAUUGCCUAUAGCCCUUGGAAGAAUGCCAUCUAGUGGAUUAUUAGAGAAGCUAAAAUACUUUAAAUACUUGCAAUUUGACAACGAGGAUAGAAAGCUCAAUUCUGGAGUCGAAGAUGUCAAAUAGUUAUCAUUUAAUCCAAGCCACUUAAGGUUUCUUAAGUUGCCAAAUGUGUUUGGAAUAAAACCGGAGAAUGAGUUCGUUUGCAAGUCUAGUUUGGAGAGCUUAGAAGCAUUGAAAAUGAAAUUAGGAAUUGUGCCAUUAAAAUUAUUACCCCACAAGUAAAGCUCUUCAAGAUUUGGAAGUCGAAUGUCUGUGCUUGAUGGAAGUCUUCCCGAGAGUGAGUUACUAUGAAGAUAAAGCAUUUUGAGUGUUGACACAUUGAAGAUUGUAGUUGGGACAACACCAACUAAUUUGUUAAAACUAAACGCAAUCCAUUCCAGAUUAUGGAGAUUACCGAUUUCAUGUGGUAUCUCACCUGUAUUUUGAAAAAAAAAUAAUUCAAAUUUAUUUUAAAUAAUAAAUUAUACACUUUUAUAUCAUGAAAUGAGUAUUAGUAAUUAAAAUGAUUAAAUAUGAGUUUAAGAUUAAUUAUUAUACAUAGAUAAAAUGUUAAUAAAUCAAUAAAUUUUUUUCUUAUUAAGUAAAUAUAAAUAUUAAUAACUCCAGUAUUCACGUCAUCAUUAAAUAAAAAACAUAAAGAAACUACUCAUUUUAAUAUUAAUUUGAAUUAGUAAUAUAAUAUUAGUAUGAACAUAAGAAUUUUUUUCAAACUAAAUUUUUAGUUUAUUGUUCUAUGUGCUACUACAGUGAAUAUAUGAAUAGAUAUCACUGUCGAAGAAUAUUGAUUUCAUGAGGUAUCACACCUGUAUUUUGAAAUAACUAUAUUCAGAUUGAUUUGUUUCAGAAAAUAAACAAUUCAUAAAAACAAACUCAAUUCUGUCACCACUCAUCCAUCAAUGAUUUAGUAUGUUUUAAGGCCUAUUUGGUAUUGAAGUUAAGUAGCUCUAGUUUUUAAGCCGUAAUAAAAUAUUUGAUAACUAUUAACUGCUAUUGUCUGGAACCAAAAUUGUUUGAUCCUCCACUAUAUGCAUAUAUAUAUAUAUAUAUAUAUAUAUAUGUUGUGCACACUUAUGAGAAUUUAUGAUAGAAAAUGUGUGGCGAAAUUAAAGGCUAAGCCGAGGAAUGCUAAUAUUAAUUAUAGGCGUAAUAAUAAUGUGUGUUGUACUUCUCUAUUUUAACUAUUAUUUCCAUAAAAUAAUUUUUUUAGCCUAUUUUUCAUAUUUAUCAGUUGAAAUACCACCGAGUACCAGUUCUUAAUUUAUUCAGUUGAAAUACUCAAACACUAAAUUAAGGUAAAAUAUCACACUAACCUUCAAGAUAUUGUAACUUAUAAGAUUGUGCAUCAUUGAUGAAGUUAAAAUAUCACACGAGUGGAUAUAUAUAACAUAAACCAUAAUAAGACGCACAUUAGAGUCUAUUAAACUGAAGAUCUAACUUUUCAAGCUUGGCCAUUACGUUUUCCUUUGGUAUGGCUCCAAAGAAAUCAUUAAACCACAGAAAUAAGAUUUGCAAAUAACUGCAAUUUCCUAGAUGAGAGGGUAUUUUGCCAUAAAACAUAUUUUUGGACAAAUAAAAUUCUUCCGAAAAAGGAAGAUUGUUGCAAAAAUUUGCAGGGAGUUCAGCGGAUAGUCUAUUGACACUGAAAUCAAGAAGUUGUAAAGAAGGCAUUUUGAAUUUGAAAGCGGGAAAGAACCAGAGAAUUGGUUAUCACUGAGAUCAAGCCGUUACAGCUGAAAUAGAUGUCUAACGUAAGGAAUGGUGCCCGCUUAAGAAUUUGUUUAUUAAUAGACUAUCUGCGGAAACAUAAUUUACAAAAUUUUGCAUAAUCUCAUAGAUUUCUAACAAAUAACAAGAUAGUGUCAAAUAGUUUAUUAAAAUGAAAUAAACAAAAUUUUUGUAAAAUAACGAGAUGAGCAGAACGAAACAUGCUCUAAGGCUACGAUUUAAUAUAGUUUAGACUUUCCUUUUCGAAAUCAAAACACCUUUUUUUUUUCAUGCCUAAAUAAACGUCUGAACUUUUGAUAUGAACAUGAGCAAAGAAGAAACAUUACCGACUAAUUCUUAAUUCUUUUACGAAUUUACGUCUUGGAAUUAGAUUAAAAUUGGGUGCGUUAUUGUCAUUGGUAUUCAAGAUAUUCUAACUUAUAAGAUUGAGCAUCAUUGAUUAAGGUAAAAUAUCACACCAGUGGGUAUAUCAUAAGCUAUAAUAAGACGCACCUCGGAGUCUGUUAAACUGAAGAUCUAACUUUUCAAGCUUGGUCAAGUUACCGAUUUCCUUUGGUAUCUCACCUGUAUUUUGAAAAAAAAAUAAUUCAAAUUUAUUUUAAAUAAUAAAUUAUACACUUUUAUAUCAUGAAAUGAGUAUUAGUAAUUAAAAUGAUUAAAUAUGAGUUUAAGAUUAAUUAUUAUACAUAGAUAAAAUGUUAAUAAAUCAAUAAAUUUUUUUCUUAUUAAGUAAAUAUAAAUAUUAAUAACUCCAGUAUUCACGUCAUCAUUAAAUAAAAAACAUAAAGAAACUACUCAUUUUAAUAUUAAUUUGAAUUAGUAAUAUAAUAUUAGUAUGAACAUAAGAAUUUUUUUCAAACUAAAUUUUUAGUUUAUUGUUCUAUGUGCUACUACAGUGAAUAUAUGAAUAGAUAUCACUGUCGAAGAAUAUUGAUUUCAUGAGGUAUCACACCUGUAUUUUGAAAUAACUAUAUUCAGAUUGAUUUGUUUCAGAAAAUAAACAAUUCAUAAAAACAAACUCAAUUCUGUCACCACUCAUCCAUCAAUGAUUUAGUAUGUUUUAAGGCCUAUUUGGUAUUGAAGUUAAGUAGCUCUAGUUUUUAAGCCGUAAUAAAAUAUUUGAUAACUAUUAACUGCUGUUGUCUGGAACCAAAAUUGUUUGAUCCUCCACUAUAUGCAUAUAUAUAUAUAUAUAUAUAUAUAUAUGUUGUGCACACUUAUGAGAAUUUAUGAUAGAAAAUGUGUGGCGAAAUUAAAGGCUAAGCCGAGGAAUGCUAAUAUUAAUUAUAGGCGUAAUAAUAAUGUGUGUUGUACUUCUCUAUUUUAACUAUUAUUUCCGUAAAAUAAUUUUUUUAGCCUAUUUUUCAUAUUUAUCAGUUGAAAUACCACCGAGUACCAGUUCUUAAUUUAUUCAGUUGAAAUACUCAAACACUAAAUUAAGGUAAAAUAUCACACUAACCUUCAAGAUAUUGUAACUUAUAAGAUUGUGCAUCAUUGAUGAAGUUAAAAUAUCACACGAGUGGAUAUAUAUAACAUAAAUCAUAAUAAGACGCACAUUAGAGUCUGUUAAACUGAAGAUCUAACUUUUCAAGCUUGGCCAUUACGUUUUCCUUUGGUAUGGCUCCAAAGAAAUCAUUAAACCACAGAAAUAAGAUUUGCAAAUAACUGCAAUUUCCUAGAUGAGAGGGUAUUUUGCCAUAAAACAUAUUUUUGGACAAAUAAAAUUCUUCCGAAAAAGGAAGAUUGUUGCAAAAAUUUGCAGGGAGUUCAGCGGAUAGUCUAUUGACACUGAAAUCAAGAAGUUGUAAAGAAGGCAUUUUGAAUUUGAAAGCGGGAAAGAACCAGAGAAUUGGUUAUCACUGAGAUCAAGCCGUUACAGCUGAAAUAGAUGUCUAACGUAAGGAAUGGUGCCCGCUUAAGAAUUUGUUUAUUAAUAGACUAUCUGCGGAAACAUAAUUUACAAAAUUUUGCAUAAUCUCAUAGAUUUCUAACAAAUAACAAGAUAGUGUCAAAUAGUUUAUUAAAAUGAAAUAAACAAAAUUUUUGUAAAAUAACGAGAUGAGCAGAACGAAACAUGCUCUAAGGCUACGAUUUAAUAUAGUUUAGACUUUCCUUUUCGAAAUCAAAACACGUUUUUUUUUUCAUGCCUAAAUAAACGUCUGAACUUUUGAUAUGAACAUGAGCAAAGAAGAAACAUUACCGACUAAUUCUUAAUUCUUUUACGAAUUUACGUCUUGGAAUUAGAUUAAAAUUGGGUGCGUUAUUGUCAUUGGUAUUCAAGAUAUUCUAACUUAUAAGAUUGAGCAUCAUUGAUUAAGGUAAAAUAUCACACCAGUGGGUAUAUCAUAAACUAUAAUAAGACGCACCUCGGAGUCUGUUAAACUGAAGAUCUAACUUUUCAAGCUUGGUCAAGUUACCGAUUUCCUUUGGUAUGGCUCCAGAGAAAUUAUUGAACUGCAAAAGUAAGAUUCGCAAAUAGCUGCAAUUUGCUAGAUCGGAGGGUAUUUCGCCAUAAAACAUAUUUUUGGACAAAUAAAGUUCUUCCAGAAAAGGAAGAUUGUUGCAAAAAUUUGCAGGGAGUUCAGCAGAUAGUCCAUUGACACUCAAAUCAAGAACUUGUAGAAGAGGCAUCUUGAAUUUGAAAGAGGGGAAAGAACCAGAGAGUUGGUUAUCACUGAGAUCAAGCCAUUGCAGCUGAAAUAGAUGUCCAACGUCAGGAAUGGUGCCUGUUUAAGAAAUUGUUUAUUAAUAGACUAUCUGCUAUAACAUAAUUUACAAAAUUCUGCAUAAUCUCAUAGAUUUCUAACAAAUAACAAGCUUGUUUCUGACUUCUUCUUCUCUACUACUUGUUGUAUCACUAACUUUUAAACUUUUGUUAUAGACACGAGCAAAAAAGGAACAUUGCCAAUUAAUUCUUAAUUUUUUUACGAAUUUAUGUAAUGGAAUUAGAUUAAAAUUGGAUGCAUUAUUGUCAUUGGUAUUCAAGAUAUUCUAACUUAUAAGAUUGAGCGUGAUUAAGGUAAAAUAUCACACGAGUGGGUAUAACAUAAACUAUAAUAAGACGCACCUUGGAGUAUGUUAUACUGAAGAUCUAACUUUUCAAGCUUGGUCAAGUUACCGAUUUCCUUUGGUAUGGCUCCAGAGAAAUUAUUGAACUGCAAAAGUAAGAUUCGCAAAUAGCUGCAAUUUGCUAGAUCGGAGGGUAUUUCGCCAUAAAACAUAUUUUUGGACAAAUAAAGUUCUUCCAGAAAAGGAAGAUUGUUGCAAAAAUUUGCAGGGAGUUCAGCAGAUAGUCCAUUGACACUCAAAUCAAGAACUUGUAGAAGAGGCAUCUUGAAUUUGAAAGAGGGGAAAGAACCAGAGAGUUGGUUAUCACUGAGAUCAAGCCAUUGCAGCUGAAAUAGAUGUCCAACGUCAGGAAUGGUGCCUGUUUAAGAAAUUGUUUAUUAAUAGACUAUCUGCUAUAACAUAAUUUACAAAAUUCUGCAUAAUCUCAUAGAUUUCUAACAAAUAACAAGCUUGUUUCUGACUUCUUCUUCUCUACUACUUGUUGUAUCACUAACUUUUAAACUUUUGUUAUAGACACGAGCAAAAAAGGAACAUUGCCAAUUAAUUCUUAAUUUUUUUUACGAAUUUAUGUAAUGGAAUUAGAUUAAAAUUGGAUGCAUUAUUGUCAUUGGUAUUCAAGAUAUUCUAACUUAUAAGAUUGAGCGUGAUUAAGGUAAAAUAUCACACGAGUGGGUAUAACAUAAACUAUAAUAAGACGCACCUUGGAGUAUGUUAUACUGAAGAUCUAACUUUUCAAGCUUGGUCAAGUUACCGAUUUCCUUUGGUAUGGCUCCAGAGAAAUUAUUGAACUGCAAAAGUAAGAUUCGCAAAUAGCUGCAAUUUGCUAGAUCGGAGGGUAUUUCGCCAUAAAACAUAUUUUUGGACAAAUAAAGUUCUUCCAGAAAAGGAAGACUGUUGCAAAAAUUUGCAGGGAGUUCAGCAGAUAGUCCAUUGACACUCAAAUCAAGAACUUGUAGAAGAGGCAUCUUGAAUUUGAAAGAGGGGAAAGAACCAGAGAGUUGGUUAUCACUGAGAUCAAGCCAUUGCAGCUGAAAUAGAUGUCCAACGUCAGGAAUGGUGCCUGUUUAAGAAAUUGUUUAUUAAUAGACUAUCUGCUAUAACAUAAUUUACAAAAUUCUGCAUAAUCUCAUAGAUUUCUAACAAAUAACAAGAUAAUGUCAAAUAGUGGAAAUGACAUGACACGUCCCCAUAAGAGAAUUUAUAAUGGGAGAUGUAAAAUUACCAAGAAGAGGAAGAUUUCACAUAUGCAUGUCGUUAGGGAAGUUACCUGUCAAGUUAUUGUGUGACAAAUCCAAAUUCGAUAGAGAAGAAAGAUUGAAGAUUGAUGAAGGGAUGGCUCCAGUUAAGAAAUUAUUUUGUAGCCACAAUAUCUCUAAUUUUGAAAGAUUCCCCAGCUCCUUUGGAAUUUCUCCUAAAAUCCAUCAGUAACAUAUGCGUUAACUAUUUUAACUUAUUAACUGACACUCAAGAAGAAAAAGAUGAAAUAAAAAAAAAGUUUUUGCCUGAAAGGAGAUAAAAAACAAUUUAUGAAAAAAUAAAUAAAUAAUGUUUUUGUCAAAUGACGAGAUAAGCAGAGCCAAACAUGCUCUAAGGUAAGGAUUUAAUCUAGUUUAGACUUUCCGGCACUCUAGAAGAAAAAAAGGAAAGUUUUUGCCUGAAGAGAGAUAAAAACAAUUUACUCAAUAGAAUUAAAUAAUUAUAGGCUGAGAGGAUUAAUAAAAGUGGGACAUUAUUAAUUUUCAUCAAUUAAUUAAACUCAUUGAUCAUACCUUGGAGUUGGUUCCCUCGAAGAUAUAACCCGAUAAGCUUUGUCACGUUGCCAAUUUCUUUUGGUAUGGUCCCAGAAAAAUCAUUGAGCGAUAAAGAUAUCUCUCGCAGCCGUUUGCAGUUUGAUAAAGUCGAUGGUAUCUUGCCAUGAAACAUGUUACUUUUAAGAAAUAGGGAUUCCAAAUUGGAAAGGUGAUUGCAAAAAUUUGGUGGGAGUUCGCCAAAUAGUGUAUUAUUUGUAAAACGAAUAGAAAGUAAAGAAGACAUGUUGAAGAUAGAGGCGGGAAUGGAACCCGAAAACCAAUUAAAACUGAGAUCAAGUGUUUGAAGAGACGAGAGAUUCCCAAGUUCAGAAGGGAUAGUGCCUGUGAGAUUUAACCCAUAUAUAUUCAAGGCUGUCACUCUAUGAGUACGGACAUCACAAGUGACGCCCGUCCAAUUACAGACAGAGCUACUUGUGUUCCAAUUUCUAGCCAAGAAAUUGGCUGGAUCAUCAGUUACAUGACCUUUCAGGGAAAGAAGGGCUUGUUGGUCUGUGGUAAUACUUGUAGUGUUGGCUGAUGCAAUCAUGAAGGAAAGAAUCAAGCAAUGGAGUAAGAGAAAUCUGAUCAUCAUCUGGGCAGAAGGAAUUCUUUCCAUGAGACUAGAAUAUUUAGAUUGUAAGUGUGUGCUUAAUUGGAUUGAUAAUCCAAGAACACUCAUAGCUGCUUCCAAGUAUAUAUAAUGAAACCCAAAUUUCGAAGAAGCAGCAAGAAAGAAAAUAGAGGAGUGAAAAGACUAUGCUCAUAACUUGUUGAAAGGUGCAAUAAUUUUAUGUGGACCCGCUGCGUCAAGCCAGUCCUUCAGGUCCACACUCAGGAUGAUUGCAGUAAGUUUUGUUUUCCUUUAUAAUCAUCCUAUUAAUUUAUCGCAAAAUAGUUCUACUCAUUAAAAAAAAAAAAAAUUAUUCUCCAUUUAUAGUAACAGGACAUAUAAUGCUCCUAGAAAAAAAAUUAUAUUUCUAUAUGCUUUUUCUGAAUUUGAGAUAAUUUACGAACCGGUGGUGUCACUUUCAUCAAAGUAUUGGCGUUGGGUAAUAAAGUUCUUCACGGGUCAAUGAGGACGUCAUAAGUUGACGACAAAUUGCCUAAGUCAAUGAAAGAAGAGACAAUGAAACCGAUUAUUAUUUUUAUAUAAGUAUUCAUAUUCAUUGAAGGAAUUUAACAGUUCUCAAUGGAACAAUAGAUGUUUGAGUGUUUUUGCUAUUGGUAUGAUCAUUCAAGGAUUUACAAGUGCCAAUAAAAAUAUAACCAAAAAGGAAAAAAUAUGUGGCUUCAGUUGUAUUUGUGAGGGACACUCAUUUCUGAUCUUUAACUUGAAUUGGUUUUUUUUUUCCUCCAAAUUAUGAAUAUCUCAUGUGGAAAAAGGAAAUUUUUAUCACCUAUGAUUGGCUAAUAUGGAAAUUCUCUUUGAGCAAUAUAUAAUUCUCUUUUAAGAAGAAGAAGUUAGUGGCCUGUUAAUUAUGUGUGCUUUAUGGGUUACAAUUAGCACUAUUUUCAUUUCACUUUUAUUAGGGAUGAUGACAGAACUAAAUUUUUAAAAUUUUCUCUGGAAAAAAAAAAUGUUUACAAAGGCGUCAUGUGCAUGCAAUCCUACAGAAUUUCGUAACUAAUAAUAAACUUGCAAGAGAUUGAGAUUGAACGAUGAUGAAAUACAGAGCAAAUGCAAGAGCAAAAGAAAGAAAACUCGUUUUAAAAUAAUAAUAAUAAUAAUAAUGUUUAUAUUACUUUUAUUUGCGAAAAUUUUCAAAACAUAAUAAUUAAUUCAUACAUACAGAUUAAUUUGUCAGAGGUGUAAUAUAAUUUUCGGAGAACGCGUUGCAUUAAGUCACUCCUUCAGGUCCACUCCGAAUCACUAGAUAUUUUCGUCUCUUCUUAUUAUGUGGAUCCAAUCAAAACUUUCAACUUUUGGGAUUCAGCCAUCGGAUUUAAUGAAAAAGCUGUUCAAUGCCAAGAGCUUUGUUUAUUGGCUAAUGCUAACUUACAUGCAUGUAACUUACAACUCUCUCACAUAAAUAAUGAAUGAUGUGGGCUUACUCACUAUUUAUGUGAGAGGGUUGUAAGUUACAUGCAUCUUGUUUAUUAGGUUUUUAACAUUACCCAAUUAUUUGAUAAAAUAAAAAAAUUGAAAAAUAUGAUUUAGUUCUUAUAUUUUAAUUUAGGAGUUUAUUUAUUUUUUAUAUAUUGAAAAAUACUUCAAAAUACUUCUCUUAUUAAAUAUAUUAGGUUCCAACUUUUAAUAUUUUCGUUUUAAUGGUAAUACCUUACAAUAACAAUCUUGGAGAUAUUAAUGAAAAAAUUUAAUUCAUCAAAUUAGCCUAAAAACAUAAAAAUUAAAGAAAGUCAUGAAUCGCAAAGCCAAUGUGACACUCGUGAGUGCUUUUUAAGUAUUUAUUAUAAAUAAUUGCAAAGCCAAUUAUUUAUUAUUUAUAAUGAAACCGAAAUUUCUCUCCGCGUGAAAAUAAAGGAGUGAAAGCGAGAAAAGAUUCCUCUCCACGUGAAAACAGAUGUUGAAAUGUUUUUGCUAUUCGUUUGAUGAUUCGAGGAUUCACAAUUGCCAAAGAAAAUAAGACAUUAUAAAUAAUAAAUAAUUCCAAGAUGAAGAAAUCAGCGGCCCAUCAGUUAAUUGUUCGUGCUCCAUGGGUUAUAACAUUUUUGUCGAUACUCAACCCAACUCAGAAAUCACGAGUUGCACAGUCAAUGAAAAAGAAGACAAAAGUCACUUAAAGCAACGACAAUAAGACAUUGACUAAUGAUAAUAUGGUGGGACAUUAAGUAUGCAUUUGAGAUUAAAGUAGAAACUUAAUAAAUUUCUUAUUUCAUAAUUUUUGAUAAAAAUAAUAUUAGAUAAAUUUCUUAAAAACUACUUCUUUUAUAAUUUUUUUUAUUUUACUAUCGUUUUUAAAAACAGGUUGAGAUUUACUUUUCAUAAGCAGCUUAAAAUAAGCCACCACAAUUUUUCAAAAUUUAUAUUAUAACAUUAAUAAUUUAACAAAAAUUUUAAAUAUGUCUUAUUUUUUCACACUCUAAUUUAUAAGCCACUAGAUAUCAUAUUACCACCAUAAUUUACCGCUGCAACUAAUGUGCAUUCUCUCCAAUAUCAAAGUUUUGAUUUAGCAGGUUCAUAUUUUUAAUAUUUUAAUUUUAUUUUUUAUUAUAAAAGUAAUGAGACUUAUAUAUGAUUACAUGAUUUUUUUUUUAACUAUGAACAAGUUCAUGUGAAAGUUAACCAUAACUUUUAAAAUCAAUUUCAUAACCAUGGGUGUUAACGUUCAAUUUAUUUAUAUUUUUCUAUAGUCAUGGUGUUCGUUGCAACAAAUUGAUUCUAUGCUUUUAGGAGUCUCGUUACCAUUUCCUUUGCAUUGAUCAUCUGCUUUGGUGAUUCCACAGUACACUCCAUAGCCAAAUUUAAGGACAAAUGACAUACAUUGCUCUUUGGUCAUAAAAUGUUUGUCCUCCCGACUUAGCAAAUUCGCAUCAACAACUCCCAUAACUAAAUUGGGUAGCAAAUCACUAACCCAACGUUUUAAUGUCAUUUCUCCAUGAAAAAUUUCAUUUGCGAGUUUCUUCCCGCUAAAUGUUUCCAUUAUCAUAAUCGCAAAGCUGUAAACAUCCCUAUUUGUGGAUGCUUGUCCUUCUCUUUUAUACUCAAUGGAUUUCAACAAUUACAUAGUAAGAUAAAAUAAUUUACAAUAAUAUGCUCAAAUGAAGAUUAUAAGAAAUAAAUAACAUUUGAGAAAGUAUUAAAGAAAUGAAAAAAUAUUUAAUGUGGAACAAACUUGGUGCCAUAUAGAUAACAUAUAGUUAUUAGUAAGAUUUAUGAUAAAAGACAAAACAAAUUAGCUCUUUUAAACUGAUAUUUAUUGGUUAAUUUGGUAAUGAAUAAUGAGUUAAUUUGCUAUUAAUUUUUUAGAUAAAUUAAUUAAUAUUAAGAAUAUUAUUGUUACAAUAUUAUUAUAAAAGUAAAAAAAGGAUAAUAAUGUGACAUAUUUAAUAACAAAGGUAAAUUAAAAUACUUUUUAAAAUAUAAAAUUAAAUGAAAACUUAAAUUAAAAUACAAAAGAUAAACAAGCAUUUACUUGAUAAAAAAUCAUAGAAGUUAAUUCUGCGUGCUUUAGAGGAAUGCUAAAGAGAGAGAAAGACGAGAGAAAGUUAAGCGAUAACAUUUUUGUCAAUCCUUAGCCCAACUCAAAAGUCACGAAUUGCCAAGCCAGUGUGACACUCGUUGGUGCUUUCAAGUAUUUAUUAUAAAUAAUUGCAAAGCCAAUUAUUUAUUAUGUAUAAUGAAACUGAAAUUUCUCUCCGCGUGAAAAUAGAGUGAAAGGGAGAAAAGAGUCCUCUCCACGUAAAAACAUAUGUUGAAAUGUUUUUGCUAUAUGGGGCAAAACUACGUUGUAACAUGGUAUCCUGGAAUCUUGUUAUUUGCUAUAAAAAUAAAAAAAGCUAAAAACUUAUUAAAUUUUCACACAUUAGUCCUACACUCAAAAAUUUUCAAUUGCAUUAAAUUUUCACACAUUAGUCCUACACUCAAAAAUUUUCAAUUGCAUUAAUACUUCUGGAAGCCACGGUUUAUUUCAGAAGCACCUAUAAAUUCAAGCAUUUACUCUCUUUAUACUCAAAAACACCAAUAAAUUAAAAGAAAAGUUUUUUGAGUUGUGUAAUUGAAUUUGAGGCGCAAUAGCUUUAAUAAGAAAUAAAGGCAACUGCUUGCUUUCUUUCAUACUUUGUAAAACUCCUAAUAUGAUAACCCAUUUAUGGCACGAUUAACUAUUCAUUUAAUUAUACUAAUUGACUUAUAUUUUAAUUGAUAGAUAUGUGCUUAAUUGUCAUCUCUAUUGUUGUGCAUGCACGAUGUUAGCAAGAGAGAAGAAAAAAUAAAAAAAUACUUAUUUUUAGUUUAUUUUUACUAAGGAAAUAUUUAAAUUAUUUUCAAAUAGAGUAAUUGUUUAGAAUUUGUUUUUACCCUUCUCUCAGUUAAGUUAAUGAAAUAUCUCAACCGUAUGGAUGUGUGCUAAUGACUAUUUAAAAUGUUGGGAUGAAGUAACAAAUAUCAAUAUAUUUAAGUGUGCAAUUAAAUUUAUUAUUUUUAUCUAGGGAUAAAAACUCAACAAAAAAAAAUACAAAACUCAUUGUUCAAACAAACAAAAAUUAUUUUACAAAUUCAUAAACUAACACUUUAUUAUUAUUAGUAAAUUAACAUAUUUUUACUACAUAAUUAAAUAACUGAUAGUAUGUUAAAUAAAUCUUAUGUUACAAAAAAACAUAGUAAAACAUUAACUACAAAGAAUAUCAAAUUAAAUUUAUUUUUGUAUUUUGUACAUUCCAUUUACUUGAGAUAGUAAAAUCCCUUAUGUUGGGAAAAAAAAAGGUUAUGGGGUUUGAACCUUGGUCACAUAGAUGAGAGGAAAUUGGUUGCCGUUAUGUUAAAUUAAAAAAAAUCGUAUUUAUAUUUAUCAUUAAUUAUGGUUAGUAAAUAAUAUACAUAGUUUAACUAUAUAAUAAAAUAGUUAAUUUUUUGAUUAAUAAGUAAAUUUAUUAAUUUAAAUAGAUAUUAAUAAAUGUAAGAAUAAGUCAUUUAAGUGGAAACCUAGUUCAAUAGUGUAAAAAAAUUAGAAUAUUAUGGACUUAUAUGUCAUAAUUUUAAAACUUUUAAUUUUUCUUAUUUUGUAUGAACAAGAGGGACUUUUAAUGUUAAUAACCUAAAAUCACAAUUAAGCCAUUAUACAACUCUUGGGUUAGCCCGACUCAAAAGUCACGAUUCGCCAAGCCAGUGUGACCCUCGUGAGUGCUUUUAAGUAUUUAUUAUAAAUAAUUGCAAAGCCAAUUAUUUAUUAUUUAUAAUGAAACUGAAAUUUAUCUCCGCGUGAAAAUAAAGGAGUGAAGGCGAGAAAAGAUUCCACACGUGAAAAGAGAUGUUGAAAUGUUUUUGCUAUUCGUUUGAUGAUUCGAGGAUUCACAAUUGCCGAUAAGUCAAGAAAAUUUCCAAAAAUUAUCUUCCAAAAAUAAAUUAAUUGUGUGUGCUUUAUGGUAUAACAUUUUUGUCGUUACUCAACCCAACUCAGAAAUCACGAGUUCCACAGUCAAUGAAAAAGAAGACAAAAGUCAAUAAAAGCAAAGACAAGACAAUAAGACAUUGACUGAUGAUAGCAUGGUAGGACAUUAAGUAUCCCUCGGGAUUAAAGUAGAAAUUUAAUAAAUUUCUUAUUUCAUAAUUUUUAUAAAAAUAAUAUUUAAUAAAUUUUGUAAAAACUAUUUCUUUUAUAAUUUUUUCUAUUUUACUACAGUUUUUAAAAAUAGGUUAAAAUUUACUUUUCUAAGCAGUUUAAAAUAAACCACUAUAAUUUUUCAAAGUUUAUAUUAUAUCAUUAAUAAUUUAACAAAAAAGAUAAUUAUAGCUUAUGUUUCCAUACACUAUAGUUUAUAAGCCAUUAGAUAUCAUAUUACCACAAUAAUUUACCACUGCAACUAAUGUGCAUUCUCUCUAAUAUCAAAGUUUUGAUUUAGCAGGUUCAUAUUUUUAAUAUUUAAUUUUAUUUUUUAUUAUAAAAUUAAUGAGACUUAUAUAUGAUUACAUAAUUUUUUUUAAACUAUCCAUGUGAAAGUUAACCAUAACUUUUAAAAUCAAUUUCAUAACCAUGGCUUUUAACGUUCAAUCUAUUUAUAUUUUUCUAUAGUCAUGGUAUUCAUUACAACAAGUUGAUUCUCUACUUUUAGGAGUCUCGUUACCAUUUCCUUUGCAUUGAUCAUCUGCUUUGGUGAUUCCACAGUACACUCCAUAGCCAAAUUGAAGACAAAUGACAUAUAUUGCUCUUUGGUCAUAAAAUGUUUGUCCUCCCGACUUAGCAAAUUCGCAUCAACAACUCCCAUAACUAAAUUGGGUAGCAAAUCACUAACCCAACGCUUUAAUGUCAUUUCUCCAUGAAAAAUUUCAUUUGUGAGUUUCUUCUAGCUGAAUGUUUCCAUUAUCAUACUCGCAAAGUUGUAAACCCCGUUUGUGGAUGCUUGUCCUUCUCUUUUAUAUUGGAUGGAUUUCAACAAUUACAUAGUAAGAUAAAAUAAUUUACAAUAAUAUGCUCAAAUGAAGAUUAUAAGAAAUAAAUAACAUAUCAGAAAGUAUUAAAGAAGUGAAAAAAUAUUUAAAGUGGAACAAACUUGGUGCCAUAUAGCCUAUGGUGGCAAGUGUUUGUGUUUGUGUCAAUAAUUGAUCUUCUCUGAGUAAGAGUUUUGCCAUGCCAAAAUCAUUCAAAUGAGCAACCAUAGUAUCGUCUAGCAAUCGGCUUUAAAUCAUAGUGAAUUCUAAGUGUUGAAUGAUCAAGGUUUAGAUAUUCCAAAGCUGAUGCAACAUCUAUCAUUAAGUUUAAUCUUUGAAAAAUAUCCAAAAUGUAGUUGCUUGAAAAAUAUCCUCUAAAUAGGCAAAGAGACGAAGAAUAUUUAAGAAUUUUGCUGACAUAAUAUAAAAGUGAAAAACCACUCGUGAACGUCUACACAUCGUUAAUGCUUUGGUUAUGUGUGUGUAUAUAUAUAGUAGUUUUCUAGUUCGGAAACUUAAAGUGUGGGAAAAGUUUAAGAAAGCUUUAAAACUGUGAGGUUUAAUAGUAUUAUAAAAUAAGACGCCUUCUCAGACUUUCUCAUACUUUAAAAUCCUGAAUUAAAAAAUUUAUAUAUAUAUAUAUAAACACACACAUAUGUACCAGCAUUUACAGCGAAAUAUCUGACUAAUAUCUAUAAAAAUUAAAAAGGUAUAGUGCAAGUAAGCAAUAGGCGGUAGAUAGAUUGUGUGUGCGGUUAAAACUAAAAGACGAAAUGUGUGGUAUGUCGGAUUACAGGAAGAAUGCGAGAGAUUCACAUUUGUUAUGCUGAAUUAAACUGAAUAUAUGAUUAGGUAAGAUUGUAUUAGACUGAAUUAGAUACGAUUGGACUAAAUUAUUUAUGGUGGAUUGGAUUGAAUUCAUUGAUAAUUUAUAAAUAAAAUUAAAUAAUUAGAAAAUACUAAUAUAAAUUAAAUUAUUUAUCUCAAAACAUUUUAUUAAUAAUGGUGAAGUAUUAUAAAUAUACAUUUUUAUAUCAUGGAAUUAGUAUGCAUAAUAUUAAUUAAAAUUAUGGAAAAUAUACAAGUUUAAGUUUAAUUAUAAUUGGAAUAAAAUCUGUCAAAAUAAUCUAAGGAUUUUGAUCGAGAGAGUGAUGUUGCUCACCACCGCCUUAUGGAGAGUGAUGUUGCACGUGUCCAACUCUAAUUAGGAGACAUGUGAAGCGAGACUCAUAGCUCUCUGAAUAACAACUGAAUACAUGCAGACGUCGCUCAUGUGAUCACUACUCAACAAUCUAAUCUCUUAAAAUUAUCUCGUAACAACUAAAUGUGCCCCAACUUUAUAGUGUACUACUCUAAUUUUUAUCUAGGAUUUGGAUUUUCUCCUAAUCUAAUCUCUCCUAAGCUUUUGUAUAAGAUCAUGACACAUGUCAUUCAAGUCUUUAGCUAGGAUUUAAUUUAUUUCAAACUUGGCUUUUUUAAAAAUCAUGAUAAAAAUUCAUUUAGUCCCUAUAUUUUAAAAUUAGUGCUUGUUUAGUCUUUGUAUUUUUAAAAACACCUCAAAAUAUCAUUGCCGUUAAACAAUUGACACUACUGUUGUUACUUUUUGUUCCUUUUGGCUUACUUUUACAAUGUUACUCUCUUACAAUAAUUUGUUUAUAUUAAUAAAAAGAAAAAAUAAACUACUAUUUUAACCCCAAAAUAAAAUUAAAAAAAAAAUAUAUAUAUAUAUAUAUAUAUUUUUUUUUUUUUUUUGGAAGCUCACAUAUGUCCAAAAAGAAUUAAUAUUGUAAAAAAAUUAAACUACCAAUUUUUUUGGACAUUGAAAAAAAAUACAUUAAAGCAGAGUGGAAAAAAUUAGUAUAUAUUCUUUUCGUUUCUAUUUUAUUUUUUGGGUUAAAUUGAUAAUUUAACUUUUUUCUUUUUAUUAAUGUAAAAAGAAAUAUUAUUGUAAGAGGGUAAUAUUAUAAAAAAAAAAGAACAAAAAGUAACGAUAGAGGUGUCAAUAGUUUAAUGGCAGGAAUGUAUUGAAGUAUUUUUUAAAAUAUAAGGACCAAAUAGACACUAACUUCAAUAUAUAGGGAUUAAACGAAUUUUUACCCUAAAAAUCAAAACAUAAGUUUUCAUGCCUAAAUAAAUGUCUGAAACUUAACGGUUAUUAUCACAAACUGCUACUUCUUUCUCGCUUCUUCUUCUCUACUACUUUGAAUAUCACAAACUUUGGACUUCUGUGUAAAACUUGAGCAAAGAAGAAACAUUGCUCAUUAAUUCUUAAUUCUUUUAGGAAUUUAUAUCAUGGAAUUAGAUAAAAUUUGAAUGCAUUAUUGUUAUCGGUAUUCUGCAACAACAAUUGAAGCUACUUGAAGUAGACAACAUCAAUUGAAGACAAUUUCUAUUUGCAAUCAUCAGCAAUUAAUUUAGCUUUAUUGGUUAUCAAAGUUUGUUGGGUGAACACGAAAUAGAAGAAAAUUCAAUAGGAAAGAUAAAGAGAAAAAAGAACAGAGUGAAAGAAAUUGAAGGUUAAAGCUUGUUAGACAUCGGUUAAUCUUAGAGCUAUUAAAAUAAUUAGGCAAUAAUACGAUGUGUUCUAAUUCUAAUAUAAAUUAAAUCCAAGUCUUAGAAAAACUUAAAUGACAAAAUUUAGAAAAGAUUAGAUUAGGAGAAGAUCCCUAUAUUUCUCUUCUCAAAUAUUAAAAAAAAGAUUCAAAGUUAUUAUCAACAUUUAUUUCAAUGUUCGCAAUUGAAAUGCUUAAACACGAUUAAUUUUCGAGCAAAUAAAUAUUUUCUAAUCUUUAUAUCAACCUUCCUGUUAUUCUAGGAAUGAGCAUUAGUGGUCAAGGUGAAAUACUACGAGUAAUGAAUAAAAAAUUGACAUAAAUAUAAAGUCUAUGAUCAUGCUUACCCUGGAGUCUGUUUUGGUCAAGAUAUAACUCCUUAAGCUUGGUCAAGAAAUCAUUGAUUGACGAAGAUAAUUUUUGUAGAGGAAGAUUGUAGCAAAUAUUUGUUGGGAGGUCAACAAAUAACCUAUCAUAUUCAAAAUAAAUAUUAGCUAGUAAAGAAGACUUGCUUAAGAUGAAGGAAGGGAAAGAAUCAGGGAGCUGGUUAUGGCUAAGAUAAAGUUUUUCGAAGUGAUGAUAGAUUCCCAAGUUGAGAAGGAAUAAUGCCUAUUAAGAAAUUAUUUGUUAGCGCCGGCAUCUUCAAUUAUAUAAAGAUAAGUAGUGAUUCAAUGCCAAAUAUUUUAUAUAGAUGUCAGACAUGCAUAUUAUUAGUGAAGACGCAUGCUAAGUUAUUAACAUCACAAAUCCAAGCUCAAUGGGGUAGAAAGAUUGAAGAUUGAUGAAGGAAUGAUUCCAGUUAAGAAAUGUUUUCUAGCCAUAACAUCUCCAAUUCUGCAACAUUCCCCAGCUCCUCUGGAAUUUCUCCUCAAACGUAAUGAGUAACAUAUGCGUAAACAUUAUUAAAUUAUUACCCAGCUCUCAAGAAUAAAAGAAAUGAAACAAAAGUAAUUAUUGCCUGAAGAGAAUAAAAAACAGUGGUUUAGUUAUGUAGUGAAAUAUUUGACUAAUAUCUGUUAAAAUUAAAUAGGUAUACGGCAAUUAAGCAAUAAGUUGUUGAUAGAUUGUGAGUGGUUAAAACUAAAAGAUCAAAAGUGUGCCAUGCUGGAUUAUAGGGGGAAUGCAAGAUUCACAGUUGGUAAGCUGGAUUAAACAGAAUAUAUGAUCACUAAAUAAGAUUGUAUUAAACUGAAUUUGAUAGGAAUGAACAAAAUUAUUUAUUGAGGAUUAGAUUGGACUAAUUGAUAAUUUAUAAAUAAAAUUAGAUAAUUGAAACUACUAAUAUAAAUUUAAAUAUUUAUCUCAAAACAUUCUAUUAGUAAUUGUAAAGUAGUAUAAAUAUACAAAUUUAUAUCAUGAAAUCAAUAUUCAUAAUUAAACUUAUUUAAAAUAUAUGAGUUUAAGUUUAAUUAUAAUUGGACCAAAAUUUGUCAAAUAAUUUAAGGAUUUUGAUCGAGUAAGAAGUGAGAGCCACAACUCUCCCAAUAAGAGCUGAACUCAUGCGAUACCCUCUCCAUAAGAAAAGCGACUCACUACUCAAUAAUCUAAUCCAUCAAAAUUAUCUUAGAAUCAUUAAACAUGACAGUACUCCUCCAAUCAUUAUUUAGAAUCUGGAUCCUUUUCUAAUCAAAUCUUUGCAAAGCUUUUGUAUAAAAUCAUGACAUGUCAUUUGAGUUUUUUAGACUUUGUUUGAUAUACAUUUUCAAACAAGUUUAUUUAAGUAGAGCUUCUACUAGUAGAAUUUUAAUAAACAGAGCUUUUAUAAUAAAAAAUUGUGUUAUUUGGUCGUCAAUUAAAGAUAUUGUUAAAAAUUAUAAAAUUAUUCAAAUAGACAAGCUUUUAAAAUUUUAUUAUGAAAGGAAUGAUAUAAGAUUGCGAAAUAAAUUAUAAGAGUACUUCAAAAUACUUUAAAAAAUUUAACUCUUUAAAAAAGUUCUAAAAUCUCUACUCUCAAAUAGCCCAAAGUUGAAAUUUUUUAAAAGUGAAGAAAAAAUAACUUAUUUAAUAAUUAAAAACUCUACUCAAGAUGCUGCCAAAUAAUAUGAAAGCUUCGUUAUUUUUAACAGAGCUUUUAAAUUAAUAAAUAAAUUAUAUUUUAUAUCAUUUUAUUAAAGAAAAGAAUGAACCGCAAGAUUGUAAGCCCCGUUCAGUUGCUUUAUGAAAGCACGUGAAUAACUGUGCAAUCGGCCCAAUUCCAUGAGGAAUCUGGAUCCUAUUCAGAGCUCCACACGUGUCUCAGCCGCUCGCACGAGUGCGAGAAAAAUUUCCGGGGCUUGGAUCUUGUUACCAAGGAUGCUUCUCAACAUAAUGUGGCCCGGGGACUUUCCUGGGCUAAAUUAUUUUUUUCAGCCCAUGCACGUCAAUUUGCAGUGUUUGCCUGGGCGCAUAAAAUAUAUAUUUUUUUUAGGAAAAUUAUUACUGCACCAUCUCUAUCUUGUCUUAUAUUUAUUCAACUACCACAAAAUUCUAAUAUAUUUUCUGCACCACUUUUCUUUUUAAAUUUGUAUCAACUAGCCACUUUUGCACUAACACCAUUAAAUAAUUUAAAUGAAAUGACAAUUUUACCUUGAAAUAAAUUAAAAGACCAUUUUAUCUUAUAAAAGCUUUGAAAAAUAAAAAAAUUAUAAUUAUAAAAAUACCUCUAAUUUUAAUAAAAAAUAAAAACUAAAAUUAUAAUUUUUAUUUUUAAUAAAAUCAAAAUAAAAAGUAUAAUUAUAAAAUUAUUGCAAAUUUUGGGAUUUAAUAAAAAUUCCUUAAAUUGUUAAAAUUUUGGGAUUUAUUUUUAAUAAAUAAAUUCAGUUUUUUUAAUAAAAAUAAGGUAAUUAUUAAAAUUUUGUAAAAUCUAAAUUUAAUGAAAAUCAGCUGAGCACCUCUAUUUGAGAUUUAUUUUUAUUAAAUUUAGGGGUAUCUUUAUAAUUAUAAUUUUCUUAAUUUUCAAAGUUUUUAUAAAAUAAAAUGUUUUUUAAUUAUUUAGGGGUAAAAUUAUAAUUUCAUUUAAAUUAUUUAACGGUGUUAGUUUAAAAGUGGCUAGUUGAUACAAAUUUAAAAAGAAAAGUGGUGCAGAGAACAUGUUAAAAUUUUAUGGUGAUUGGAUGAAUAUAAGGCAAAAUAAAGGUGGUGCAAUGAUAAUUUUUCUUUUUUUAAUUACACCUAAGAAUUUUCAGUUUUGGCGAUGUGGGACACAAAAAAAAAAUUAAAAUCAUGUGAUUCAUGUCAAACAUGAUUAGACAACUUUACCUUUACUCAUUUUUAUCAAUCAUUUAUCAUUAGGAGCAAGAAGGAAAAAAAAAUUCGUUACCUUCGAUUGUCCUUGUGAAUGGUAUGUGUUCUUUUUUAUUAUAAUACACAAAAAAAAUUAUUUCUUUUAUAGGAACCAUAAGAAUGAGCAAAGAUAAAGUUAUCUAAUCAUGUUUGAUUGCUAACUAAAAAAUAUAUUUAUAUUUUAUUAAUUUUAUUUCUUUAAUUUUUUUAUCCCAAUGUAAAUAGCAAUAAUAAUUAUUUUUUAAAAAUUUAAUGAUUUUAUUUCUUCAUUAAUUAAGAAUAAUUUUAGACACAAAGAUUUUUUGCUCAAUUAUUUAGGUACUAAUACUUCUUAUUGAUCCUUGAAGUUGCUUUUGUUUACUUAUUUGAACCAUAUACGAAAUUUGAAGAACGUCAAUCUCAUGAUAUUACUGAUUAUUCGUUGAUAUUCUUUGACAUCUAAAUUGAUUCGAUGGACAUAUUAUUAUUGACAAAUUAGUAGCUUCUCCUCAACAAAUGAAUAAUGAUGAGCACUUCUCUUUCCUGUGAAUUGUGGAGAUUGAUCUUGAUGUGAAUUUCCUGUCAGGGAACCAUAAUCUCUAGACAGGGAUUUGUCCGUGGUAUACCCCAAAAAAAGGGUAUUUAUCUAAAAACACCCCCAUACUCUAAAAUUCCUCAUAUAUACCUUUUUUAAUGUGCAGUUACGAAAUUACCCUAAUUAAAAACCUAAAUCAUCCAAAUUACCCUGCACAAUCAGUCACAAACACACGCGCCCAUCCCUGGAGUUGAAGCUAGAGGUGAAUACAAAGCUCUUCUUCUUCCAAUUGAUUACCAUUCGUUCUUCUUUCAAUUGAUUACUGCCUCUUCUUCUUCAGAGAUACAAAGCUCUCUCUCUCCCCUCGAAGAACAUUCUUAAGUAGCGCAGGUGUAGCAAGAAGCCACAAAUCCUUGAUUUGGCUAGGAACGACUGCACUGCUUUAGCCCCAGAAGCGAAGGGAAUGAGCUCGGCUGCUUCUCCUCCACACUAAUUUUUCUCCGUGCCCGUUCCGCAUGCGCUUCGCGCGCCAUUGGCGCUUUGCUCUCCUCUUAUUCUUCACCAUCCCCUAAACCCAACGCCUUACUCUCUGCUCCCGACUCUCUGUUGCCACAACCGCUGCAAAAGCACAAGGCACACAUGCAAAAGCACAAGGCACACAUAACUCACAAAUCGGGCUUUUCUACGAAAAAGAAGUCCAAAUCCAAUAAAAAAUAAACAGGAUAAGAAACAAAAACCUAAGGUCGUCAAUUGUUAUUUACUUUAUUUUCCCCCUUCAUUUAUAUAAAUAAAAUAAUUACUAUUGCUGAAUUUAAUUUUCAUUAUUGCUAUUAUCUUUUAGGCAUUUGCUUUUACAUCAUCUGUGACAUCCAAGUGAUUACAGUCACGAGUAGUAGAGAAAGAGCAAAGUCGGCUUCACAUUUCGACUAUAGACCGCUCUUACGGUGAACCACCGCCAUUUGUCGUUGUAGUUCAGGGACCUCCCCAGGUUUUGCAUAUUUGUUUAUUUAUUUUAUUGUUUUAAUUUUGAAAGUUUAGGUGGCUUUUUUUAGUUGUUAUUAUAAUCUAACCUCCAAUGCAGUUGUUUAAAGAAUUUCUUUACCUGAUUUUUACCCUGGAGUCGUGUAAAGAAUUCUCCAAUGCAGUUGUGUAAAGCAUUUCUUUACCUGACUUUUACCCUGGAGUCGUGUAAAGAAUUCUUUACUCGACAGCAGUUGUGUAAAGAAUUCUUUACACGACUGCUGUUGUGUGAAGAAUAUUUUACUCGACAGUAGUCGGGUAUGAACACUUUACUCCACUAUAUUCGCAUAAUUAGUUCUUUACUCGACUGUAGUUUGUAAAGAAUUCUUCACUGGACAUGCGUCGGGUAUGAACACUUUAUUUCCAAUGUUACAAAGAAUCUAUGGUUUAUAUAGUGGACUGUAGUUCAAUGCAUGUUUUACUCGACUGUAGUCGUGCAAUGAAUGAUUUACUCGACUGGUAUGUCGUGUAAUUUUUAUGAUUGGUUUAAAAUAUAUUAUUAUGCAACUUUUCAAUCAUUUUAUAUAUUGAUUGAUAAAUUUUUUUGUAUUUAUGUAGAUGGAACUGAAGAUCAAGGAAUCUGAAUAGACUUCUAUUUAUGACUCCAUGAUAGACUUAACAAAGGAUUCAGUUUUGGUGAGACAAUUGCUGCCUGUUGCAGACAUGAUACCUUUAGUACUUCAGAAGAUAGUAUAUCACGAAACACAUCCAGACUGUAGUGAGGUUAUAUCGAAAAUUCCUUGGCCCAUCGUGCGAGUGCGUGACAUCCCACAAUAAAAAUUAGGGUAUGUACUAUACAUAUAAUGUGUUUUGAACAUAAUAAUAAGAAUGAUGAUUUUUAACAAUUGAUUUAUAUGAAUUUUUGUAGUGGUGAUUGUGGAGCAUUGUUGCGGUACUUCGAGGUCCUAGCCCAUGGACUUGAUGUCAAUUCAUAUUGCCAACAAGAUCAUGUUACACAAUUUCGAAAAGCCUUGGCUGUCAAAUUAUUUGGGCAUAGGUCAUGGAAAAAAAUUUUGUAGUGUCAUUUUUUGGACUAUGAGAUGUAAUAGUUAUGAUGAGGAUGUUGUUGAUAUUUGAUGUCAUUAAAGAUAACUUGACAUCAUUAAUGUAUUUUAUUUCUUUGUUAAUUAUAUUAAUGAUAGAUAAGAUAGUUUGUACAAUUUAUGUGAUAUAACAGAAUUUCCAUAUAUGCACAGGGAAUACGCUGUGAGAAAAUACACGACUGCAGUCGGGUAUUUGCACAGAUACACGACUGCAGUCGAGUAUUGACAAAUAAACAUGACAAGCUCUCUGUGAGAAAAUACACAAUUGCAGUCAGGUAUUUGCACAGAUACACGACUGCAGUCGAGUAUUGACAAAUAAACAGGACAAGCUCUCUGUGAGAAAAUACACGACUGCAAUCAGGUAUUUGCACAGAUACACGACUGCAGUCGAGUAUUGACAAAUAAACACGACAAGCUCUCUAUGAGAAAAUACACGACUGCAGUCAGGUAUUUGCACAGAUACACGAUUGCAGUCGGGUAUUUACAAAUAAACAUUACAAGCUCUCUGUGAGAAAAUACACGACUGCAGUCGGGUAUUUGCACAGAUACACGACUGCAGUCGGGUAUUUAGAAAUAAACAUGACAAGCUCUCUGUGAGAAAAUACACGAUUGUAGUCGGGUAUUUGCACAGAUACACGACUGCAGUCGGGUAUUUAGAAAUAAACAUGACCAGUUCUGUAACAGCCAAAAUACACGAUUGUACUCGGGUAUGAGCACAGAAUAAAAACUCUCCUAAAACAUUCAUUAUAUUGAUGACACAAUCAAUAUAGACUUUAACAUAUCAAACUUCAAAUAAAUGAAACUAACUGUAGUCCGGUUGCCUAUCAAAUUACAUAAAUACAAUACUUAUUGAAAUCGUAAAUAAGUCGUAAUACAAUAGAAGUUGUUUAACAUUCAUCAUAAAUUUUUGGCAUCUUCAACCCAAACACUUGGUCCAUAUUUUAUAAGCCUCUGGUCGCCUCCCUUCAAUACUUAUUCUUAGAAAGCCACACAAACACGUUUAUUCAUCUGCGAAACAAAAAGGUAGAAAAAUAAAAUCCAUUCACCACAAAAUAUAAUAGGCACACGUACUGAAGUCAUUUCCUGUAAUAAUACAACAGUUGAUUAUACAACAAAUACAAAAAUAAAAUCAAACCAGAUUUAUAACGAAGUGUAGAUCUGUCUGCCUAUUUACACGACUGACGUCGUGUAAUUGAUAGUUUUUACGACAAUAGUUGUGUAACUUGCUAAAAUACACAACUAUAGUUCUGUAAACAGUCAAAUGAUAUAUUUAAUAAAAAAUAAUUGUAAUCUUUGUACUAACAGAAUGCUAGGUGUAAUAACAACUACUAUAUCUUUCAAACUUGCAAGAUUGUUGUCGUGUAAAUUCAUACAUACAUGACAAAAGUCGUGUAAGUUGUAAAAAUACAUGACUCGGUAAAUAAUCAGAGGACAUAUUUCUUCUUAAAAAAAUUUUGGGAUCUCAUAACAAUUGAAACAUUUUACAUAUAUACACAAUUAUAGUAUGUAAGUUUAUACGUACACGCUAGUAGUCGUGUAACUUAUUAACACACACGACUAUAGUCCAGUAAUAGCAAAAGGAUAUAUAUAGUGAAAAAAAAUAUAUUUUUUGAACCAAUAGAAUGAUAAGGUGUCAUAAUAAUUGAAAUUUUUUGCACAUUUUCACGACUACAGUCGUGUAAAUACAUACAUACACAACUGAUGUCGUGUAUAUCGGGUGCAGAAAAAAAAUUUGACAACAACUUCAGGUUUUAACGAAUGUAGUUAUAAAAUCCAUCAAAUAACAAUCAUAUGAUGCAAAUGUAAUGAAAAUAUGAGUUGCUUUAGUGUUUAUCACAAACCAAACAAAAUCCUAAAAAUAAUAUAAUGUCAACAAAUUGAAUAGAUAACACAAAAUAAAAAAAAAAGGUUUCAAAUACCUUAUUCAUGGGAUGAAUAAUACACCCAGCUGCAAACAAAAAUCUCAGUGCAUUAGCUGUUUGUGAGUGAUUUUGAGUGUGGUGUGAGUUUUUGUUGUGUGGAGUAAAAAAGAGUGAGAAGUAAAUAGUGUUGUGAGUUGUGUGUGUUUUAUAUUUUUCUUUAGGGAUAUUUUAGAUAAUGUACCACAUAAAAAAGUAUAUCUAGAUAAUUUUCAAGCAUGGAGUAUAUUUAACUAAAUACUCUACUUUUAAGGCAUAUUUAAUUAAAAACCCCAUCUCUAGACGUAGUUCCGAAUAUAAAAUUCUCUUCUCUAGUACCAAGAGAUUCUGCAAUUCUGGGUCACUUGAGGACACUGUUGUCGCCUUGCACGCAGAAGAUAUGACAGCUUUGUAACGGCAAAGAGGGGUUACAUAUAAGCUUUGUAACCGUUGCAAAUGCUUUUUAACUGUAUUUUUGGCGUGCAGUAACAAAAGGUAGUAACGGUCACCAAAAUAAAUAACCACCUAAAUGCGGUCACAUAAAGUAAUGGGUUGGAUGCAAGUUUUGUGACUGGUGGAAGCUGUCACAAAUUUGUAAUGCUUAAUUUUUUCAUAAUUUUGUGAUAUUUGAUUAUUUGUCAAUAUUUUAUCUCAUGUUCCUGAUAUUUAUCAAUGACAACAAAAAUUCAACAUUGUUCAUUACAACAUUAAAGCAUUAAAAUUAAUUAUCACGAUACCAUCCAUAAAGUUCAAAUUAUAUACUGAAAACGAGAGAUUAACAUCAAGCCGCACGUCUCCAAGUCAAAAAUUAAAAGUGUACACAAAUGCAAAUACAAGCCUACGAUACAAAGUCUUACAAAAAUAAGUAAUGAAUCCAAGAGUCUCCAAUGCAUCUUAUCAAACGAUAGCCUACAAUAGAAGCAACAAUAUAUUAAAAAUGUUCAAGACAAACACACUUAAAUAUCAUAAUUAUAUAACUAAGCACUUCUUGCUAGCAAUAAUUAGAAGCGCUCUUGGUACAACUGUUAAUGUCUCUAUCCUUUGUUGAAACUCUUAGUUAAUUUGCAAAUCUAAUAUUCAUUUUCCAAAAAUAAUGUCAACACUGAACAUAUGAAAAGUAAUGAAUCAUAAUUUUACAAGUAAAAGCAUUUAUCUAUAAAUAGACGUCAUAAUUUGCAGCAUAACUGCAUGACGGUGUUGAUGCGCAUUGGAAGCAUCGACUAUCUACUAAAAAAACAAACAUUUUUUUUUUCCUAAGAAACACAGAAGGAAAUGUAGUCUAUAUAUAGAUGAUGAAUAUGCAGCCUAUAUAUUUUACUAUAUUGUAAGAUGUAGGAAAUGUAGGGAAGGGCAUUAAGUUGCAAGGUUCAGUUCCAAGUUCGCAAUAAAAAUUGCUAUUAUGCUGCAACUUUUCUCAAUAUACUCCACACUUUUCACCCUAAAUUAUACAUUUAUUCUAAAAUCAUUUUUAAAAAUCAUUUUGAAUUUUAAGUAAAUAUUCACUAUAAUCUGAUGAUUGUGAAGUUCAACUUUAAUUAAUGUUUUACUAGAUAUUUGGAUCGAAAAUAAAAGCCUUCAUGUUAGUUUGACUUAUCUGUUUGAUUGAAUGAUAAUGUGGUACUCCUCAUAUUCUCAAGAAUAUACAGAAAGUUGCAACCUCUGAGCAGAGUUUGAUUUUCGCUUCCAUUGCGAAAUUGUAACUUGUGGUAAAUAAGGCACUUGAAAAUUGUUUAUAUUGGGUCAACCUCAACCCAUAGAUACCAUGUGCUAGUCUUGUUGUAUUGCACUCAACACUUCCCCUCUUUUUUCCGAUGAAGUAUAUGCUCUGCUAAAAUUUACAGGUUGGACAUAUCAGCUCAAUCAAGGCAGAAAUUAAAUGUGGGGAGGAUACAUUCUUCGCAUUUUUCUGGUCAGGUAAUAGUAGAUACCUGUCUUUUGGUGCAUGCUUGUCUUGUUAGUUUAGUGAUUUCCAUGUAGAUUCUAGGUAUUUUACUUGUUUCUGGACCAGCUCCAAAAUAUAGAUCCAAAUAAACCUGAAGGACGAAAUGCGGUUGAAGACCUGGAUGGAAUAACCUCAGACACAGACACUGAGUCUGCUCUUGAGGUUGAGGAGACUUUGAUCAUGCAUGUCAGUUUCGGCAAAUUGAGUUACUCUUACUAUGAACCGAGACCCUGUCGUAGGAUUUCCAAAUCGUAUCUGCUCGAAUAAUCAAGGCUUCUUUGCCACCUAAAUGGGACAACAUGAACAUACGUUAUCCCUCAGUAUCAUCUCUUUACAAUCUCAAAAAUCUUUUGGUCAUUUGCAUUUGUAAGGCGUACUUGUGGUAGUUGAUUCCCAGAAUUUAUCUUUUGAUGUAGUGGUUAAUUUGUAGUAAAAAGUUUGAGAUUCAGUGGACAUGAUAUUGUAAAUUUUCAAUUACGAACUGCACCUGGUAGAAAUCAACUAUGUUUUUGUAUGGAUUCUCGAAGUUUCAGAUUUUAGCAUCAGAUAACUAGGUUCUGUACAAUUUAAAUUUCGUUUUUCUAGUAGCAUCCCCAAAUACUCUAAAUAGGCAUACUUAUUAGGAAACCUAUCUAUAUCUAUAUAUAUAUAUAAAGUUGGGACUUGAAGAGGUGAUGUGGCAUCACCAUUUCGCUUCUUUGUAUAUUCUCUAUUAUCUAAUAAAUAGAGUUUUUUUUUUAAUUUGGCUUUUUAUCUUCUCAUAAUUAAUUUGAUUAUAUUUAACUCAUUUAAUAAAUAAUAACUUUAUUAAUAUAUAUCAUUCCUCAUUUUUUAUAUUUUCUAUUAUCUAAAAUAUCUAAAAUAUUGGUAGAUAUUCUUUGUACUUUUUUUUCUCUUUAUAUUUAAAUUCAACAAUAUGUAAUCAUUAAUAAUAAUUAAUUAUAAGUCUUUUGAAACAUUUAUUUAUUUUAUUAUGCUACCAAUUAAACUUUAGUGGCUUAAAAUACAUGAAUUAAUUAACACAGGAAGAGAAGUUCUUUCAUUUUCCCUCAACAAUGCCACUAAGGCCUAAUUUUAAUUCCAUAAUCCCAUAUUUAAUUAUGCAACCUUUUGUUGAGUGUCUUUUGGUUUCUUCAAAAUUUAUUAUACUAUCAAUUAAACUUUAGUGCCUUAAAAUACAUCACCUAAUUAACAUAGGAAGAGAGGUUCUUUCAUCUUCCCUCAACCUCAUCUUUUUAUAUUCUCUAUUAUAUAAAAUAUUGGUGGAUAUUCUUUGUACAUAUAUCAUAAUAUGACACUCAAAAAAAUAAAGAUAAAAUAUAUAUUAAUAAUAAAGAUAUCAGUUAAUAUAUAAUUAUCUAAUAAAUUGGUUGAAAUUAAAAAAUAAUUACAUUAUAAAAUAUUAAAAUAGAAAAUAAUUAUUAGAUUAUAAAUGUUACAUGUCUUUUCCUCUUUCUAUUUAAAUUCAACAAUAUGUAACUAUUAAUAAUAAUUAAUUAUAAGUCUUGAAACAUUCAUUUAUUUUAUUAUGCAAACAAUUAAAUUUUAGUGGCUUAAAAUACAUCAAUUAAUUAAUAUAGAAAGGAAGAUUCCUUCAUCUUCCCUCAAUAAUGCCAUUAGAGCCUAACUUUAAUAUCAUAAUCCCAUAUUUAAUUAUUCAAUCUUUUGUUUAGUGUCUUUUGGCUUCUUCAAACUCCAUAAACAUUAAAUAUUUAAGAUUUAUGGCAUCAUUAUUUCUCACCUUUUUUUAUUCUCCAUUAUCUAAUAUAUUGGUUGAGAUUAAAAAAUAAUUACAUUACAAAAUAUUAAAUAUAUAUAUAUAUAUAUAUAUAUAUAUAAAGUUAGGACUAGAGGAGGUGAUGUAGCAUCACUAUUUCUCAUCUUCUUGUAUUCACUAUUAUUUAAUAAAUUGGCUUAUAUUAAAAAAAUAAUUACAUUACAAAAUAUUAAAAAUAAAAAAUAAUUAUUAGAUUAUAAAAGAUUACACGUCUCUUCCUCUUUCUAUUUAAAUUCAAUAAUAUGUAACCAUUAAUAAUAAUUAAUUAUAAAUCUUGAAACAUUUAUUUAUUUUAUUAUGCCAACAAUUAAACUUUAGUGGCUUAAAUAUAUCAAUUAAUUAAUAUAGGAAGGAAGGUUCCUUCAUCUUCCCUCAACAAUGCCAUUAGAGCCUAAUUUUAAUGUCAUAAUCUCAUAUUUAAUUAUUCAAUUUUUUGUUUAGUGCCUUUUGGCUUCUUCAAACUCUAUAAAUAUUAAGUAGUUAAGAUUUGUGGCAUCAUUAUUUCUCAUCUUUUUUUAUUCUCUAUUAUCUAAUAUAUUGGUUGAGAUUAAAAAAUAAUUACAUUACAAAAUAUUAAAAAUAGAAAAUAAUUAAUAGAUUACAAAAGAUUACAUGUCUCUUCCUCUUUCUAUUUAAAUUCAACAAUAUAUAACCAUUAAUAAUAAAUUAAUUAUAAGUUUUGAAACAUUCAUUUAUUUUAUUAAGCCAACAACUAAACUUUAGUGGUUUAAAAUACAUCAACUAAUUAAUAUAGGAAGGAAGGUACCUUCAUCUUCCUUCACUAAUGCCAGUAGGACCUAAUUUUAAUGUCAUAAUCCCAUAUUAAAUUAUACAACUUUUUAUUUAGUGUCUUUUGGCUUCUUCAAACUCUAUAAAUAUUAAGCAUUUAAGAUUUGUUAUGUUUGAGUUUUUUUUUUAUUAUUUAACCAAUAUCCUCUUUAGAAAUGUUAUUGCGUUUUUAUUUUUUGACUUAUUUAAAUUUUUAGUAUUGUGUGCUUCAUAGAGUACUCUUUUCUUCAUAAGUUAAACAACGAUAAAAAUAGUUGGAUGAUAAGGGUUAGACUUUGUAAGAUGUGGGAAUCUGUUAAUACCAAGAAAAAUAGAGAGUUGAUUAGUGUGAACAUGAUUGUUAUUGAUGAAAAGGUUGAGUACACUUAACUAUACACAUUAAUAUAUUUUUUUAAUGUUAACAAAAAAAUAAUAAACUUUCAUAAAUAACAUUAGCGUUAUAAGACUGCGUCAUCUUUUAAAAAAUAAUUUAUAUUUUUUAUCAGUUUUAUCGAGUACAAAAUAAUUAAAAAAAGAUAAUACUAAAAUUUUUUUUAAAACCGCACAAAGUGCGGUUCUAUUUCCUAGUUAUAUUAAUAAUCUUAAUUUAAUUAAGAUAGUCAUUGGUCUUUAAUUCUCAAUCUAAAACCAGUAGAAACGGUUUGUUUAUAUUUUCGCACGUGGUAUGAAAAAUAUUACUGAAAUUGGUGUGCAUGUUUUGGAUGAACCAUAUGUACUUUUUCUUCUAAGAAAAUCUUGAUAUUCAAUGAUUGUGAUAAAUUAUUUGAUUUUGUAUUAACUGAAACUUUCAUAUUCUUAUCCUGCUGAUAGUGGAUUGUAUAUAAUACAGUAGAUUUUCUUUACUGUAGAUUUGAGGAAAAUGUACAAUCAAGCUCUCAAUUAGUAGCAAUCAUGUAUUGAAGUUUGCGAAAGAUAUCAAAGUUAACUUGAGUUUAUAUCUGUUACACUAUGGAUAAUAUGCAUGAUAUCACGAUAUCGUUCACAUCUUACAAUAUUAUUUCGGAACCGGUGCUUAACAGGUUCCGUUCCACCAGAAUUUUGUGACUCUCUCCAUCUUCAAGUAUUUUAUUUGGAAAAUAACAAGCUUACAGGUUCCAUCCCUGAGAGCUUAGGUCGUUUCGGUUGUUUGAAAAAGUUGAAUUUGGCUAGGAAUAAGUUAUCUGGCUCAAUUCCAACCAGUUUUGGCAAGUUGAAAUAGCUUACAAACCCACAUAGAUUUAAGCUAUAACGAGCUUGCUGGUGAGCUUAAUCCUUUGUUUUUGAAGCCCCACCAAGCUCAAAAUGUGUGACAAAGAACAAGUAUUAAACUCACCAUCGAACUCAUUAUAACUUAAAUCCAAGUGGGUACGAAAGCCCUUCCGACUAGUUUGCACCAAGCCAAAAAAUACACUUACAUUUCUCUAAUUUGCUGAUCAUCAUCACCACCUCCAUCAAAGUCAUCAUCUGAUCUUGAUGAUCCUUCUCCUGCUCCUCCACUGCCUUCAUCUCCUUCCCCAACCUCAUUAUUCAUCGCCACCGCAGCGUCCGUGUCCCGGAAUACUCCAGCCUGCUAAUGAUAAUUAAUAAUUCGUCAAGAACACAACACCCACACCAACAAAAAUAAAAUAAACUACUAAAAAAUAACAUAGCAAAGCAAAUAACGGAAAAAUAAAAUAAAAUAACACAAUAAAGUAUUUAGGAUUUUGGAGUUAUACAAGGCUUAGAGAGAGCGCAGGAGAGGCAAAAAAGUCUUUGGUGCGACGAGUGGGUGGCUUGCUACACGUGGACGCCCCCAUAGCAAUGAUAAAACCAAGAAAAAAAAAAGUUGUUGUCUUGAGAGGGUUGAUGAAAUGGUUCUUGUGAGCAAAAAUGGUGGCAUGUUGAAGUGGGGUGAGCUUUGAUUUAAGGACGUCAAUUAUCAAACAAAACAGAAUGAAGUCUAAAAACACAUUAAAAGAAAAGGAAUUGCUGUGUUUGUGUGUGAGAGGGAAAAAGAGAGUGUACGUAUUUGUUUGUUUUAUUGAGAAACGAAAGGAUGAAAAGGGUGUUAGGAGCUGACUGUUAGAAAUUCUGUGUGAAAAUGUGAGGAUUGAAGUCUCUCAACCAUCUUUUGAAGGAUUUAUUAAUUAACACUAGCUAAUUGAAAUUUUAAAGUAUUCAAAUUAGCGCCAAAAUUACAUAUCCACCAAUAUUGCAAUUUGCAAUACUCAACUGAAAAUAGUUUUAAAGGAAAAAAUAGGAUUAACAUAAAUUUUGUUCUAUAUAUAGGUAAAAAGAAAUAUAUUUCAAACUCCAGUUAAUUUUAUAUGUAGAAAUAUGAUAAAGAUUAAAUUUUCCUCCAUUUGAUAAUUAAGAAUAUAUCUAACUAAUUAAGAAUGCUUUUAACAAAUCAAUGGAUAGCGGAGUCAAUAAAAUCAAAAUUAUAUAUACUUGUUGAGUUGAUUGAUUAUUUUUUUCCGAAGUAAUUAACUCAAAAUCUUGAAAGUUUCUUUAUACCUAAUGAAGAAAUAUGGUAUCCAAUAUUGCUAGGCGGUGGUUUUAGGCUUUAGAGAAGCUAAAAUUGUAGAAAUGAAAGUAUCUUUUGUGCCCAAAUUUUUACUCUCAUAAGGGACUUUUACUCUAUUCACAUUUCAUAAAGGGAAGACAAUAAAUAAUUGAAUAAGAGAUUUAACCUCAAAAUAUUAUGUAGAAACUCAAACUGUUGUUCUCAUAAUUGUUUAUGAGGCCACUUGGCCUUUUGUCCGAGUGAUUGCAUUAAUGGCAUUAAAUUGCAUAGAACGUAGGAAAUUGAUCCACCACCAUCUAAUUAUAACAUCACAAAUAAAUAAAAGUAAAGAUGAAAUGGAAAUUAAUUGGAGCAUUUACCUUGUUGCUAUACUUGGUAAUGUCCACCUGAUUUAUGAUCCCGAUUAGAAUGCCUAAAAUUACUGCUUUCUUUUUCUUGAUUGUAUCAUCAUCACUUUUGUGAAAUUUUAAAAUUAAAAAAAAAAAAGAAAAAGAAAACAAUGAGGGAUGCUGGGUCAAUCGCUCUUUAAAGAACUCGAUUGGACACGCGUUUACUACAUUGUUUUUUUAUUUGAUUCAUAAGUGAUUAUCCACUAACUACUUAUUUUUUCACACAUGUUUAAAAAUGCACAAACUUUUUUUUUUUUCAGAAAAUUCUCCUUGAAGUUGACAUUAUUUUCACUCGUCCAUUGUGGCCUAAACUCUAUUAGAAAUUUGUUAACGUCAUAAGGGUAAAAUUAUCAUUUAAUUUUAACAAAUAAAAACGACCCCAAAUCAAAUAAAAAACUCAAUGCCACAAAUUAUCAAAAUGUAAAUCCAUUAAUUCAACUGAAAGAAAAAUGCUCAGCCUUAACCCUAACUCUAACAGCCACACACUAUCAAAAUCAAAAUGAAAUUUUAUUUAAUUUUUAAUCAAAUAAUAACAAAAAGCUGCAUAACUGGUGAACAGUAGCUAGUGCCGGUGGCGUGAUGUGGCAAGGCCCGGUGAUGUCAGGAAUGGGGUUGCCGAAUCUACUUGAUCCUGCGUUCGGUGAUGUCACGCAGUGGCGAGAUAGCUGAUCGUGAUUAAAGUUGCUAAUGAGUGAAAGACAAGAGAAGAGGCUACAAAUUUUAUUUGACUGAGAAGAGAAGGUAAUGAAUUUUUUUUUUUUCAGAAAGAAGAGGUGAGACUACAAUUUUUGUUGGAGGCUAACCAUUAAAAAAAGAAAAGAGAGAGACAGAGACAGAGAUAAGAAGAAGCUGAAUUUGGUGCAAGUGAGUAAGAAGACUGGUUUUAUUUUGAAUGAGAUUGAAGAUAAGCUUUGUGCCUUGCCGCUGCUGAUGCUUUUUUUUUUUUUUGUUUCCUUCGUUCUUCUUCUCUAAUACUACUACUACUACUACUACUUUGCAUAAAUUCUUUUAAUUUUUUUGUUUAGUGUUUGGUUUUGAUUUGGGUAUUGGAUUGAGUUUGGGAUUAGGUUUGGGUUUUAAUUCUUUUAAUUAUUUUCAUUUUUAAUUUUGGUUAUUUUGUUUCAUUUAUUAUAAUUUUGAUUAUUUUUAUUUUUUAUUUAAUAUAUAAAUUGCAAACAAUAACCAAAGUCAUCUAAUACUUUUGUCAUUUAGCUCAAUUUUGUCAUUUAGCUCGGUGAAAUAGUAAUUUUACAUUAAAGGAUCAAAACAAUCAUUAUAUUAAUAUUAUGUUAAAUUCUCUCACAGACAUUAGACGAUAGUAAAAUAAUGAUAUAUUUUAUAAACUUUCCAUAGAAUUCUGUAAAAAAUAAAAAAUUUAUAUAUUUUUUAAAAAAAUUUAAAAAAUGGGUGAUCGGUGGAUAUUGCCCUUUUAUUUAUCAAGCACAUGUGUCAUGUCUUGUCUUUUGAAUUUAAUGCUUUCUUUUAUUUUUUUUUAUUACCCAAUUUGUUCAAAACAAUUACAGUUAUGCCACUUGUUCAAUUUAUAUAAUUUUAGAAUAUUACCUUUAAGUUAACAAAAUUAUCUAAAUUUUUAUUAGGAUUUGGGAUCUCGUCCUGAACCAUAUAGAGUUCAGUUCAGUAUCAUUUUUUAAAAAAAUUGAUUUAAAAUUAGUUGAGAUUUAAUAUAAAAUUUUAUCCCAAUUUAUUAUUUAGAAUAUCUGGAAAUAUCAAUCAAAAAUCUUGAUUGCCUUGACUAUUAUUUUAAUUUUUAAUUAACUAAAUUAAAAAUCAUUUAUCUUAAAAAUAAACAAAAAUAAUUGAAACCCAACAAAUUCACUACUUUGCAUUCACUUUUAAAGUUUGUUUAUUUAUUAUUUAUUUUUAACGACAUUUAGUUUUAAAGUUUAAUUAAACUAAACAGAUGAAGAAGAAAAUAAAUUAGUUUGUUAAUUUACAUAUUAAAUUUUAGAUAAUGAAUGGAAAAAAUCGGGACGUUGGCAUUUAGAAUCGCAACUUGCAACAUAAAGCAAGAAGAGUGUGUGAGUAACAAGCUUUACCAUUUCUUUCUUAUAUACAUAUUUAUUAGGAUGAGUUGAGACUUGAUAUUUUUUCCCUCUCUCUCUUAAAAUAACUUGUUUUUCAAUUUUUAAUCAGGUAUAUAUAAGAACCACGUUGGUCUUGGGAUUUGAACGAAUUAUCUUUAGUUCAAACGAAAGAUAACAAAUUAACUUUUCAAACAAAAAAAAAUCAUAACAAAUUAUUAAACAAGCAAAAAAAAAUUUAUUCACGAUCAACUCUUAUUAUUAUAUCAUCAAGUUACUAAAGGAUUAUAUUUCUUUUUUCUUUUUUCUUUUUUUGGUCUGAACCAUGAGGUGGUCCUGAGUGGGCCCCAACUGUGAAAAACAACUUUAGGCCCGUACCACAACUUGAUUAAUCCUCGCUCGCACCGGAUCGGUCCGUAAAGGGUAAAGUACUGGCUAAAGUGGUGACUCCAUACGAGAACGGGACUUGAACCACUAACAUCUCUUAAGGAGUGAAAGUGUCAAACCACUUACACCAACCAACUUUGGUUUAUAACACUUGUAAUAAUUCAAAUUAUUUCAGUCGCGAUAAUUACGAUGAUUUUUUCAUUUGCUCGUUGGCAUGGGGCAAUUGCUGGAUACGAAAAGGCCCAGCAAUCAAGCCCAAUAGCAAAAGGACCAAAUAGAAGCCCAAUACUGUUUCUACUCUUGAUACACAAGACACAGCAAACGGCAUCUUCUUCAAGCAAGACGUAUUAACGCAUUUAUUAAUUUGAUUUCUUUUAAUUUCAAUAAAAUUUUGAUAACAAAAUAGCUAAUUUGAGAAAUAUGGUCAAGGAGUGUGUGAAAAUUUAAAAAAAUAAUAAAAUAAUAAUAAUUUUCAUAAAUUUAUUAAUUGUAUUUUCUAAUUAAAAAAAGAUAUUUUUAUGUCUAUAUAAUAUAUAUGAGGUUAUACGUGGAACUGUAUGAAAGAUCAAACUUUUCAAUAUUAAAUUUUACUAAAAAUAUAGUAUAGGAUUAGGUGAUUUUCACCUAAGAAUUUUUUUUUAAAAAAAUAACCAAACAUCAUAAUUAGUUUUAAACUUCUCAAAAUUUCUUUUGAGCCUCUCAUUUGCUUCUCAAAAUAACUUCUUAUUUGUUGACAUGAAGGAAUAAUGCAAAAGUGCCUCUAUUGUAAAUUAAAUUUUUAUUAUUAUUAUAGUUGUUAUAGAACUUUAUUUCUUGUUAUACUCAUGAUACACUCAUAAAUCAUAUCUUAUAAUGAUUUGGGUGGGGUACAAAAACAAAAACCUUUAGGACAGAUUUGUUUGUUUUCAUUUUUACAACAAAAUCCAUUUUUAGAUGGACAAUCCCUCACACAAUCAGAAUCUUGGGUGCAACGAAUUGGUAACCCUCCAGUGUAGGCUUCAGCACUUGGUAACUCAAAGAUUGUGGUGCCUGCAAAUUGAGAUCAAUAAUUCAUGAUCAUAGAGAAAUGAAAUAAAAAGCGAAAUGUGUUAGUAAUUAGCAAAACAAUAUACAAAGAGAGAGAUAUUUGGGACAUUGACUAACCAUAUACAACGAUCAUGAGUACGACCAAGAAAGUUAGUUUAAACGAGACUUUCUCCAUUUGCUGUAAGAAAAAGAUUAUGCAGGAUGUUUCUUUGAGUGGGAAAAAAAAAUCUAAAAAAUUGUAUGCAAGAACUUUGUUCUUCACCUAAUAUUUAUAGAGAUGUAAUAUACAAAUGGUAAAAUGGCACACCCAACUUCUAAGUUAUUUUAUAGAAAAAUCACAACAAAUCAAAUAAACUUGCAACCGAUUAAUAUUCAAAUCAUUAAACCUAGCCCAAUAGGAAACAAUUAAAAAAAAGGAAAAAAAUAAUUUUUUUCAUUUUUUUUCCAGCUUCGCAUUAACAACGCAGACACAUUUUCCGUUGUUGGUAAAAUCUUCAUCCAUCUUAGCUCAUAAAUUUAAUUGCAUCAUUACAAUCUAUCAAUCAACAUCUACACAGUACAUGUAAGUUGAUGAUCCCACUAUUAAUUCCAUUUCACGUUGAUUAGGGUAAAAAAAAAACAAAGGAAGUUUUCUUGUAUUCAUGUAAUUUCUAUAAUCUCUUAAAAAUACCAUAUGAAGUAGGUCUAUUUUGCUAUUAACUAAAUAUCCCAGAUUUUGUAUUAUUGAAUCCAUUUAUUGCCUUAAGGCUAUAUAUAUGUAUAUUUUUUAACUUUGCUUUGAACUCAUCUCGUGCCAUUGAGUUUUUGACUUUCUUCUGUUUAUUGCUACCAUUUUUAAAUAAAAAAAUUGAUUCAAUCGAUGGACUUAUUAAUAAUUGAUCAACUUAAUUUCAUUUAAUUGAUCAACCUAGUUUUCUUUCAUUAACGUUUUAUAGCAUGAUUCAUUCGUGAUAUAUAUUUACAACAUUUUUUUUAUGUGUCCUUUGCUUCAAUUCACUCAUAAUAAAUCUUAAAAUCAUUAACGACCAUCGUGAUUUAACUAUAAUAGUCUGAAAACAAUUUGAAAAAAAAAAUAACUCUAUGGAUAAUUCAAUUUUAAGUGUAUUAUGAGACAAAUCAUUGCACUAACAAUUUCGAUUGUUUGCUUGCAAAAGUAAAAUAUGCAUUUGUAUAUCUGGUUUUGCAAUAAGAAAAAAUGUCAAAAGGUACCCCAAUUUUUUCUUUCAAGUUUCAAGUUAAUUAUAUGGUUGCUAAGUGAAUUAAGAAAAUAACCUCAUUGGCCUCUCUUAUAAUAUGGAUGUCUUUUGAAUUAUCUUAAUUUAGAAUUUAUUGACAUACACUAAUUGAUAAUUAACUUUUUUGUUCUCAUCAGUGAUCUUCUUCUUUAUGCUUCACCAAUGGUGACAACAUUUUAAAUCAAUGAGAUAUUCAUUAUAUUAGCAGAAAUUACGAGGGAUCUUAAUGAGAAUAUUAGAAUAACCCCAAAAUAAUAAAAAAGGAUGAUUGUGGCUUGAACACUGGUUCUCGCCACAAGUUGGGCUGGUUUAUGCUCAGUCCACGGCCAUAACAUCCUAGGAAAAGUUGAAUAAAUAAUAUUUUGUGAGUUCUUGAUGGAGCGAGGGUAGUGGAAGUAAAAUUGAUUGGGUAAGAAAAAAUGAAAGUGGAGUUGAUAGGAUAGAAAACACUAAAUAUCAUUCUAAUACUUGACCAAGCCAAUGCGAUUAGGUUACGCUUUAAUCAAAGCAUGAUUAAAUAUCAUUUUAAUCCAAACGACUCAAUAAGAUUUUUAAUAACGCUUAAAGCGAGAUUAUAUGAAGCUUUAAUCCAAACAACUCUACAAGAGAGAUUUUGAUAGAUAAUUCCAAAGGAAAUUAUAAAAGAGGAAAUUUUAUUAAAUAAUUGAAUAUGAAGUUAUGAAAAUAAUAACAAGACCUCUCUAUUUAUAAUAGAGUAAAUUCACUUCCCUAAGUUAACUUAAAAAAAGGGAAACUGAAUCGCAAUUAUAAUGGAAAUAAAAUAUACUUUCCCUAAGUUAACUAAAUCUCAUGCCUUAAUUGACUCUAAUAAAAUUAGAAAGUUCUAAAGUAAUAAAAUACCAUAAUUGACUCUAACUAAAAUAGAAAUCCUAAAAUAAUAAAAUUCUAAAAUCUUAAAAUUUCUAAAAUAACGUCCUACAUUAGUUCUAGUUGAUAUUGUUAAUUUUGCAGAAAAAUAUUUUUUAGGGAAAUUUUUAACCUACCCCCAAAUAAAUUGACAUUUUGGACCGCGUCCCCAAAAAAUUUGACUUAUUGCACCGCACCCCCAAUUCCAUUAUUUUCUCAGUUAAGUUUAACGGUGGAGGGGUAAAAUUGGAAGUUCAUUCCUUAAAUUAAUUUUAAUGGGAAUUCUCUUUAUUGCAAUUGAAAUAAAAAUCUUAAAAGAAUUAAAGGAAAAAUAAUAGUGGUGACAAUGUACAUGUAACAAGAAAUUUUUUGUAUUGCAAUUGAAAUAAAAAUCUUAAAAGAAUUAAAGGAAAAAUAAUAGUGGUGACAAAUGUACAUGUAACAAGAAAUUUUUUUUUAUUGCAAUUGAAAUAAAAAUCUUAAAAAAAUUAAAGGAAAAAUAAUAGUGGUGACAAUGUACAUGUAACAAGAAAUUGUUUUAUUGCAAUAGAAAUAAAAACCUUAAAAAAAUUAAAUGAGCUAAAAAUUUUGUUUUUUUUUUCAUAUAGAGGGGCAUUUUUGUCAUUCAAUCAAAAGUUAGACGGAGCCGUUAGAAAUAACUGAAAGAUUAACGGAAUUGGGGGCGCGGUGCAACAAGUCAUUUUUUUUGGGUGCGCGAUGCAAAAUGUCAAUUUAUUUCGGGGUUGGUUAAAAAUUUCCCUAUUUUUUAAGAUAUUAAAAAUCUUCAUAAAUCUUUUAGAGACCUUUCCUCAUUUAGGCCUUCUCGAAAAGCUAGAACUUACAAUCAAACUUUUGCCCCAUUAUAUGACAUAUGUUAGUAAAAUUCAUUUUUACAAAUGAUAAUUCUAUUCACCCCUUUCUUUAUAUUUUCUAAAAGAUCUAAAAUUUUACUCCCAUACUUACGGAAAAAUUCAAACCUUCUAAUGAUAGGCGAUGGUGAUGAUGAGAGAGAAAGAAAAAUAAAAUAAAAAUAAUUAAUAAUAUAAAAAUUUUUAAUUAUAGUAAUUUUAAAAAUAAACAUUUAAUACCCAUAACUAAGACAUCUUUGAGUUGGGUUGGGACCCCAGGCAUGGUCAUAGCAGGUAGGAAACCUUUUCAAUUGUUCGGUUCCUUAGUUAGCUCCUCAAACUUCAGAAAGUACACAUUUCCGAGGAGGUGUCUUCACCUAAAACCAAAUCAACUUAUUUGAGCUCAACAAAAGUUUGUAUCUCCCUCUGAGUAACAUAUAUUUAUAUGGUCUCAACAUACACCUAAUAUUGAAAUUCUUUUCAAAAGCAUCACUUCAUUCAAUGAAAAGCACAUUGGCCAUAGUAUUUUCCGUCUUUUACUAAGCGGGUACCAUCAAGAUCAACCACUACACCACUUUUUAUGCUACUUGAAAGAAGAUUAUAAAUAUUUUAGAGUUCCACAAACUCUCUACACCUUAGAGAUUUUGCUACUUCACUUGAUGAUUAAACCAAAGGGGAGAGGGGGUAUUUAUACAUGAAACAAACUAAUCACAACCAUUCAUUUAUUCAAUUAAUACACAAAUCCUCACCAUCUAUUAAAACCUACCACUCACCUACUUCACCAACCACACCUAACACACCUAACACAAAUAAUUCAAAGCUCACCAACCAUACCUACUCAUGGAACCUUCCAUGAGUUGGGCUUGAUUUACUCAUCUUGGAUCAAGUUUAUGAUCCAACAUUAUGUUUGACGCCUUAUUACAUGUUUGACCCCCAUUCUUACAUCUUUCACAUGACUUGUUGCAUGUUGACAUGGUUUUCAUGUUUAACCUCAUAUAUUACAUGUUUCUCCUCACUUGUUACAUGUUUCACGUGGAUUGUUGCAUGUCUUAAAUAAAGCCAAAAAAUGAAAAUUAUCCCACGUAUUUUAUGUUUCACGCCUGCGUUGCAUGUUUGAUCUCCGUUAUUGCAUCUUUUAUGUGAACUGUUACAUGUUGACGUGGUUCUCAUGUUUAACUUUAUGUGUUGCAUGUUUUACGUGAUCUUUUUACACGUAAAUUUCAUGUUGCAUGUUUGAUCUCACUUAUUACAUGUUUCAUGCGGAUUGUUGCAUGUCUUGAAUAAAGCAAAAAAAUAAAAAAUUUCCCACUCAUUUCACGUUCGUAUACCUCCAUUGUUGCAUCUUUCACGUGAACUAUUGCAUGUUUCUCAUCUUUAGCCUCAUCUGUUUCAUGUUUGACCUUUGGUGUUGCAAGUUUUACUUGACCUUUUUACAUGUAAAUUCAUAUUGCAUGUUUCAUGUGGAUUUUCGCAUGUUUGAAUAAAGCCAGAAAUGAAAAUUAAUAAAGCCAUAAAUGAAAAUUUUCUCGGCUGUUUCAUGUUUCACGUUUGUGUUACAUGUUUGAUCUUCGUGUUGCAUCUUUCACAUUAACUGUUGCAUGUUGAUGUCGUUCUCAUGUUUAACCCCAUCUGUUGCAUGUUUGACCCCAUAUGUUCCAUGUUUUACGUGACCCUCUUACAUGUAAAUUUUAUGUUGCAUGUUUGAUCUCAUUUGUUGCAUGUUUCACAUGGAUUGUUGCAUAUCUUGAAUAAAGCCAAAAAAUGAAAAUUGUUCCACUCAUUUCAUGUUUCACGUUCAUGUUGCAUGUUUGACUUCCGUCUUUGCAUCUUUCAAGUGAAUUUUUGCAUGUUGAUGUGGUUCUCAUGUUUAACCUCAUCUAUUGCAUGUUUGACAUCAGAUGUUGCAUAUUUUACAUGACCUUUUUAAAUAUAAAUUUCAUGUUAUAUGUUUGACCUCACUUGUUGCCUGUUUUACUUGAAUUGUUCCAUGUCUUGAAUUAAGAGAAAAUUUGAAAAUGGGUGACGAAGACAAAGUAACAGUGCAUAUAAUCACCAAGUUGGCUGGCCAACUUAUUUAACAAUGAAUCUAGCGGUUAACCACUUCCACUUCAGAGACACCCAACAAUGAAACUGUUAGCCAAUUGAUUUAACGAAGAAUUAAGCGGUUUAUUGCUUCCACUCCGGAAACACUCAACAAUUAAGUGGUUAGUCGACUAAUUUAACAAGGAAUCAAGUGGUUAACUGCUUGCGUUCAAGAAAAUAGCUAACAAUGAAACAGUUAGCCAAAUUGUUAAGCAAAGAAUUAAGCAGUUAGCUGCUUCCACUCCAAAAACAACUAAGUAUGAAACGGUUACUCAGCUUAUUUAACAACAAAUGAAACGGUUAACUAGUACAAUGAAUGUUUGAUGUUGAUAUUUCAUGUAUCACAUUGUCUAACACAUGUAUAAAUAUCAUGUUGCAUUUCAAAAUUUCUUGACAUUUCAAGUGAUAAUUUAUAAUCAAAAUUAUUUUGUUUCAUCUUCUUUUUUAUUAUUAAUUAAGUUUUUUUAUUAUUAAUUAAGUUUAAUUAAGCCCAUCUAUUAAGAAAAAAAAAUGAAAAUGUUGCCUUAGUUUAAAAUUAUUUGAUAAUUUAAGUGAUCAUUAUUACUCCAAGUAAUAAUUUAUCAUUUUAGUUAUUAUUUGUUUCAUUAUUUUGUAAUUUGAUUAAUUUUUCAAACGAAAAUAACUAUGGUGACAAUUUUAAAUUACCAAUUAACCUUCUUUUUUUUUUUAGUGCAAUUGGUAAUUUGUAAAUUUUUUAUUUUAAAAAUCAAAUAAUACAUACAACACAUUAAUUAUUUUGGAUUAAUUUCAUCAGAGCUUGUAAAUGAAACCCAUAAACAAAGGCAUCUCAAACUUUGUAAUUACAAAAAAAAAAAAAGCGUAAAGAAGAGAGUUGGCGGGUGCACGCCAUACGCGAAUUAAUUUUCACCAUCAUCUUCCACCAUAUGUCGUGAGCAAUGGAGGCUUUCCCUCCCCAUUACCAUUACAAAAAAGGUGUCGAAAAAGGUGUCGACCUGUGUCACACCCCCAUCCAAGAAGUGAGCUAAAAAUUAUGAAACUCCAAAGCACUGUCUAAGCAUAGCACACAGACUACUUCCAGCAUCUCCAUUAACAAAAUACUCGAAAAAAGCAAGGCAUGAGCUAUUAGCCCAUACACUUUUAAGCAUAAUGAUUCUAAUCGCAUCUCAUUUAACCACGAGGCCAUGAAAACAUACUCAAAGAUUCCAAAAGAAAAUUGACAUUUAAGCACAUAAGAAUCAAUCUUAAGAAUCCAUCAAUUUUGCAAUCAAGCGAAAAAAAGUCAAUCGCUGAUCUAUAAGACCAAACUUCAAAGUCUAUAAUUUCAAUGAUCAAAUAACAAAUGAUGUCCAAAUAAAAUUCAUGGAAAUCUAUAGAAACCUUUGGCAUUAUUUGAGACCUUGUAAUAAGGCAGGCCUUGUUCAAUAAUCCCUUUAAAUUAUUGGGUUGGUUCAAUUACUAUACAAUUUUGCAGAUAUAAUCUAGACAUGUAAAGCACCUAGAAUAUAACAUCUUAGCUCAAAUUAGUUACAUUUAUUACUAUUUCUAUGACCCAAUAUAGAGUUACAGAAAACUGGUUUAUUGACAGGAAACACCAACAACCUAAGCUUGUGAUUUUCUUUAAAAAUUCAAUACUAUUCAGAAUAUUAUGAAAACUUCCAGAAUAUUAUUAGACACAACAUAUAAAAUUUUCAAGCCAUUUGGACAACUCUAUAAUAGGUUCUCACAGGAUUGCACUAAACAAAUCAAAACUGCCUUUUUAAUUCACACAAAUAAAGCUGAGCUUUGGUGAUUUAUUAAAAUUGAAAUACUCAGUAUGUUGGGAUGGAAAUUCCCAGAACAUAAUUCCACAUAUAACUUGAUAACAUAUUAAAAGUUCAAGACAUUCUGAUAUCAUUAAGCUAAUGUUUCAUAAGAUCAAACACAAGUGAAUAGUUCUGCCAAGGGGUUUACGGCUAAAGCGGUGGAGUUUAAAAAAUCAUAAAAAACAAAAAAGUACCAGAAGUUCAAUUACCAUGGAACUUUCAACAUUUAAAAUAGACAUAUUGAAGUUUAAUAUCUCAAAAUUUCAGCUCAUGUUGACCCCAUUAGAUUAUUCGUUUAUAACACCAAACAUGGUACAUAUACAGUUUCUGAUAAAUUCCAACAGCAACUGACCAAUUUGACAAAUCCAUUAAAAAUAAACUAUUAGUUCAAUUCAUUACAAAAUGUCCAGAAUCGAAAUAUACAAUUAAGCUUUUAUUACUCAAAAUUUGAAUCUAAUCAAGCAUCAUUUAGUCAUAUUUUCAAACAAUCAAAGUUAUGAUAAUAGUCCAACAAUCUUUAAAUUUUCUGCAGAAUCAAUAAACUAUUUAUCAUCUUUUCAGUUCAAUAAUCAAUUUUCUGGCAAAAUUAGACAUCCAAAACCAACAACAACCUUGCUUUUCAAUAUUGAAGUAACAAAACAUCAUUUGCACAAAGUUACCUACCUAAAUCACAAGCUUUAACUUCCUAGCCUCUUAAUAAAGCUUUCUGACACCUUCACAAGUAUUGACCUCGGCCUUGACAUUACCAAAAAGCCUACCCAAAAUUAAAAAAAAAAAUGAUAAUCAAUCACACUUCCAUUAAACAAAGUCAUGAGAGAUUAUUUAAAAAUUGAGGUGUUUUUUACCUCUUAACGAAUAGCUCAACGCCCAACUUCCAAUCUGUAGCACUACAUAAUUGAAACAUACGACCACCGAUCAACAAAUAACACAAAAAAUUGCUAACAGUUUCAAUUAAAAAUAAAAGCUGGUGAUUAUAUAGCGUUAAAUCAUCAAGCAACCGUAUAUGACAGUGAGUCUCUGGAAACAUCAAUAAAAGUUUCUGAAAAACAGCAAAAAAAAAAAAACAACUUAAAAGUAAUAUAAUGAAUAUCAACACAGAUAAAUAAGAUUGGUCAAAAAAUUAAAAAUAAAAGAAAAAGAAGCUGAAUGGAUAAAUCUCUACCAAAUUUGUGAGUACCCAUCUUUAGUAUUCCGAACAAUGAGUGCGGAGCUCAAAACAAACAAACAAGAAAAAAUUAGUAUAUCAAGAGAUAAAUAACACCUAAUAAAAAACCAAUCCUCAAAAAAUUAACUAAAAAAAAUUAACUUGCUUUGAGGGUUUACGCUGGUGGCUUCACGAAGCUCACGCGGCAACGAUUUCGGCCAAAGCGAAAUCGUAUAGAUAACGGUGCGACAGAAAUAAUGGUAGAUGAUUCCGAUUGGUUGAUUGGUGUGAGAGAGACAAUGGAUUUUAGGCGAUGAGUCCAGAAAUCGGAUGAGAGAAAUAAUGGAUUUCAAAGAGGGAAGAAAUUUUAGGGAUUUUCCUUUUGGGAAAGCGACGAAAUCAGAUUGGUGAGAGAGAGGAGAAAAAAAGAAUGAGAGAAAUUUAGGGAUUUCUCAAGUUGAGAACCGGCAUCUCAAGCUGCCUUUCUUUCUCUAUUUUAAUUGAAUAUAAAAUAUCAUACAAGUGAUGAUAUAUAAGAACUUGUACUAGCGAAUUUACAG
rnacentral:lncRNA from 1 species